rnacentral:lncRNA from 1 species
UUUUUUUUUUUUUUUUUUUUUUUAUCGUUACACUUUAAAUUAUUGAUAAGAUCAGAUUUUCUCUGCAAAUUUCAUGCAUUACCAUCUCCUAAUGUCUUACUAGAUCUCAAUUAAAAAUAAUUAAACAUGUCACCAAGACCCAUCGGCCAUCACACUUAAUAGUGAAAUACUUCAUUAGACUGUUAAAUUCUCCUCAUUAUGAAAUUGCCUUUGCAGAAGCUAUGUGAAUGAAUAUUAUUACAAUAAAAUCGUGGAUAACCUCAAAAAAAAAAAAAAAAAGGUAGGAAUCAGAGAAUUCUCUCAAUAAAAUCGUUCUGAAGAAAUUUUUUUUUUAAAAAAAUGUUAUUUGCAUUUCAUUGUGCUAUUUAUACUCCCAUUAUUUAUUUUAUUAUAUAAUUUUAUAAAUGCUUAAAAUGAUAAUGAAAGUGUGAUUAAUAAAAAUGGAGAUGUAAAUAAUAUUUUCAUUUUUAAUGAAAAAUAUAAAGGCUGCUAGACCAGGCAAAUUAUUUCACUUCCGACAACUCAUAUUAUGCACGUUAUAAAAGUCACAAUUUGACUUCUGACUUGGGAAAGCCACAAUCUCGGCAAAAAAUAAUCGUCGGCCUGUAUAUCAAUUACCAAAAGAAAAAAGCUAAAGGGCAAAAAAAUGAGAGAAGGUUGAGUAACAGAAGGAACAGAAUAUUGCAGAAGGGAAAGAGAGGAGGACGACCACCAAAGGGUGCAAAAACGCCGCCGUCAAGCCUAUACAAGAAUAACGAACCAGAAGCUCCGGAUUUUUGUUAGCUUACGCUGUUUAUAUCAGUUCGCCGUCGUUUGUUAGCCUUUUCUGUUCAUUGUCUUCGUCGAGGUAUUUCCUAUUAUUUACAAAAAAAAAAAAGAGAAGAAAGUGAACAAAGGAAUAUUUGCUCUGGAAAGUUGGAUAUUAAUUUGCGAAACGAUUUUUUUUUUUCUUCUAAAUUUCCUUAGCAGAUCGCAAUCAUUUUGCUUAUUGGUUUAUUUACUCUGCGAUUUGCCUUGUUCAUAAUUUUGAUUUUGUUUUUAAAUUUGUUUUCUUAAGAUUGAUGAAUUUCGGUAUUGUAAAUUGUCUAAAACAGCCUUAGGAGAUCAAAGUCAAUGAUGCUGGGCGUUGUAAGGCGAAAAGUGGCUUCUGAUGCUUCUUCUGCUUUGGUAUUUAAACUUCAAGUUUUGCAUGUGUGUUUAGAUAUGCAUUCAUAUGUGCAUGAAGGCAGAUUUAUUUUUUAUAGUAAAAUUUAGUUGUGUUUUUGUAAGAAUACCGAUCUCCUUUGUGUUUGCGGACGCAGAUUAAAAGGAAAUCAUGGCAUUGGAGUCGGCCUGUGGUUUCUACGCCUAGAGUUUCUACUGCUGUAGCUGAAGAGGUAACUCGCUGCUUUCUUUUCCAAUUCAGCGUUGAUACUGCUUAGUGGUGAUAAUAGUUUGACGUGCGAAGAGGCAUGGUGAAUCAAAUGAUGUUCCUGAUAUGAAAAUGAUAUUGUAGACAAACAAGUAGUUUAUACUUUUCAAGGAUGUAAUGUUGUAAUUUCAUUGAGGUUUGGUCAAAAUUGCUUGAGUUUAGAUUAGUUUUUCUUUUCUAGGCAAAUAAACUCAAUUUAUUAGUCAAGAUAAGAAAACGUUUCUAACUCAUUAAGACGAGUUUAGAUUAGUUAAAUGUGAUUUAGCCUUAUAUAGUACAAAAUUUAUUGCAUAGUUUAACAAGCUGGGGAAUUAUAUGGAAAUUGGGUAAGAGUUAAGUUAUAGAGGUUGAGUUGAGGUGGCUGUCUUUCUUGGAAACUCAGAGAACUCUGUUCCAUUUUCUGGUGUUGGCUUAUGAAGAUAGCAUAUGUGACAUUGCUUUGCUAUCCAGUUUUAGUUUUGUCUGGAGUUCGGUUAGGUUACAAUUCUCAAAAGCAGUAUUGAGAACAUGUAUGUACUGUGUCUCUAAGAUGUUAUUCAACUACGAGUUUAUGAUCAAAUAAUAUUAUUUACUGUUUCUGUCUCUUGAAGUGUCAGUUUCAGUUGUUUUCUUCCUUUUUGUUUCUCUUUCUACGUUUGGCCAUCAAAGCUUAUGUUUGCUGUUAGUUCUUCCUGUGCAAUUGUUCUUAACUGUUUGUUUUUGCUUUCUGAACAGAUCUUCUUCACCCAGGAUGCACUCGCAGUUUCUCUGACUUCACUUUCUCUGGUAAUCUCGGGUGUCUAUGUUAGUCAAUGCCACGUGUGUGUGUGUUUUUUUUUUUUCCUUUUUGGCCCCCUCCCUCAUGUCUGUGUUUGAACUAUUUUCUAUUUUCUUUCGGUAUAGGAUCUUUGGACUUGACAUCGUCAAGGUCAGUGGUAUCUUUUCUUGUUUAAUCUCCUCUUGAUAAUUGCUAUUAACUUGUACGCUAUCGGUCAUUGAGGAAUACUUAGGCUUAGAGAGGGUGGUCCCCCUUUCUGACAUAAAAGCAAUCAGAAUUCGAACACGCCGCGUUUUACUGGGAAGGAUCGACCCAUGGGAACGAAUCUACCGGGCUGUCACCUUCUUUGGCCAGAUCUUCCAAUCUUUUCGCAUUACAGUUCACUGCACUUUCUUUACUAGAAUGUUUUGAAUUUUAAUAUUGUUGUUCAGAGGACAUUAUCGCUCCAAGAAAAGUCAUUAUUUAAGAGCUUAGCACAGUACUCUAUCUUUUAAUUAUCAUUUUGCACAACUAUUUCCAAUGUGGGCAAGGCAUAGUGGAUUUAAUUGUAAACCAAAUUCUGCUUUGUAAAAUAAGUUCAAUUAGGUACUGCAUUUCAUGUGGUUUUCUGUCAGUGGUAAGAGAUGUAAUUACUAUGAGUAUUGACAGUGCUUUUCAUAUUUAGUUUGAUACAGCAUUAUUUGGCAUUGUGUUAGCUGACCUUAUUCAAGUUGACUGAGACAGUUUCACCCAGAGUCGUUCAAUCUGGUUUGAUUUUACCUAAUCCGUGGUAUAAACCAAAGAAAAGUUUGUCUGUAAAUUGUGUUUUUGUGAUUAGACUCCCGCAAGGGUAAUAACACUUGGACUUAUACAAUAGAUGUUUUUGGUAUGUGGAAUAGCUAGCUUCAAAAAAUCCAAGGUAUAUAAACUCACAUUAAGUCAGAUGGUAUAGUUGGCAGAUAAUGCUAUCAUUCAUGGUUGGCUGUUUUAUUUGCAGGGGAAUCAAAGACAAUUUUCUGCCUCAAUUCACCAUGCAUACAUGGAAAAGGCCAUUUUGUUCUAAUAGUGGUAUAGUACAGCACUUUGUCUUCCAUUCUUUGCUUUUCUGGCAAUGCAGUUGUAUUGAAAAAUGACAGUUCUGAAUUUGAUGCUCUUGGAAGGUUUUAGGCACUUUUAUAGGAAAAUUUUGAACCCUUCCUUUAGUAGUUUCUGUCACGUGCCCAUACUUUUGAUGGUUUAUAAAUGUUGUUUUCCUGUCUACUUCUAGAUGUGUUGUAGUUUGAUUGGUUUUACACCGUAACCCAGCCUUUAAUGGAAACCAAAAACUUCUAAGGCUUUUUAAGUGAAUUGCGUACAGUUCUGACAACCUGUUAGUAUAGUUUUCAUUUAUUAUUUCUAGUGGCCAAGUCCAGUAUUUUCAUACUGAUAUAUUUAGUAUAAUUUCAAUUUCAAUGAAGCAAUAGGUGUGGAGUCUUAAUAUGGAUGUGGAUUCAUGUAAUGGCUUUCAUUUGCUAACUAAUGUUUGUAUUCUUUCUCUUUACCACUUCCUAUGCUCAAGGUGAUCUGGUUGAUGCUGUUGUUCCUUUUAUGGGGGAAUCAAUAUCCGAUGGCACAUUGGCAACGUUCUUGAAGAGUAUGCUUCCCUUAAAUCGAUAUUCCAAUUAUGCCUUUAUUAAAGACAGUUUUGGUUCUCAAUUUCAUUACUGCCCUCAAUGUAUUUCUGGUUUUGCUUUCUCGGUUCCUCUGAUGGAUCAUACAAUUUUUUUCCCCAGAACCUGGUGACAGAGUAGAAGUUGAUGAGCCUAUUGCUCAGAUUGAAACAGACAAGGUACUUUCCAUAGUUCAGUUCUUACUUGUUGCUUUAAAAUGUUUGCAGUUUUAAAUGGAGUGAAUGUUUCAAUUUUCUUUGUUUCCAUUAGGUGACAAUUGAUGUUGCUAGUCCUGAAGCAGGCGUAAUCCAAAAGGUAAACAAUCAAGGGUUUUGGAAUAGUUAAUUGUGGUUCAUUAUUUUUUUUAAAUUUUUAUUUUUAUGCUUUCUUGCUUCUUUCCGAAUUGCUUAAUCCUGAUACUUUAUGUGAUUUGCAAUAGUUCAUAGCCAAGGAAGGGGAUACUGUAGAACCUGGCACUAAAAUUGCUGUGAUUUCAAAAUCUGGUGAUGGUGUAACUCACGUUGCUCCGUCUGAGAAGCCCGCCGAAAAAGCUACUCCUGAGAAAAAGGUGGAGCAACCAAAACAGAAAGUUGAAUCUGCUGCUGCAGAAGUAAAGAAAGCUGAGAAGCCAAAAACUGAAGCCAAGGCUUCUCCACCUCCUCCUAAAGUAACUGCCACAGAACCCAGCUUCCCCAAAAGAAAGGGAAAGACGAGUAAGCCCAUGAUCUUUAUAUCGCACUACAUCUUGAGGUUUAUCUGGAUUUUAGUGAUCUUACAAUAUGUUUUCGACAUUCUUUUUCCUCCUAUAAUGCAUUUGAAUGUGUCCUUGUAACAGGUUCCUAUGACAAGGCUCAGAAAACGAGUUGCCACACGCUUGAAAGAUUCUCAAAACACUUUUGCAUUGUUGACAACUUUCAAUGAAGUUGAUAUGUAAGCUUAGUUACAUUUCAUAGAAUUUAAGAAGACCAGUAUGUUUGAGAAUGGUGAAAUAUGCCAAAGGCUUAUUCCUAUAAGUUUGGCUUUUUUUUUUUCAAAAGAACUUCUAGACGAUCUUUAGUGGGUUGAUUCUUUAAAAUCCUGAGUUUACCAUCCUAAAAAAUAUCCAUUUUUGGGUGCAAGCUUCACAUGUACCAUUCUAUUUCCAUACUUGGUUCUGUUUAAUUGUUGCUUUUUGCAGGACUAAUCUGAUGAAACUUCGUUCCGAUUACAAGGAUGCCUUUGUUGAAAAGCACGGUGUGAAGCUAGGUCUUAUGUCUGGGUUUGUAAAAGUAUGUAACCAAUCAUGAAGUAUGUUUUGUUAUUUUCUCUGCGGCCAGUCUCCUUUUUUUUGAAAUCCUGUCUCCUUCCAUGCCCUCUUUCAGGCUGCUGUUAGCGGACUCCAGAAUCAGCCCAUAAUAAAUGCUGUCAUUGAUGGUGAUGAUAUCAUUUAUAGAGACUAUAUAGACAUCAGUAUAGCUGUUGGCACGCCAAAGGUAAUCUGAGACAUUCUGCUUGCAAGAAAUAGUAUAAAUUUCUAAUAGACUGAGAUAGAACCAAAGAAGCUUGAACUACUUGAACUUAUACUUUUAUCUGCUUAAGAAGAAUGCUACUGUUGAUCAAACUUGAGUAUGCAUGUAAGUUGGAUGGCUAGUUAUCAUGUGUUAGCAGCUUUUUGCUUCUGCAUGUCGAGAUCUCCAAUAAAUUGUGUUAUUUUGACACUUAUCGUUGUGAGUGGUUCCCCUCUUACCUGUGGAUUGCUUUGUUUAACGAUCAUAUUUAAAAUUUAAUAUAAUCAGACAUGUUUAGGUAAUAUCUGUAUCGCUGAUUCCCACAUAACAACUGUCUGUGUAUUUUCAUUGAUUUACCGACUUGUAAGGUGUGGGAUACAAAAUAUGCACCUAAUAUGAAAUUGUAACCUUUUGACGGUCUGUAUUCAUGAUUUAGGGCCUUGUCGUUCCUGUUAUCCGCAAUGCUGAUAAGAUGAACUUUGCUGAGAUUGAGAAGGAGAUCAACACGUUGGCUAAGAAGGCAAGUGAUGGAAGUAUAUCAAUCGAUGAGAUGGCAGGAGGGUCAUUCACAAUAUCCAAUGGUGGUGUUUAUGGAAGCCUCUUGAGCACUCCAAUAAUCAAUCCCCUCAGGUGUGGCUCUUUGAAAGUCAUUGUUUGAUUGCGUGCUAUUUUCUUUGUCGCUAUCAACAAUAAAAUUUGCAAUUCGUUUGUGCCAUUUUCCAGUCGGCAAUUCUGGGUAUGCACUCAAUAGUCAACCGUCGAUGGUUGUUGGAGGUAACAUAGUUCCCAGACCUAUGAUGUAUGUUGCACUGACCUAUGACCACAGGCUGAUUGAUGGGAGAGAGGCAGUGCUCUUUUUGAGGAGAAUCAAAGAUGUGGUUGAAGAUCCACGUCGCUUGCUCCUUGAUGUAUGAAGAAUUGGUCAUUUGGGGGUUUGAUUUUAUAGAUAUUCUUAAUAUACUGCAGUUAAAAGCACACUUCGGCUAAACGAAUAAAUGUUUAGCACUUCAGUUGCGGCCAGCCACGUUUUAAUUUCAAAUGAGAAGGUUUUUUUUAGACGCUAGUUUAAGUGUGCUAAACUUGUGUUUAGUGCUUUUUAUUUUGGGCAUGAUGGAAUUUGUUGGAAUUUGUGCUAAACUUGAAGAUCCCUUAGUUGGCAGCAUUAUUUCUCAGUUUCAAAAGUUAUUGGAUAAUAAUCUCAAUGAAGCGAGUUCGCCUGUAGUUUUAACCCAUAUGUUUUAACUCUGCUCCUGGAUUUUUGUGGUGUCUUGAUGCAUGAACAUGAAAGAGGACCUGGAGGAAUUCAGUUUAAGAACUUACAGAGUAGUAGAUAUAAUCAUAGCUUGUAUCCCAAUGCAAGAUGCGAAAAGUAGAAGCACAAAAUCGAAAACCACCAUGUUGCUCAUUAUACAAGAUUUUACUUAAAGUUAUACAUAGAUGAUAAUGAAGUCAAAAAGUCGAAUUGGAACACAAACUUUGCGUACGGGUUUAGGGGCAUUUUGCCGAGUUACAUGAGUUGGGUAAUUCCCAUGCUAGCGCAUAUAAAAUUACCGCAUCUCCAGCUGGUAUGGCAUAAUCCAGCUAAAUUCUAACCUCAAUCCCUGCUUCGCAUAGAUGCUCUUUAACAGACUGAAUAGACACCUGAAAAUGAAUAUGUUCAUACCGAGACUUUAUCCAAUAAUUUGUAUACAGAAAAAGGAUCUGAAGAAAUUUCUCAAAAUGCAUGAUAGAAAUUUAGAACAGUCGAAAUCUAUAGAAACCACCGAUAUUAGAAUCCAUGCGUUCAAAAGUUUGUCUAAUAUUUAUUGGUAUCUACAGAAAACAAUGAGUCAAAAUUCAUCCCUGAUGCAUCAGAGAUUGUUUCACCAGGUGAUGUAUACGUGUCCAAAUGCAAGAAAUUCUGCUGAUAAUGAGGAAGCAAAUCCAGUUCUCAAGUACCAGUUAAAGAAACCAAAGGAAAAAAGCAAGAGUACAAGGUGGACUUCGCACAUCUUUUACAAAAUUAAUACCUCUUUUCUGUGGAAAAUGCCAGCAGCAAGCGCAGCAGAUGCAUUUGUCUGGUUAAAAACUUCUGAAAAGUGUUCUGCUGCUCCAGCCCCUGCUUGCAAUCACUGGGAUGCUAACAGCAUCUGAGAUUAACUUCACCAGAUCUAUAUCGAAUCCUUUCCCUUGACCUAGAAGGGCAUCAUUUGCAUUUGAAAGGCUUUAGAUUCAUCAUUACUAUUAAAUAAAAGAUCAAUGAAAGUUUUGACAUACUCAUAAAACUUGGCAGAGAUGUUAGAAGACGAAUAUUUUUACAGCAAAAGCGUGAAUCAACUAUCCAGGUUUGUUCAAAGUAAAUAGCCUCCCGAUUUAGUCAUUCAAAAUGUUACCACCACUGCUAUAUGCAUUCCCCUGGGAUUUCAUUAACUAAAUAUCCUAUUGUCAGUGGCAUUUGGUAACAGAUUCAUCAUGCAUACCAUACAUUUAAAUGAUUAUUAGUGCCAGUUACUGGCAAUAGAAUCACACUUACCAUCACAGUCAAUACAAUUUAAUAGGAUUUCCCCAGCUCCAAGUUCCUCGAUGGCUUUAGCAAGCUCAUAUGCCCCAAUCGGUCGACCUUCACGACCACCAUUGACCUUAAGGAUAAUAACAAGGUUACUCUAGAAUAUUAAAAACAAUGGAAUUUAAUGCCAUGGGAUGGACCAAUAUGUACAUUGAGUAUGCAAGAAGCACAAAAAAGUUGAUAUAAGAAUGUAGAAAGCUUUAGAUAAGAGAAUCCGCAGAAAUGUAAAACUCACUUCUACCUAAGUCCUCAGCACUCUUCCCCAGUAAAGAUGAAGAAAUGCCAAAAGAAUUUAAGAAUAGCUGCCUUAUAUUUAAUGGACAAAACAGCACUAUAUAGUGAAAGUCGGUUAAAUUUUACAUCAGACCAGUUCCUGAAUUAUAGCCUCAUGAUGCAUCUCAGUACAAGAACCUACUACUAUUUUCACAUGCAAUCCAAUAGCAAAUGUCAACAAUUACUGCUGCUGAAUGCAACUCUCUAUCCUUCGAUUGUUUUAUAGCUGACGACAUGAUGAAGGUCUACAAGUUAUAUGAUUACUUACCGUGCAUUGAUACCAGGCAUAUUUUUCUCCAUUUGGACCUGAAAGUAAUCAGUAUGUCAAUCAAUAAGCCCCCAACAAGGCAAAAAACCAUUUCUUUACUUUCUAGUCUAUUUUAAAUGAGAAAACCUGUACCACACACAUGAAGUGUCUCUGCGUUCACCAGCUCAAGUCAUGUGGCAACCAAAAAUGGUUUUUUCAUCCUCUAUUUCCCACUCCCCACCCUCCCCCCCCCCCACAAAACCUCAGGGGUCUCUGCACUGCCAAAAGGUUAAAGAAACAAAGGAAAAUUUUAAACUGGAAAAUUCUCCUCGAAAGAUCCUGCUGAAUGAAGGGUAGCUUUGGUAUAUAUGAUCAACGUCACACUUGCAUUCUUGGAAUCUCCCCGAGUCAAAAUUUGCUAUUUUCGUCAAUUUUAGUCACAUAUUAUGUUCCACAUUGUCCAACCAGGAGUCUUUUACACAAUAAGAAGAUCAUAAAAUAAAUACCCAGAAGGAACCUACAGGAUAAUAUCACUGCAACUGCAAUGAGAUAUCCUACCUGGGUUUCUAACUGGGAUGGUCUUGAAUUUCACAGUAUCUGGAUCCUUCACGUAGACCCUCCGAGGAUCAAUGCUAACAACCACAGCCUACAAGAUCAACAUUAAAUGAAGCAAGUAAUCAGACCAUACAAGUACCCAUAAAUUGAAAACAAGACAUAUAAACGACAUAUUAACAGGAGAGAAUCAAGGAACUGCUAGCUAUUACUUUUGGCAUAGAGGAAAAUACAAUGAUAAAAGUUGAAAAAAGCUCAGAAAACAACAUUUGGAUGAACCUAUUAUGCAAUUUAGAGUGACAGAGAAAAUGAAAUCAAAAGUGACUACAAAAGCAAAGAGAUAUUGUAUUGCAACAAAACAAACAACCGUUCAACCUAAUGUAGCAUAGAAAGAGGUUGGCCAUCAGCAAGUUUCUGUACAACCUGUUCGAAGAAGUGCUUCUUCUCUACUACAUGAUAAUUUGUAAUGCCGAUGUUUUGAUAUGAAUAGCUAUGGUUUGAAAAAGAAAACGCUGGAACAUAUCACUAUCGUCUACACAGGACAAGCACAAAACGAACAAUCCUCAAAAUGAAUAGUCAAUCUUGAUUCUCCAGUCAAUAUUCUAAUAUAAGCACAUUUUUGUGCAAUGGGACAUAAUAUAGAACAUGUGUGAUGAAUUUACCUGAUUACCAUAAACCCAUGAGAUCUGCUCUAGACUGCUCUUCCCAGUUUUUUCCUUGAGAAAGCGGUUCAAGAAAUGUUGUUAGCAAAAUAAAAGACGUAAGGAAAAAAAAAAGAAUUAAUAAGCAGGUAUAUUAUUUGCAACAUGCUGCAAGUAUCACAUACUCCAGUUUUCAGAAAUUCUUCGGCAGCAUAAACUGCAUCACUUCCAAUUGAAACCUUAUCUGCCCCUGAUCUAAAAUAUUCUGAAGCAACCUCCAAACUGGAAUAGUAUCUGAGGAAUGAGAAGCCAGAGUGUUAAGUCUUUCAACCUCAGAAAUCACCUGCUACUCUCCUGAAGCAUGUGCAAGCACUAGAGCAGUACAAGGAAAUCAAGUACUAAAGUGUAAUGACUCCCCUCCCUUCUUCUAAAGAGGUGUAAAACAAUUGGCUACAACUAUAUGUUUUACCUUCCAUUUCCAUCAGUAAAAUCACGAAUGCCUCCACCAACUGUUAGUGGUACAAAAACAUUCUCUGAUGUAUAUCUCAGUACCUACAACACAAAAAAAAAAGAUAACGGGAUAUGAUAAGUUUAAGAUAGAGGAGAAUGGAAAGUAAAAAUGAUGACACACUGAUAUUUAAAUCAGUUGCAUACAUACCUGCAACAUUGGCAAAUCGCCAAGAGGGAAGUCACGGAAACCUGUAAUGUUUAAAAAGCUAACCUGAAAUACAGAAAAUUUAAUUAGCUUAUGGCGCACAUGAAUAACGCAAAGCUGUAGUGCUCUUAGAAUUAAUACAUACCUCAUCAGCUCCAUCUUUGUAAUACUGCCCAGCAAGUUCUACCGGCUUUCCAAGAUUUCGCACCUUUAAGAAUGAUAAAGAUACAAUAAAUUUAACAUUUUGCUCUCUAUCUUUACUGAUAGCUUUUAUCUCCGAUUCAAGAUUCUGAUAUGGUCAAGUAAAAUAGCAAGACCACCAUUAUGUCUGUAAAGCGAAGAAAUUUACGAAAUGCAAAUAUUGCAUAGCCUGACCUCAUUGUCCUCUGUGUGCUCUCUUACAUCAUAUUGGUCACCUUUGGUCACAACGAGAUCACCUUUGUCAUUAGUCCUCACAUCAAGGCAUGCAAUAACCUGAAAGUUGGAAAACCAAUCAUAGAAAGUAUCCCCUCAUAGCUAGAUCACAAAAAUCAAAUAAAUAUAACCUCAAUGAAUAAAGGAUAAAAAAGUGACAUGAACAAUUGGAUCAAGUCCUCACCCUCUUUGCAAGUUUAGAGGCCUUCCCUUGGACUGGCUUCUGCCUUCACAUGAAGCUUUCAGGUCUUAGAUGCCUUUGGCAAAACAUUUGAGAGUCACACAACAAUUUAGAGGGGAGAUCGGUACCUUUGUCAACUCGUUAUUUGGAUAUAAGAACCUUCUCAGGAUGGAAAGGCCAACAGCUGGAUUAUUUUUAAGAACAAAAUGACAAUUAAGAGAUUUUUUCUACAAUUCAUGAUGGUAAUCAUGCUACUUGAGUGCUCAAGCAAAAGCAGCAAAAAUAGGCAGGAGAUUCUAGAUUCAUGACAAUAACUGCAAGUGCAGAAUAGGAAACAACAAAAACAAGGGUAGACAGGAUAAUUCAACUUCAUUACGAGAGACAUCUUUCAAAGAUUGUAAAACAGAAAAACUAAAAAAAAAAAAAGACAAAAUCAAUAAAAAAAAGAAAGAAAUGAGCAAAAACUUCUUUCCACUUGAUUACAUGAUAAUAAUUAUUAUCAUAUCCAAUCAUACCUCCACUCUUCUCUGGGUGAAAUUGGACAGCAUGAACAUUUCCUCUUUUUACUGAUGCAAUGAACUUGUCGCCAUAAUUGCAGGUAGAAGAUAUCCAAUCUUUGUUAUCAUCUGACUAAAAGAGUAAAAGAAGCAAAACAUUACGGCCAGAGACCUUGAAUAAAAAAAAAAAAACAAUGAUGUGUGACAAUGAAAUGAGAAAAUGCUGCAAAAGGCAGAUGUGAAUUGCACUGGCAAAUAGGAUACCAUACCGGCAUUGCACGGUAAGAAUGCACAAAAUACACAUGUCGAUUUCCUAUAUCAUCCAAAAUGUCAGAGUCUUCUGUUAUUUGAAGAGCAUUCCAGCCAAUAUGAGGUACGCUAUAACCUUUUGAUGAGUCAAAUCUUCCAACUAUGCCAGGAAUCAAGCCAAGGCCUUUCACUAAGAGAGAUGAGCAAUUGUCAGGUCAUCCACAAAGCAACAGAUCCAUUAUUUGUGACGAGAGAAUAUUUAAGCUACAACAGCAAGUCUUGUGGUCUGACAUUUAACCUGAAUGGUUCACCACCUCCAGAGCACGAAUCAUACAAAUUGCAAAAUACACCAUUACUAGCACCUAAAAUAGCAUGAGGCUAAAAAUGUUGAAACAUGUAAACUCACAUAUAAUUAUAUGACUACACAACUCAAUUCACAAGUGUAUUUUCAGGCUGAGGUUCAUCACAUCCCACCUCCAAAUCUGGAAGAACUCAACUAAAAUAUGUUUUCUAUUUUAGCUGGGAUAAACUUGAUGAAUCCUUUUCCUUCACCCGCAAAGUCACAACUAAGCUUGAGAUUUACAUUUUGAAACACUUGAUUGAUUCUUAAGCUCAAAAAAAGCUGUUAUCUGCCUUACCCGGUCCAUUCUCCUCACUUGACUCAAAGAGUAGCUGAAGUCCAAGACAAAUGCCUAAGAAUGGGCGAUCUUGCUCAAUGUAACUGCAAAGAGCCUCAGCCAUCCUACAGAAGAAUGCACUCCUUGAGUUCUGAAACUAGUUUGAUUGACUAACACAAAGGAAUCCACAUUUGUGAAACCAAAAAAAUAUGGUAGAAGUGUGUUAUAUUUCUGGAUGUGUAUAUGUGGAGAUACAGAAGAAGAAACAGACAGAGACACAGGUCCAGACAAACACAAAUAGAAGUUUAUUAUAGAUUGCCACUUUUGCUUCAAAGUUAUCUUUCUUUCUAGUCAACUCAGUCCACGAUUUUUGUCCGACUUCAUAUAAUUGCAGUAUAGAGGACUUGAUUGCUUAAUAGUGCUAUAUAUAUAAAUUAAUAUAAUUGCAGUAUUCGGGACUUUUUUUAAUAAGUUCCUUCAAUUUACUGAUGUCCAGGAACUACAACAUCCAAGAUGGACUUUGUUAUCUUUAAAUCUCAAUUGUUUUUCACUUCUAUCCAAAACAUUUGGAACAGAUCAUUUAGGGAGUAAAAAAGGUGUGUUCCACUGGAUCAGAAAAAAAAAUGUAGAUAUUAGUUUUCUUAAAUGAUGAACAUUAUUAAGCAUUAUCUACGGACAAAAUUGAUGUAGUAAGAUUGACAUUUCACAGGACAAAUGCAGAACUGGAUAAAGAGUUACCCUCUCUGGUUCAACACAUCCAUGGCAGCAGCAAAUGCACCUACACCAGGAAAUAUAAGGCGUCUUGCAUUCAUGAUGUCCUCUGGAGUCUGAACCUAAAAGUUUUCCGGACAGAGUUUGAAAUUAAUAGAAGCACAAUUCUCAACACAGACUCAAAUGAUUAAUUUUUGUCUAGUCUCUAGGAUCCCCAGUUCAUUUUCAGAAACAAUUUUGCUUAUAGCUUGUUGAAUGAAUCUAUGCCUACCCUCCCUUUUCUCUCCUCGAAAACCACCUAGUCCACCCCCACACCUACCCCGAAUUCCCACCCCUGGAAUCAAAAAAGAAGAAAGAAUGAAGGCCACUUAUUUUAGACUUAAGAAGUCGCAUUUUAAGUAGAAUAUUUAGGCACAGUAUAUAACUUCGACAGAUAAAGUUCUCCAUGAAGCUUCAGAAUCUAAUUUUCUACCGUAGAUAAAGUAAAUCACUAGAUAAUUAACAGUUACAUACUUCCUCGAUCAUCUCACUUUCUAGACCUCAAAAACGAAAAGGAAAAAAGAAACACACACACACCAACAAUCCUUUCCCUGUGACUGGUCAACUUAGCAAUUCAAUGUCAUCAGAACGGCUUCAAAAAAAAAAAAAAAAAAUCUCAAAUUUCAAAUCUUGUAAAUCAAAAAGAGCCAGCGAUAUAUCUAUUGAUUUCUUAGUAAAUAACGUCAAUAAACCAAUAUUCGUCGGUAAUCAGAAGCUGAAACAAAGUUGAUAACCUAAAAGCAGAAGUCCUAACGAGUCUUAUUUAUAGCUUAUUGUUUACAUUGUUUUUACUUUAAAAAAUUUGAGAAAACAAGGAAAUGAAAUUAAGUUUCAUUCACCAAGAUAAUAACUAAGUCGGAAAAAUCAUAACAGCAGCAUGGUGUUGAAAAACCAUCUUUAAUAUUAAAGCCGAGGUAGCGAAUUGCAUUUCUCACGCUCCGGACAUUCCCGGCACCGUAAUCAAGCAGAGUGACCACUGAAAUAUUGAAUAGACGAAUGUUAAAUUCAAAACCGACAAUAUCACCUAUUUAAAUUCAAACAAUUCCACAUCGAGUAAUAAUGCCAUAUACAGUUAAAACGCCAUACAUAUACACACAGAGAGAGAGAGAGAGAGAGCGUGACAUUACCUCCGUCGCCGGAAGCGGAGGCGCGGACGGAGCAGCUUCUGGAAGUUUCAAAUUUGAGAGGUUCUCCGGCAGGCUUAGAGCGUAGAAAAUGGAGAGAGCAAGAAGCAGAGGGAAUGGGAAAAGAGACGACGAAUUUGAACGAGAUUUUAGCGUUAGCAUCCGCGAAGUAGCUGAAGCAAAAGUCGCCGCCUCCAUGGCUCCUUUGUCACUGCAGUUUCAGAGUUGAAUGGAGUGUUGUAACAGUAGAGCACUCAAAUGCCUCAGCGGUCGUUUACAUUUCCUAUUACCUUUCCAAAACUUGCGUAUUUAUACUUGUCUUUUGGUUCGGUUGAUAAAGGAUCGUGGGCGCCAUUAGAAUCUUUGAGUUCAAUGCUACUAUGGACUUCUAUCAACGCCCAAUGAAGUCCAAAAGCAUAGUGGGCUAAUUUAUUUCAUUUGCAGGCCAGCUAUAGAUAUCACGGAUUGGUGAUGGAGUUAAUGGAUGUAUUCCCAAUAACAUGUGUAUUGUGGAAGCCAUUUUUUUUUUUUUUUUUUUUGGAAACAUUGUGGAAGCCAUUUUGAGGGUGAAGAGGUGCGGGAGACCAUUUGAGUCAUAAUGUGUUGUCGACUACAAGGAAAUCGCACUUCUGUAUUUCGCUAAUUUUUAAAAUUCUGGGAACGUAAAAGUGAACGAAACGGGUGAAAGCUCUUCCGAAAGGUCACAUUCUAAUUGUAGUUUUUCGCCUAAGGAUUUGUUUGGAAGGUUGUUUUUUUACAAUUUUAUUUUUAAUUACUUUUUUAUUUCACAUACAUUACAACAAAUUAUCCCUUAAACAUGCAACUUAUCCCUUAAACGUGCAACAGCCUUUUCCUAUCCAAGAACGCGUUCGCUAAAAUAUGCAGCAAUGCCAAUCUUUAGCAUAUGCAUCUUGUUUUGCUUAGGAAACACUUGAAAACAGGCAAACGAGCUCAGGAAUACAUAAGGGAAAAACGAAAAUUUUGAAUUUCAACCCAUUGCUCAAAUCGGUGACAAUAUAUUGUCAAAACCUGUGGUAAAUUACGAGUGUACAGCUUUCUGUUUCAUAGAGAGAAGAAGACACGGCUACUUUUGUCCAUGUCUCUUACUUCCCCCGUCCUCCUCUAUUUUUCCCGUUGUUCGAUCAAUGCUGAAAGCACUUUUACCUAGUUGUCAUCAGCAUUGCCCGUAUCUUGGCCCUGAGAUCAUCAGAGAUUUGGGUUGUCUCAGAGGGUUGAGAAGAGCCCUCGAAUAUGUACUUGCCAUGUCUACAGAAGUUUCACGGCUAUGAUGACCACCCGCAACCCUAGAAUGAUCAGAGAAUUUAGGACUGAUCUCGCCUUCCUCCAAUUCAUCUUUUUCUGAGUAAGAUCUCUUUCUAUCUCCAACAUAUCUAUCAUAAUGCUCAUUCUCGGGACUAGAAGAGCAGUCACGCUUUUUUAGUUGAAUGUCUCCAUCCUCAGAUGAAUAAACUUUCUGGCGCUUAGGACUGCCUCCACUUCGAUGUGAAGAACGAUAAGACUGGUGCUUCUUUCUACAGUGCUUGUGAUCCUUUUUAUCCUCUUUUUCAUGUGAAGAUCGACGAGAUGAAUGCUUCUUGCUCGACUGUUUAUGAUAACUUGUAUCAGUAUCUUUUUCUCCAUCAUCAUCUUCAUGAGAAGAACGAUGAGAUCGGUGCCUCUUUCUGGAUCGCCUAUGCGACUUUUCCUUCUUGUAAUCGUCAUCAUAAUCCUUUUCACGGGAAGAAUGAUGCGAGUGAUGCUUCUUUCUGGAGUGCUUGUGAUUCUUUCUCUCUUCAUCUUGUCCUCCUUCAUGCUCCUCCUUAGAGUUAUCCUGUUCCAAUUCUUCCUCAUCAUUAUUUUCAUCAUCAUUUUCUUCACAUCUCUCAGGUCUUGAUCGGUAAUUCCUCUUUGAUCUCCGUUCAUCACUCAAACUGUUUCUCUCAGGAUUUUCAUUUUUCUCCAACAUAAUAAUAUCUGUAGGGGCUGAGCUGCAUUCUCUUUCUUUAAUACCAUCAUUAACUUCAGCAGGGGAUCCUGAAACCCCUGGUUCCGAAGGUUCUACUGACAAAGCACGCAAGGCCUCAGUUUUUGAGGGCACAGCUCCACUUUUUAACAUGGCCACAAACAUCUUUGCCCUUUUCAGUCUUUCAGCUUUCAGCUUCUGCUCUCUGGUCAAGUGUGCUUCAGAGUCAGCCCCACCGCUAGUUUCAAAAACGGCAGCUUUUUCCUCUGCCUUAUAGCCCAAAGAAUUGGACCCAAAGCCUGAGGCCUGUCCAACGUCCUUGUCAUGGCCCCACUGUUAUCACUGCGAGCUGUGCUCGAACUGACGCUAUUUGGAAUUCUGAAGCCCCUUGUGGCAGCCUGAAGAAUAGCUGCAGCAGCUUCUGCAUCUAAACUUACUCCACAGUCUUGCUGGGUUGCUUUAGAAGGUGGGUCCUGUAGAUCCUUUCUUGAUUUACCAAUUAUCAUUUUAAAUUUCUCUUUCCUGUCAGAUUCAUCUGGAAUAUCAGAACAAAGAUAGUUGGACGACAUAUACUCAUUCUUGUCUAGGCCAAGUCUUGCUGAAUCAUCCUCCCCAUAGGUGUUCUUGGCACUCACUUUUGACUGCAAAAAAGUAAAGGAAAGUCAGCAAAGAAAUGGAGUCAAAUAAGUGGCUGUAUACAUAAUCUAUCAGAGGAAACAAAUACGACGCAUGUUCGAUAUGAGAAUAAGAAAUACAUUCCAAAACUGACAAACAAUGGGUAUAGCAGGUAUAUAGAGAGAGAGAGAGAGCCCAAAUUUGAAGGUAUACAAUGUCAAAUAGAACACCACCCAUAUACAUUCACAAACAGCACCAUAGACAAAGGUAAAGGGCACACCUCCUGAGCUUUUUGGAGGCUUUUUAGGUAGUAUGGAUGAUACUGGUCAGACAGCACAAGAAACGGGAACCUCCCCUGUUUACUGUCCUGCUCACGGAGUGCAGCCUCAAACUGCUUUCCAUUCUUCAGAACAAAAUCAACAACCUUGUCAAUCAAUCUCUUCAGAUCAGAAGGAGGCUCUAAAAAUAAAGGUUCCUUUAACUUCUCCGAAGAAGCCAAAUAUGAGCCUGAGACAUGAUCCUUUUUAACAUUAGUUGUUCUUCCAGGCUUAGAUGCUGCAAUUGAAGGAUUUUUCUUCAGAGCAGAAAGCUUGUCAUUAGUAUGAACUGGACGCUUUGCAAGAGGUUCCUUUUUCUCAGGCGCAUUUGAACUAGAAUCUGUCUUUUCUGAACCAUGAGAAACAACUGAACUGGUUGUAUUCAUGACUUUGUCUGGAACAGCAUUUCCAGUUUCGUUUGCAUCCUCCUCAUCCUCUCCAGACCCAUAUACAGAACCUAGCAAAGACAAAGCGCCUCCAACACCCGCCUUAUUCUGGUUAGUAUCAGCAGUUUCAUCUAAAGAUUGAGUUUUGCCAUCACUAUCUGACUGCAAUAAUUCUUGGUGAUCGACAAGAAACGUGAAGUAUGCGUGAAGAUUAUGGUCAGGCAUCAAAGAACCCAAAUGUUGAUUGUCCCUUGUUUCACCCUCAAUACAAUUUCUGACUGCCCACCAUGUUUGCUGACAAAUUUAGCAGUCCUUGCAAUAAUCUGAUGUACUUUCUCUGAUGGAGGCUGGAAAAACAGGCAAAGCAAGAAAAUCACCAAAGGUCUGUCAGAAUUUGAAAUUCAAAAUUGCAAAUCCAAAGCAUAGUAGCUUAAAAUCUCACAUUCCAAAGAUACAUCAAAAUAGUCUGACAUAACAAGUAUUUUAAUAACAUAUACCCACAUUGAAAAGCUGUACGAAAUAUUUCUUAUGCAGUUGCCUUCAAGAAGUAAAUGCUACUCCGUACAAUGAAAAUAUGUACAAUCCUAAUCCACCUGCACUGCAACUUGGUCAUGACAUCAAAACGACACAAGGUUCCAGUGAAUGGCAACCUUAGAUCACAAUAACUCCAUUCCUGCUCCGAGCAUCUGAAAACUUAGACAGGGUGAGCCUUAGAAUAGCAUGCACAUUACUGGGGUUACUAUUGGCCACAUUUGCAGUCAAGUUAGAGCAAGUAAAUAAACAACCCUGAAAAUCAAAUGGAAAUGUCCAAUGAAACAUGUUCACGAUAAUGAACUUACCAAGCUAUGAAGAAGGCUCUCAGGCACAGGGAACGGAGGAAAGAAUUUAGCACAUUCUAGCCCCCAUCUGCGUCAUUCUGGUCAGCUGAGCCAUUGGUGUUUCAUAAGAAAAGGCCACAGCACGAUAACCCCCAGCAUCCCCAGGCUUUUCAGCCUCUUCUGCUUCUAGGCAAAACAGAUAUUAGAAUUACCCAAGUCAGUAUGUUCAUAAAAAAAAAUGAAAAAAUCAAUAUGCAAAUCCAUAAGAACUAUCCUAACGGGGCUCUAAGAAAAGGAAAUUCACCAUAGAUAAGUCAAAUUUUAACUUUUUCACAAUUUGUGGACCUCAAUUAAGUAAAGCAGCACAAAAUUUUACGAAAUCUAAAAAGAAAAAUGUUAAAAGUGGAAAAGGAGAACAAAAAUUAUCUUACCUGGUUCAUCGGAAGGGGGAGGAAGGUCGAGGUAGCGUUCGUGAUCGAGCUCAGAAUUAUGUGACGAUUCGAUGAGAUGAGGAGAAGUUUGAGGAUUGCGCCGCCUGCGGGAGGCAGUGGACCGGAGAGGAGGUGGCGGACGUCGUAGCGGUCGAUUAGUAGGGAAUUCCACUCGACGAGUGCGUCACCGGAGUUCACAAACGACGCCAUGGCAUCGUCGUCGAACAGCAGGGCAUGGCGCCCACCACCUCUAGAUCCAUCAUCGUCUAUAGCAAUUUAUCGGGAUCCAAUUGAAAUGAAACCCUAGCUUACAAGUUAUAUUUAAUGCUACUGUCAGGGAUUAGGAUUUUGUAUUGCAAUAUUACUGUCUAUUGGCUGUAUGUACGUAAUUUUGAUGAUUGCGGGAGGUGGCCGGUUUGUUACCUAGUUUAGCGGUUUUGGGCUUAUAAAUGGCCUAUAAAUUGUUCACUUGCGGAAAACAUGCUCUUGGGCUUUAUGGGUUUUUGAAUGACUUCCAUGCACUUGGGCCAUUCUCAUUGCAAAUUGACGUACAUUAGUAAUUUUAAUCUUCCAAGUCAUUGCAAAUUCAGCAAAUCAUGCAACACAAGGUUAAAACUUCUAGAGUUUGUUUGAUGUUUUUUCCGUGUGGCUCAUAUGAAAUAAGCUCAAGUUGAUACAGACGACUUGGCCAUUAUCUCCUAUAUUGAAAGAUUAUUUUUUUUCGUUUGGAAGGGAUUCUACGCCUUAGUGCCUUACAAAGGGAAGAGGAGAAAUGAGAGAGCUUGGGAGCUAAGCUAAAAACCUGAUGAUUACCUAGUCAAUAUCCUUCUUAAUUGAGUUGGGUCUUAGAGAUAAAUCUUAAUGAAAGAUGCGGCAUCUCUCUUUGCUCAAAAUUUGAAAAAUUUCAUGCAGGCACAACUAGAAUUUUCCUUUAUACAGUACAUGGAUAUUAGUCCAUACAAGGCACGAAAAUUUUCAGCAUCAAGAAGCCCAUUCUCUAGUUGUGCACCCGUUUUGGUCCGGUGGUAGUUCAAUCCCCUUGGGGUUAUCUCUGGGCCUCCUUAGAUCCGCCCCCUCUCCCUUAGUGUAGAAUAAAUUAGGUUAUACGACAGUUGUCGUCUCCGAAAAAAAAAAAAAAGAAGCCCAUUCUCAAUGGCUCCAAGGCCACCAUGUACAAACCACACCCCCGCCCCAAAAAAAAUAAAAGAAAGGCGAAGUAUUCUGCCCCCAAGGGAUGAAAGACUAGAAAAACAGGGGGAAGAAAGUGCAGAAACAAAUGGAGAUUUUCUUCCCCGAAGUCGAGCAUUUACAGCCAGAACAACCCUUGUAAAUAAAUGUCAUGAGCUAACUACUGCUAAGGCUAUUUCCUUCAGAAAACCUACUGCUAAGGCUACAACAUUCUCUAUACCACGAAACUCUGAUAACUGAAACAAGAACUCACUCUUUCAAUGUGAAAGAGAAAUCUAUGAUUCUGGAAGAUGAUACCUUGUCAUGAAACAGAAGCUAAAGACGUGAAACAAAGAAGCGGCCUUUAAGUAAGUAACUACAACAGGCGGAAGGCGUGGAUUCUGGCAACACGCUUUUAUUAAGUAAGAAGACGUGAGAAACAAAGAAGAUUGAAGGUGGAGGCGUGGGAAACAAAUCACGCCUUUUCUGGGAACAAGCUCAAGCAACGUGAGUUUCUGAGCAAGUGGCUCUCCAACAGAUUUCUGUUAUCCCUCACAUGGAUGAGCUGGAUUGGGAAGCAUCAGAGGAGCGGGCUAUUAGUUAACUCUAUAUAAAAGAUCAGUAGUGGAAAGGAUUAUCAUUUUGUUAGUCAAGUUGUAAGGGAUCAUUCCCUGGUUCUUUCUCUUCUGUUUUCCUAACAGCUUCCAGGUUCCUUUCCUGCAACUUAGCAGCUUCAAUGGUGUCUGCUAAGGUGAGGGGUCUGGUCAUCCUAACCAUACUUACUAUUUCCUCCUUUAAACCACUAAGAAAACACAUUUGUAAUAUGAAUCAGGUUGACCAGGGAGAGAUAACAUUACCAUAGAUUUCAGUUGUUCAAACUUCUCCAGGUACUCAGUGACACUCCCUGUCUGCAUCAGCUUGUUAAAUUCCUCUAUGGCCUCCUCUGGAUCUCCCUCCCCAAACCUUUCACAAACCGCCACUAGUUCUCUCCAUGGAACUGUCCCCUUCUCGUGGUACAUGCCAUGGAACCAGAUGUCUGCCUUCUCCUGGAAAUGGAGUUGAGCAAUGUCUGAUUUCAGGCCUUCCUCCACUUCAUGGAUCUGGAAGUAUUUGUUUGCUCUUCUAACCCACUCUCUGGGUUUAUUUCCAUCAAACGCAGGGAAGUCCAUCCUUGGUAGUCUGGCUCCCCCUUUACUUCCCCUUUCUCAGUUAAAUCUGUGGUAACUGCUAUCCUAGCCUCAUUCCUAGAACUACCCCCUUCUACCUCCUUCCCCUUGUCGUUUAGUUUGGCCAUGAUCUGAGCCAUCAUGUUCAUCAUCCCCUCAUAUUUCUGAUCUAAAUUUUUUAUGGCUCUAUCUGUGCUCUCCUGCCUAUGCUCCAUUGCCCUUACAGACUGUUCUACCCCAUCAUUCUUAUUGGCAAAAGUCCUCACCACACUCCCCAACUCAGUGAGCUCUCCUUUCUCAGAGCUUCCUCCUGAGUUUUAGUCAUGUCCCAAUGGCUUGUAGCUAGCUCUGAUACCACUGUAAUGGUAUCGAACAGUAGCCAGGCAACAGACCAGCUCCCAGUGGCAGGUUUAUGAACAGCACAGAACUAAUUUACCAACAGGAAGAACCAAUAUGAACUGAUGAAUAAUCAAUGAAUUAGUAUUGAUAUUGAUUGAAAUAGAAGAUUACAGAGUUGGCGGAAAUAAGAAAGGAAAUGAAAGAUUGAAGGAAAACAGAAGAGAAAGAACCAGGGAAUGAUCCCUUACAACUUGACUAACAAAAUGAUAAUCCUUUCCACUACUGAUGAUAUACUGAUUUACAGUCCCUCUCUGGAAAGUGCACCUGCAGCAGGUGGCAGAAGUACUAAACAUAUUGCAGGAAAAUCAACUGUAUGCCAAGAGGAGUAAAUGCUCCUUCGCACAAACUGAAGUAGAAUACCUUGGCCACAUUAUCUCAGGAGAAGGAGUAAGGGCAGAUCCAAAGAAAGUGGACAGUAUGAUGAAAUGGCCUAAGCCAGCUUCUGUCAAGGAGCUCAAGGGAUUUCUGGGUUUAACAGGGUAUUACAGAAAAUUUGUCAAGGGAUAUGGAGCUACUGCAAAGCCACUUACCAUAUUGCUAAGAAAAGAUGGCUUCCACUGGAAUACAGAAGCAGAGGAGGCCUUCCAGAAGCUCAAACUGGCAAUGUGCAGCACACCCGUGCUAGCCUUACCUGAUUUCACCAAGCCUUUUGAAGUGGAAACUGAUGCUUGCUAUGGAGGAAUUGGAGCAGUACUGAUGCAGAAUAAAAGGCCAAUCGCAUUCAUGAGCCAAAGCCUGGGUCCCAAGAACCUGGGAAUGUCCAUUUAUGAAAAGGAAUUGUUGGCCUUGGUAACUGCUGUCACUAAAUGGAGGCACUACCUGGAGGGGAGUCAUUUCAUUAUUAAGACUGACCAUCAGAGUCUUAAGUACCUCCUAGACCAAAGAGUCACGACAACACUUCAGCAGAAAUGGCUCACCAAACUGCUAGGACUAAGCUAUGAGAUCCAAUACAGAAAGGGAAAGAAAAUGUAGCAGCAGAUGCUCUAUCCAGGAGGGCAAGCAGAGAAGAAGGAGAUUGUACUGAGCUGACAUGUGUCAUUCCAGAGUGGAUGAAGGAGGUUAUAGGUAGCUACCAAGGGGAUGAAGAAGUACAGAACCUGAUCAGACAGUUAUUGCUCACUCCUAGUAAUCCAUCAGAACACUCUUAUCAGGAUGGAGUGCUCAGAUACAAAGGAAAGAUAGUAGUUGGCUCAAAGGGAGAUGUGAGGAAGAAAAUCAUUGCUGCAAUACAUGGUUCACAACUUGGAGGUCAUUCUGGAAUUCAGGCUAGCUACUUAAGAGCCAAGCAGCUGUUCCACUGGCCAGGGAUGCACAGGGAUAUCAAGGAUACCAUUUUGCAGUGUGACACAUGCAAAAAAUGCAAGGAUGAGCACGUUGCUUAUCCUGGACUCCUGCAACCUCUUCCUAUACCUCAGUACUCAUGGAGUCAUGUCACAAUGGAUUUUGUCGAAGGCCUGCCAAUAUCAGAGAAGAGGGACACUAUUAUGGUAGUGGUGGAUAGACUCACCAAAUCAGCACAUUUCAUCAGCCUUUCACAUCCUUUUGAUGCCCCUACAGUAGCCAGACUCUUUUUGGAUCACAUCUGCAAGCUGCAUGGAAUUCCUUUAAGCAUGCUAUCUGACAGAGACAAGGUGUUCACCAGUCAAUUCUGGACUGAACUCUUCACUUUGUUGGGUACGGAUUUGAAGCUAAGCACAGCCUAUCAUCCCCAAACAGAUGGCCAAUCCGAGAGGGUCAACCAAGUGCUGGAAAUGUACUUAAGAUGUAUGACACAUUUGGAGCCAAGAAGAUGGAAUGCAUGGCUCUCCCUUGCUGAAUGGUGGUAUAACACUACCUACCACACAACUAUUCAGAUGAGUCCAUUCGAGGCAUUGUAUGGAAUGGCUCCUCCUCAACUGGCAGUAGGUCCCUAUUUACACCUUAGAGUAGCAGCAGUGGAGGACCAUCUGAAGGAUCGACAGAGGAUGGAUGGAAUUCUCAAAACCAACUUGCAAGAAGCCCAGAACAGAAUGAAGUUUUAUGCUGACCAAAAUAGAAGUGAAAGAUCAUUCCAGGUAGGGGAUUGGGUCUACUUAAGAUUACAGCCAUAUAGACAAAUGUCUGUGGAGUUGAGGAGCAACACCAAACUGUCAGCUAGAUAUUUUGGCCCUUAUCAAAUAGUUCAGAAAAUAGGAGAGGUAGCAUACAAACUUAAGCUACCUGAUGGAUCCAAGGUACACCCUGUGUUUCAUGUAUCCUUACUAAAGAAAAAGGUAGGAGGAAAUACAACUCCAGUGCUCCAGCUACCAAACUUAGACGAAAAAGGACAUUUGAGGGUGACACCAGCAACAAUUCUGGAUCGCAGAAGCAUCAAGAAGAGAAAUGCAACAACAGUGCAGUGGCUCAUUCACUGGUGGGGAACUACUCCUGCUGAAGCUACUUGGGAAGACGCAGAGAAGAUAAGGAAGGAAUUCCCUGAAUUUCAAUCUUGAGGACAAGAUUGAUUGAAGGAGGAGCAAUUGUCAUGAAACAGAAGCUAAAGACGUGAAACAAAGAAGCGCGCCUUUAAGUAAGUAACUACAACAGGCGGAAGGCGUGGAUUCUGGCAACACGCUUUUAUUAAGUAAGAAGACGUGAGAAACAAAGAAGAUUGAAGGUGGAGGCGUGGGAAACAAAUCACGCCUUUUCUGGGAACAAGCUCAAGCAACGUGAGUUUCUGAGCAAGUGGCUCUCCAACAGAUUUCUGUUAUCCCUCACAUGGAUGAGCUGGAUUGGGAAGCAUCAGAGGAGCGGGCUAUUAGUUAACUCUAUAUAAAGAUAGGAUCAGUAGUGGAAAGGAUUAUCAUUUUGUUAGUCAAGUUGUAAGGGAUCAUUCCCUGGUUCUUUCUCUUCUGUUUUCCUUCAAUCUUUCAUUUCCUUUCUUAUUUCCGCCAACUCUGUAAUCUUCUAUUUUCAAUCAAUAUCAAUACUAAUUCAUUGAUUAUUCAUCAGUUCAUAUUGGUUCUUCCUGUUGGUAAAUUAGUUCUGUGCUGUUCAUAAACCUGCCACUGGGAGCUGGUCUGUUGCCUGGCUACUGUUCGAUACCAUUACAUACCUACAACAAAGACACUAUACAAAACUACACAAACCUUUGCACCAAAAAGUCUAACCAGUCAUGCUUUCUGAAUUCUGCAAAUGUCCAUCCUCCUGACAACAAAGUUGGCACGUAUUUACAAAGUUUUUGGUAGACACCAAAUAUCUAUCAUCAGAACUCAGGCUUAACUCGGCUAUUUCCAACAGUCUGGAGCAGAUUGUGAGUAUGUCUGUGCGUACCUGUCCGAAUAAGCAGAGCAGGCUCAGAAACAUAAAAGAUGAAAGGAAGAACCACUUACAACAAUGAGAUAUCAAAAUAACCAGCAGACAACACCAAAGAGCAACAUGAUUGAAAUUAAACAUGACACUAAUCAGUGUAACUGAAACAACAUUCGUCCACUUAAAAAUCAAAGCAUUGUAUUCUGGCAAUCAAAUUCUUUUCAUGCUAAAAUGUAAUAAGCCCUCGAGCACGAAAAUAGUUAUUAUAUCAACUCAAAUAUUUAUAUAGCCACAGAAGACUUGUGACAAGAGACAUCUCUGAGUUGAGGAAGAUUAAAUGCUAGGGUAAGACAAGAUUCUACCUCAUUUUCUCUCUUCCAAUAAUUUUGAGUUAAAAAGAGAAAAAAAUUGGAACAAGGAAAACAAGAUACUGUACUAAGAGAAUAUUCUUCAGCAACUCUAAUGUUGUACAGAUCCUUGCCCUUUUCUAUCAAUUCCCCCUCAUUACAACUACUGAAGUAACUUAGAAUAUCUCGUAUCAAAUGGUUUGUUUGUCACACAGAAACCAGCAAAUGAUGCUCGACUUACUCUAAAUGAUGAAGCUAUGGAGCUGCAACCUUCAAGUGCAAGAUUUCCACUAGUAGCCUAAAACAAAGAAUAAAGAGUUACAAGAUGAGAAUGGUUGUGAUGGAUCAAAUAACAUCUCCAUGGACUUUCCUUACUAAUUACAAGCAAAAUGGAAGGAAGAAACAACUAGAAAGCAGAGAGGAAGUAUAAAGGGAGGGAAGAUGUCAAGUUACCUGUGAAGGCUCUUGUAAGACAAUAUCCACAAUUUUCUCAAUAAUAGCACGAGAAAAUGACAAAAUUUCUUCUGAACAAGUUGGAUCACCAUAAAUUAACUCAUGAUUGCCUAUUACCUGGUUGUAUAAUAAAUCACUAUUAGCUCAGACCACAGUGUAAAGCAUAUGCAUAUAACACAUAAAUCAAUCAGAUAAAAAGAAGGAACUCGAAUGCAAAAUCAUAUGGGCAUGUUUUGGUGAACUCCAUUAGGUGAUAUCAAGGUUGUGACUUUAAAGACAUAAUUGGAACUGCAGAUUGCAAGUUUUGAGACAUAAUUGGAACUGGCUUUAAUAUUUCAAUCUCAACCCAACUAUUUCUACACAAAUGCAAAACUAAAUAACAAUAGCAGAGCUCAAUUUACAUUUUAAGGUGUUAUCCUCAACCAUUUCAGUUUCAAUUUGACAUGAACAUAGGGCAAAGAGUUACAAAGUUUGAGUAAAGUAACAAAAUACCUUCCCAGGUAUUAAUUGUAAGGGUAUUGCAUUUUGGGAAAAUGCUGCUAAAAUUGAAAUAAGAGCGCACAUCCCCUUGAUCUUUAAUUUUGAGGUCAUCCUGCAAUAAUAGGACAGAGCAGUAAUGAAAUGUCCACACUGUACAUAAGUAUACAAGACAGUUGGAAGCCCUUACCAUGGUUGGGAAUCGAGGAAAGAAAAUAUUUUCUUGGGGCCAUCCAAGAAUCCUUGUUCAACAUUACCUGAAAAAAUAUUAAUAGAACCAAGUAAAAAUACCAAAAAACAUGAGACAAAAUCAGAAGUCUUCUCUGUCUUCCUCUCUCAUCAUUUCAAUAUAUGAAGUGCUCCACUCACAUACUACAAAUUCUUCCAGCUAUUACUGUAAAACAGAAUCAGCUAAUUUCCCUUUAACAUACAUUCACAUAUGUAAACAUUCAGUGGUCAUGGACCUAUCAUUCUAAACAAUGAAGAAAAGUUAGAAAACAAAAUUUUAGAUGAAAACUAACAGGUACAAUAGCUUAAAAUUGUUAGUGUAAAUCAAAAACAUAUUCAAUUUUAACAAGGUAAUCAGCUCAAAAUACUUCCUGUUCUUUGAGAUGUGCAGGUAACAGUGGUAGGAAGAAGGCCCCACCAUGACAUGUGAUGGCAUGGGAGAAAAGCAUGAGAUCUUAAGUCUAAGUAUAGUAGGUGCCUUCCUCCCUCCACCAAAGAGGAUAAGCACUAAAUUUUAGAUGUCACCCCCUUAUUUAAUCACACUCACUGUACUUAUAUUCAGCGACCAUUCAUGCAUUUAGUGGCAUCAACUUGUAAAUACACCAACCAAAUAAAGCAAAAAAAGCCUAGGCAGAUUCAGUAGACAACAAAUAGAUUUCUGUAAGAAGAAAAUUCAUAAGGUAAAUCAAACCUGGGACCACAAUCAUGAGAUUGCAUAGCUUGCAUAUCAAGGAAAGAUUUGCUUCAGUAUCGUUAGUUGUCCGCAAACCUACAAGAAGAGUUGCGCAGAUUUAAAUGGAUAUCUAAUCCUAUAAAAGCAAAAAACAUAUAUCAGGGAAAAAACAUGAUAAACAGAAUAAAUUCCAAAUAUUUGGUAGAUAAGUCUUUAUACCUUAACCAAGUAACUCAGCUAUGCAUUGCACAAACACAAACCACCAAGAAAGAGAGAGAGAAAUGACCAAUGAAAAUAAAUUUCUAUCCUUUUACCGUCUAUAGAUCUAUCAUUUAGAGCUGUCGGGCCAAAUAAGAAAAGACCAAAAAUAGUAAAGGGGAAAAAAAGUAGACUUCCCUGCAAUUAUUUCAAUGAUACAUUCAACCAGUACAAUUAAGAGAAUGAACUAACCAUCCACUAAAUCAAAGUCCUGCAAAUAGCAGAGCGCUGAAUCUAUAAGUCCAUCUGCAUGAGAAACUAAUCCACCCAUCAAAGCAACCUGAUAGAUACAGAAGGCAAUGUACACCAAAUGAUAUAUGCAUCUGCCAAUAAUAUUACCUUAACUAGAAAGAAAGACCCAAAUCAGUACCUCUGCUGUUUCAAGAUAGAGACUGAACCGCCUAAAGCAAUCAGGAAUAGCAGCUAUUGUAACUUCACUAAAUGUUAGGCAAGAUUUGGCAAAAGCGAAAAGAUUACUGCUCUCUUUCAUAAGCUUAAUGGAUAAAAGAUUGCUGGAGUGAACAAGCGUCUCCUGCAAGUCAACCAAGGAAUCUUACAUGUAAUUUCGUAUCUUACAGGCCACUACUUAGACUUGUACCAAGCAAUUCUACAUCAUACACCAAUUACCAAAAAGGGAAUACAUAAUGAACAUAUGCUGUUUCAUAUGCAUUCAAAGAGGAAAAGCACAUAUAAUCAGCACAUAAAGUACACAAACACAAAACUGGUGGCAGAUGCCAUUGGAUUGUCCAGUCCAACCAGUGUAUGUAUAAUUUUGUCUCUGACAGCAUGUUUCCACAAACACAAAAAAUAGAAAAUUAUUAGAGAGAGAGAGAGAGAGAGAGAGGAGAGGACAAAAGAGACAAAUUAAUGAUGAGCGACACUGAGUCCAUCUUAGAUUAGUAGGGAAGACGCAUACAACAAACUUCAGUGUGCUAAUUUUUGCUAGACUUCUGUUCACUGAAUUUCAGGUUGAGCAAAAUGCCAAAUCCAAGCAGUGGAAGUGAAACUAAUCUUUUCCAAACACUCACAUCAUAAACAUAAAUAGCACAAUCUCUUAAUCAUCUUCUUUUCCUUUUUGGCAAACAUAAAUGGAUAGAGAACCUUGAGUUCAAUCAUGUCACCAAAGGCUCCGCGGCAAUCAACCAGAAAUGACAAAUUGCGUUCAAAAUCUCGCCCAUAAUCAACCUGAAAGUGUAAAACAUCUCUAUAUUAAAAUAUAUAAGUGCAGCUGUAUAUUUUUUACUUGGCAGGAGCCUGAGAAGAAUUUAUCCUACCAUGUUCACAAAACGAGAAAUUAGGCGUGCUGAAUGUUGAUUUUCAUCAUUUCUUAUGUUUGAGAAGUCUGUCCCAUCAUGCAACACCUGAGAAACUUCAAACAGAAAAUGAAUGAUAGUUGGAUCGUCAAUGCAAGUGUUCCUGCCACAUAUACAAAAGGUACCGAGUCAGCAGAUUUCCAGAAUAAGAAGCAAUAGUAACACUACUUCGCUUUCUUCUCUCUCAAAUUUUAGAAGAAGACAUUUCCAAAUUGAUCUUGAGGCUUCUUUUCAGAUACAAAAGAAAUAUGAUCAGCUCUGUUUGACAUUAUGUCAAAAUUAGGAUGUAGUAGGUUUUCAACUAAACAAGUGAAUCUCCCAAUCAACCUAUGCCAGCAAACUCCAAAAGUGAAUGUCCCAUUCAACUUGGGCAGUAGUUGGAAACUUUAGUCACCACAUCUUACGCAUGAAGACCAGUAAAUUCUUUUAAGCAGCAAUAAGCACCGGAAGUUACAAAAUUUUAAAAAGUCACCGCAUUAUAUAGCACACAUGGCACCCAUUGACCAGGUGAAGAGGUUAAGUACUUCAGUAUGCUAAGGGCUGGCGAUAUUGCCAGCACAAAAAUUUUUUUGCCAGAGCAAUGCUGACCUGAAUACCUAGACUAUCCCUUUGAAGGAAAACCAGUGCUCAUGGCUCAGCAUCACAUUCUUCUCUCUCUCUCUUACUCUCUCUCCAUUGAAUUCCAACUUCCAUGUCCUCCUUGUCCAUGGUAGCUUUUUGCUGUCUUCCCCUCUACCUCAUCUAUGCCUGAGACUUUUGCACCCAAUCCCUCUAAUUUCUCAGUGGCUCCUUCACCAAGCACCCUCUGGUCUAACCCCUUCACCCCUCAAAGAAAGGUCACUCCAUGUCUCAAACAGGUUACAAUCUCUUAGCCACCUUAUCCCUCCCUUUAAUCCACCUAUUUUCUAGUACUAUAAACUCCCUUUUCCAAUCUCUCUCCUCAAUAUCACUGUCACCCCAAACCAGAACUUUUAAAAGCUCUUUGUCUGAUAUAAUUGAAGAUUAAAAAGUUAGGAGUAGACACCUUCUAAAAACAAAAUUUUGUCAUCAAAUUUUUUGUUUUGUUUCCAGGUGAAAACUGGAGUACCACAGUGGUGUUGUGGUUGUUGGUGGCUCUGUUGAGUGGCUUUUUAACUGCAAUUAGGUGGUUUUAUUAAGCAUAGAAAUUCAAGAAUGGAAUGGGUAAGAAAAGGAGAAGCAGCUUUGUCAGGUCUGCAAAAUUCAGCAAGCUGUUGUUGACUUUUAUAGGGGUAUUUCUAGCAUUUAGAUGAAAAUUACUCUGGCAGGAAAGGUUUUGCUCUGGCAAUAAUGCCAGCCUAUGCUAAACUUUUAAAGAAAAAGAAUCCAACUUACUUUCCCGUGAAACCGAGAGAAUAUUGGUGGCUGGCUUGAAAGAGUGCCCACAACGUUUUGAAGAAAGUUCAAUUUUAAUGUGACUGACAUAAACCAAUACCUUGUUGCCAUUCUAAGGAUGCUAAUGUUGAUGAUGUUCCUUGAGCUUCCGUGCAUCACGUCUAAGAUGUCAACAAAAUGGCUCUGCAAAUUUAUUAUAUCUGAGUCAAUUAUAGAUAUUUAACAAUCCACAGCAACUGUGAAACAGGCAAUCUUACCAAUUAUUUACUAGUUUUUAAUUAGUAGCCACUUCUUAAUCAAAAUCAAAUUGAAGCUGAUGGGCAGAGUGAGGGAGCAGAAGCAGAAGUUUAAUGAGCAAUAUACCAGUGAUAAUAUAUCUUCCAAAUGAUCAAAAUGAGUAACGAGCUUCAAAAGGAAAGACUGCAAGCCUGAUAGAGCAUUCUUAUCAAUCCCUUUAGCACAUAAUCGCUCAAAUAUUUCAUUCAAUAUUGUGUUCAAAUAAAUGUGCUGCAACAUCAAGAAAGACAAGGUCAACUACAGCAAAGUCUCUUCAGUCUGCUUAAAAGGUAAUAUACAUGCUCAAAUUUUUACUUUUAGUGCAAACCUUAAGUUACAGGACAGUGAGUAUUUCAUAUAAUCCACAAUUAGAACACAUGCUUGAAAUUUGUCUUUAAACAUUUGAAUAGUUAUAAACAAUGAGAGGCUCAACAUGUAAAAAAUAAAUAAAUAAUUUGGUGAUGUAAGUGUAUUGGCUCUAUCCAUUAGCCUCCAACAGUUACUUGAUUGGCAUUCCACUUUGGACAUUAGUGUUGGUAUCAGAGCAGGCUCUGGAGGUAAUCUAUGUGUGACAAACUAAGUGCACUAGACUGGUCUCUACCAGGACAUAUACCAUUACAAACUUAGACUUGAGCAUUUAAGACCAGGAAGAGUACAUCACUAGGUUACUUCACAUGUACCUAUAGCACUGUAUGGGAGAUCCUCACACGCUCUAUAUUCAAAUCUUCAAGAUCCAUAAACAUAAGCAAACUUAAAACUAUGGAGCAAAAUAAAUGCACCUCUUGUCAGGCCAUAAGUAAACCAAUUAGAAAUAUAAGCAAGAAAAAUUUUGCAAUGUCAACAUGCUGAACUGCAAUACAGGCAACUUACCAUUUGAUUAUGCAGAACAAUAUCCACAUAAGCAUCUAAAACCUCCAAAUAUUCAUGUAGUCUAUCAUAGCAAGAAAUGACCUGAAGACAUAACAAACAAAUCAUGAACAGUGAACAUUAAGGAAAUUUCUUCAUAAAAAUUUACAAUUUUCAUACAUAACAUGUAAUGAGAUAUUGCUUUGAGAAUACAUCUAGAUUUCUGCACUCAUCCUGAUUGUGGAUAUUUGAAGGUUGGUAAGACUCUAGAUCCCUUCAUGCAUAUCAUUUUGUAGAAUCUAGACACAUCGAAUGAAGUUUCUUCUGCAUCUCUAUACUUUUUUUUCGAAUUGCCAAAAAACCAAUCAAACCUAGUAUGCAAAUUAAAAUUUGAAAGCAGCCUCAGGACUUUUUUAGUUAUAACAGGAACCACAUUAAUGAGUUGAAAUUUCCAAUUUGCCAUGUAAUAUGCUUAACGUCUAAUAAUAACCUUUUCUAGAUGACCUAGGGAGCAAGUUAGCAUGUGAUGCAAAAUAUGAAGUUCUGGUAAAAUGUAAACAAUAAAAAUCAAAAGAAAGUACCUGAAUGACCUUAUCCACUAAAGCAUGGCCUCAUUCACUCGAGAAAUGUUUUCACACAGCCUGAGUCCAAGCAACUUGUAAUUCAAAUACUGCAUUCAAAGUGUGAAAAUUUUGCACUAGGAUAAGUGUCAUAAAUGACAGUAGAGAUAUGUAACUUGAACACUAGAUAUGUAGAAAUUGUGCAAGAAUAAAAUAUUAGCUACCUGAUCAUAUGAAAAAUCAAUAUUGCACUCAAUCAGAUGAAGAAUACUCAUGGCAUUAGCACAGAUUAGUCCAGUAGGGAGCUCCUUUAGUAAAUGAUGAAGAAUAACUGAAAUGCAUGAACAGUCUCCAAAUAAAUGUGACUUGUCCUUUCCAAGUCCAAGCCCCACAAUUACAUCACGAACUUGAACCUUUUAACAUAAGAGUGAUACUCUCGGUCAGAUCAUUGCCAGGACAGUUCAUAAAAAAUUACUACCAAAAAAUGCAAUUUAUUGUUUCCACAUGAGAACAAUAGUAAAUAUACACCAUUCUCUGUAAAACAGUAUUACACAAGAUGACUGACACCUAAUUUCUACUCCCAAAUCCAAGUUGCUCAUUCUAACCAGCAUAUUAAAGCAAUAUUGGUCCUAGUAAUACCAGAAAGAUUUUUAUCCCCCAAAAAUUACUGUAAAACCAGCAAACAAGUAUGCAUAUAUGUAUCAUGCAAUCAUACCUGAUUUAAAUCCUUAAUAUGCAUCUCAUCAUAUACUCAAUAGCAGGUUCCAUGAGGCUCAAAAGCAACCUUCUAUCUGCUAGAGAGAUUAUGCAAGUUGUUUCUUGCAGUGAAAGAAUGCGCAUCAUUACAAAUUUCAAGUCAUUGAUGCCAGUGACAAGGUAUCCUGUUGGAGACCGAAACGCGCAGUUUAAAUUGGGAGAAAUAAAUCAAAGAUGGUAAGAGCCUAAGAGUAAACUUGAUAUACCUCAUCAAACAUAUCUAAUUUCAAAUAGAAACACACAUGGCCAGAAUGAAGCCAAGUCCAGAAAUUUUUUUUAAGAUUGUAAAUUGAUUUGUUCCAAGUUCGGAAAACAAUCCAUAUGAACAGCCAAAGAUAGGCUAAAUAAGUUUUUCAACCUUAAGCAGUCCUAAUUUUUUUCCCUUAAGCUUUAUGCUUUGCCAGAAAAGUUUCCAAGUACAAGGUUCCAAAGGGAAAAUGAAGCAAAAAUUAGCUUCAAGCUUUUCAAUAAGCAGCAUCUAACAUGCUUGGCAAUAAAACUGCAAUUUCGAUAGAUAUCCCAUGGACUUAAGCAGUAAAAUUAACAGGUUUUCUUAUUAUCCUCCAUUAAAGAACCAAGUUGAAGGGAAUUGGCACUGAACACCAAAAAUUUUAGAUGUGCAGAGAUUAAAAAUGAGAACAAUACAUGUAAAAGUAUACAUAUGAAUGUUCAAACAGUAAUGACUAUCUAUGUUGUAUAAUAAAUUACUAGCAUGAACAAUCUAUUCAAAUAAUUUUGAGUCAGAUCCAGAGUACUAAUCGCAUUCUAGUAUAACUCCAUAUAUAUGCCACAAGUCAUACUAUUCAUACACUAUAUACUCAUAUGCAGAGGAUUUUGAUCAACUCUGAAAACAUUAAGAUUUCGGCUUAAGAAAAUUGUAUACUGAAAAGACGUAAUGUAUAUUUUGCUAGUUUAAAGCUUAUUUUCUCUAUUUGGGAAAUUUACGUACUUUCAAACCUUAAGUAAAAAGAACGUGCACCAUUAAAAAUAGUUUUUGGAUAAAAGUAGUUAUACCUAAAUCGUGUUGAGGUAGUUUUUGAGCUCGGUGAACCAUAUAUAAGUGGCAGUAGGCCAAGGCUAUUGGAUCUGCAAUGCCUCUUGUCAUCAUGGCCAAGCGCUGGAGGCUACUCAUAGGAUUGUCAACAAGGAAACGCCAGCAUGGCAGUACGGCCAGUUCCAGAUAGCUGAUGAGGACGAUGAAAGCUGUUAGCACAUAUGAUUACAAACCAACAUGCAAAAAACAGAUCACUAAAUUAUUAACUUUUACUUUCGUAACUCUUCCCACCAACACCCCCUAAGUUUUUUUUCCCCUGAAUUUACAUUCAACUUCUCUUGGAAAGUCGUGUUAAAAGUUAUUCACAAGCAUCAAAUUUAACUCUUUUACAUGACUAACCAAAGCAAGUUGAGUGCAGAUUUUCCAGAAGGGAUUUACAAUAAAGGCACUGAGAUAACCUCUAUACAAUAAAGACACUGAGAUGAUCUCUAUGGUAAUUUUCAUCAUUGUACUUCAGGGAUUUAUCACAAUUCCUCAUCAGUUUAACAAUUUAAUUUUGCAAAAAAAUAAGAAACAAAAAUUCAGAUUUAAGGUGCAACCAGCAUAAAAAAAUCAGGUUCCCUAAUUUUGUAACUAUUAAGAUGUAUUAGAUAAUUCAAACAGAGUAAAGUUAUGUACUUUUAGACUCCAUUACCUUCACCAUCCCCAUAAUUUUAUUUGUUUUAUUGUUUGUUCUUUUUUCUUGUGGGGGAGGAGAAAAGACAUUUACCAGGAUAAUUUUUUCUUUUUUUUUUUUGAAUUUGGGUGCUUAAAAAGGAGAAUUAAAACCAAUGGUGCACUGAGGUGUAUAUAUUUAAGUAAUAUCAAGGACAUGAAAUAUAAAAUUGGGGCUUAAACAAGUUAGCAUAUGGCUUGUAAUUGACAGUAAAGAAGCUUGGGUUGUUUGAAACACACAGGUGCAUAGAAAAGGUGAAGGGGCAUCUUGCUAGAAAUUUUCGAAAUUUCUCUUGCACGAUAACCUAAUCUCUAUUUCAAGAGGUACACUUAAAGUGCUACUUUUGCAAGAUUGAUUUUCAAAUAAGACGGAGAACCUAAUGAGAGAGCUCCUUGAUGGAGUGGACAAUGACAGUAAGCAAAGGAUAUUGGUAGAAGACUACCAGCCAAUGAUGGACCUAGGCUUACUUCUGCCAAGUAGUCUAUGAAAGUCUCAAAUUGAGUACUGAAGUCAAACUACUUGUCCUCCCCAAAAGAGCAGCUGAAAUCAACCCAUGGCAAAGUAGCAUAUCUGUUUAUUGAGCAUAGUCGCCCGACUAAGGUUUUGGGACAAGAAGAGAGGCAGUUCCAAGUGUUCGUGUGCCAAUUCCAAUUGAGGUAAUGCUGGUUGAUCCUCCGCAGUUAAUGAACCUCUUUCAAGGAUCAAAGAAAUCAUAUUUGGGUUCCAUCAUUCUUCCCAUGUAUUCAGAUUGGGAGAAUAAGACUAUAGUUUACUACACCAGUACAUCUUCUAAGUGGAAAAUCCUAAAAUUUGAUAAUGUGCAGGAUUAGCAACUCAUUCAAUGACAACAAUAUGUUAAUACUGAGAAGGCAGUUUAAAGACGUCACAUGCGCGGAAGAAGCUCACGGAUGGAACCGAUUUUGGAGAACCAGUUGUUGCAAGUUUCUUUAGCAUCAUCAGAAAUACUAUUGGCUUCAAAAUCAUCUGCCACAAGUUACACACAAGUUGAUGCAAAUAUCAUAAUGAAUCUCUUAAAAAUUUCAAUAUCCAAAUAAGAAAUUACAUGAAUCAUCUGCAGUAUAUAAAAGUACAGAGAUUUAGACUUAAGCUUCAGAAAGAGGGUGUAAAUCUGCAAGAGAAGAAGAGACAGGAUUCUAAGUGUCAUGGUUAAACCUGGCAAAGAAGAAACGAAUUUUCUAUCUUCCGUGUGCUCAGCUUUCUGUCUAAUUCGUUGCCAUACCAUAUCACCCAGCAUAUCCAUCACAUCUGUGGCUAGAACGAAUAGUGUUGGAUAAAAUUGUACAACAGAUGUGUCCAUCAGAAGUCUGGCAACCUGGAAAGAAGAGAUACUAUUUCAAAAGGCAACAGCUAACAAUAUCUCUCCUAUUAUCCACUUCUUGACUGUUUUUGUUGAUGCCAAAGUAAACAUGGCGCAAAAUCAUCUAAGCGAAGCAGAGGCCAAAAACGCUCUUUGAUCUCAAGGAAGUUUCGGAUCUUAGUUCAUUACAAGUUAACAGCAAUUUAGUCAUAACUCUACAUGUUAAUAUGUUGCAGUACAGGUUAAAAUUACUUAUCAAGUGCCAGAGACAUUAGCAAAAAAAAAAAAAAAAGGACAGGUAUCCUCAUUUAACAAGUGCCCAAAGAAAGUUUCUCGAAGAAAGGUGAGCAAAUAAUCUUUACUUUCAGGAAAGUAGUUUUGUUACUAUAAAGCUUCAGCUUUGUUUCCCUUGUUCCAGCUGUUUUUGUCAGCCCCAAUAAGAAAAGGCUAGCAUAAACAGAGGAUAUAAACCACACCCAUUUACUGAAGCAACUGUAGUCUGAGUUCUCGAAUGACAGGACAAAAGACUUCCUCAAUGUUGUUAUAAAAACUUCCACUACUUCCUAUAGUUUUAUGAUAAUAGUUGACAAAAAUUAGCAUCAAAUACGGCUAAAACGAUUUGCAAAACAAUAAAGCUCACCCUGAUGCACAAUUUCAAAGAUGUCACAUGCUCCUUUUUACUCCAAGAAAGCGCAAUCUCAUCUUUGAGUUCAUAUAAACGUAAAACAUAUUCCCUCUGACUUAUAACUUUAAGACCUUCUUCUGUAAAUUUUUGAGGAUCAUCCAGUUCUUCCAAAUGUGAAUCCACAGGUGAUUUGUCAGUUACUGCAAAAUAUUUAUACACCACAAAGUUUAAAAGAAAUUUGAAUGCUAAUAAAGAUAAGCUACCUUGCCAUUACAAUCCAAAGGUCCUUCAGGAACAAUAGAGACACUUAAGCUCCAGCAAAAGAAAAGGAAGGGGUAGAAAACUGAUUACCAAGCAAUUGCGACUCCUAUAAAUGCAGGGUCUUGGAAGAAUUAGGUUUUGAACAGCCUUACCCCUGGGAGCAAUAAGCUUAUUCUAGGUACAGAAUAAAAAAGCCAAUACAAGAUGCAUCAUACCCUUUCCAGUCUUCAUAAUUGCAUUUGAAAUCUGCAAAAUGUGGCCGAUAAACAUUUACCAAUUGAAAUAGAACUCUUAUGCAGAAGAUCAAAAUGGCAUCAUGCUUGUUAAGAUGACAUGGGAGUGGCGGAGUAGGGGAUUGGCAAUAUUCCUCUUUUUUAACUAAGUUAAUAUUCUUCAUUUAAAUUACACAAAUUGUACCUAAGCUGUAGAUGAGACUACAUCUGCCAUUCUUUUAGAAGGGUAUAACAGCCCUGCAAACAAAACUUAUGUCUCAUAGGUCUUGAGGAUAGCAAGAUAUGAUGUUUAUAAUUCAUCCAGCAUUUCGAAAGACUAAUUAAGUCGCAGAUGUCUAAUAAUGCAAAACCUGUGAGGUUUGUAUGCAGUUGUUUCACCAUAGACAAAUGCAUGAAAAUCCAAGCAUGUCAUACUGAGUUUGCAAACAUAAGAUCCUAAUAAAAAAAGAUCCGGGUUAUUUCUUGCUGAGCUUCCAACACUACAAUGAGUUGUGGAGAGUUACCAUUCUUAUAGACAAUAAUUUAUAGAACUAGUUCCUAAAUAAUACAAAUACCACAGGAAAACAUGAACAAACAUAUACAAAAAUUACAUUCUUAAUUAAAGCUUAAAAAGCCCCAAAAAAAAGACUUACUGAAGAUAACGGGAUAUUCUUAGAUGCAGAAAAUCUCUGCAUCAAGAUUUUCUUAAAAGAAGUCCAUUCCUUGGAAGAAGACUGGACAGAAGCUUCAUUGGACGGUCCUCCUGUAAUCUCUUCAUCUUGAAAAUCCUCAAAAGAAACUUCCUUUUUCUCAUUGAUCUUGCUAAGUGGAUCAAAAAAAUCAUUUUCUUCCUUCUCCUUAUGCACCAAAUCAACCUUUAACAGAUUCCUAAGUACCAUCAGCAUAUUUUAUACGAAGGAUCAAACAAAUGUUAAGCAGAUUUGGUUAGAACAAGAAAAAAAAAGACAACAUUCCUUAUUGAAGAUGUGAAAUUGACAAGCUGUUGAACUUAAGCAUAGCUUAUUCUUUAUGCACUGAUUAUGGAUCAUAUUGAUGGGGAUUAUUUACUAAAAGCCAUUAUCUAAUCUUUCUUUGACUUUGGUAAUCCAACUUGAUUUGUGCAUCACCACCUAUCCUAGCGAGACGUAAAAACUCUCAAAGGUGGCAAAUCCCAUCCCUUUAAUUCUAUCACACAAGGUGGCAAAUCCGAUCGUUUUAAUUCUAUCCCACAAAAUUUCAACUAAAAUGUUCAAUUGUUUCGAUAAUUACCAACAAGAAGUCGCGCUCUAUGAUUAAUUCAUAGAGCUUCCCGUUUCUCUCCAAAUCGUCUUCCAUUUUAUCAUUCACACUUAAAUAACAUAACAAAACAAAACAAGAGAACCUAAAAAACCAUAUUCCGACUUGCCACAUUGAAGUAGACAACCUCAAAAAACAAUCAGAAAACAUAGGGAGAUUAAACGUUUUGGGCACAGGCAUUCAAUGAAGUCCACCAGAAACUCACUUUUGAGUCCAAGCAAGCAGUGUUGUCAUAUCGUAUCCAGAAAAUUUAGUUAAGAGUACAUAAAAGAUUCAAUUUUGGACCAUAAUUCUAGCAGAUUCUUCUUAUUUCAAUUCAAGAUUUUUCAAACUUUAAGAUGGGGAAGAUAAAAUGUUUAAAAGACCUGGUGAAGGUUUCAGGGGAAGUGGACAGAGGAUGAGUUCCUGCAGUAGACGAGGAGAGAGUAAGCCUUUUCCUCUGUUAUAUAAUCUCUAUGUCUGAACUCGAGCUCCAUCCAGGAAAUUUAGCUCGCAAGACACUAGCGAGUGUGUGAAUCGAGAGUUCUGGCGUUCCAACUCCGGUUCUGGGUUUCCGUCAAGGAAGGGAAGUGAAGAGUUUUGACCCCGUUUGGUUGACGGGAAGACGUAGAAAUGAAGGCUCCUAUACCACGCCUUUUCAAGUGGUCCAACUACAAGUCUACAAUCAAAAUUUUUUUUUUUUUUUUUUUUAAGGGAAAGGAACUACAAUCAAGAGUCAACUCACCGUUAUAAAUUAUAAUCAAGCUUUUAGUUGCCCUUAAAUUGAGUAAAAACCAGGUGAGGGUCUCCAUCGGCCUGUCGGUAACGCGAUAAAAAUUUCGCUUUUUUUCAAUUUUUUUUCAACAAGCUCAACAUUUAAUUUACUGUCUAAACUUUUAUUUAAUAAUAAUUUGGAUAUUAACGGAUUAUGGCUGAAUAGUCAUUAUUUGGGUAAUAUCUAAAUUUUCAAAUUGCUUUUCUUAUGUAGAUUAAUUAAAUAGAUUUAAUAAAUAUUUAACAAUAUGAGAUUAUUAAUAUGUUAAUUAAUGUGCUUUUAAAGUCACAAUUUUGUAUAGGAUAUUUAAUAAUAAUAUGGAUAUUGAUGGGUUCGGCUGAAUAGUCAUUAUUUUGGUAAUAUCUAAAGUUUUAAAUUGGUUUUUAUGUAGAUUAGUUAAGUAAAUUUAAUAUAUAAUUAACAAUAUAGGAGUUAUCAAUAUGUUAAUUAAUGCGCUUUAAAGUCACCUAUUUGUAUAGGAUAGAAGUUAUAUGACUUUUCUAAUGAAUGUCUAAUGAGUAUACAUUAAACAUCUAAAUUUCAUUUAAUCUACUUUGUAUAUACACAUAUUAACAAUUACUACCCACCUUUACAUUUAUGCACUUUUCCUAAUUUAUCUUAUAUUUUAAAAAUCUAACACUUGAAGUACAUCUUAACGUGUGUCUAAUGGCACCCGUUACUUAUUUACUUUUAUUAAUUAAUUUACAUUUAAAAAUAUGACAUUCAAAUUAUAUCUUAACUAGUGCCUAUUAGGCACUUGUUAAAUAGGGAUCCGUUAGACAGACUUAUAAUAUAUUAAAGGUAUGAAAUAUAUAUAUGUAUGUAUGUAUGUAUAUUAUAUAUAUAUAUAAUUGAAAUAUAAAAUUUGGUAAGUCGGUCGAUAAUUAGGAAUUCGAGAAUCAAAUUUCAAUAUCCAUUGUUUUACCAGAGUUUAAGAUUAUAUAUUAAUUGAUUUUCUCAAAUUCCGCUUUUACUUACAUCCAAUCUCUGAUCUUAAUUUAGUCGAUUAUUCGAUUUUUUUCUAAAGUGUAAACAUUCAUGGAGCCAGGGGAUUUGCAGUUAAGUGUCAAAGGGGUUGAGCUAGAGAUCAAAAUAAUGUAUAACAUUUUAGAUGGGUUGUGAUAAAAUCAAUGACGGAGCCAAGGGGGCAGAGGGGGGCCAUGGCCCCCCCCCCCUAAGUUUAGAGAAUUUUAAUUCAUAAUAUGUAAAUAUGUGUGUAAAAUAAAAUUGGCCCCCCCUAAAUUUUUCAAUUUUAGUUUAUAUUAUGAGAGUUGAUAUAUAUAUAUAUAUAUAUAUAUAUAUAUAUAUAUGAAUUAAUCAUCUUUGAAUGGAAUUUCAAUUUUGGCCCCCCCAAAAAAAAAAUCCUGCUCCGUCACUGGAUAAAAUAGGAAUGUAAUACUAUGACCGCCAAUAAGUUAGAUUUCACAUAUGAUUUGAGUAUAUGGGUUUGUUUAGAUUACAAGUUUUCGUACAUAUUUUUCAAUCACUUCCUUGCCUCGUAUACAUCAUAUCCCUACAAUAUAUUUUUCUCAAAAAACACUACUAUAAAUUUCUUGCUUUAUUGACGAAAUCAAUGGCUACCAAUUCCAUCAUUCGCACUUAAAACGGACGCAAUGAUACUUGGAGUAGAGCAUAAUAGGUACAAACUCAAGCAAUCAAAAUAACUUCUGCAUGAUUUUCACUCGGGACCACUAAUUCAUCUAUACUCAAAUCACAAGCUACUCAGCUUAAUUGAGUUUCAUAUAUUUUAGAUUUGUUCACACAUAUUAUCGUGUGUGCAUAAUAAACCUAUCUACAUUGAAUAAUAGCUUAAACUAGUCAAGUUUAAUAAAACUUCACACCAAUAUUACAUCUUUAAUUUGCAAGUCGAUUUAGUUGUAUUCGUAGUAUUCAAUUCUAAACGAAAAUUGCAUUUGAGUCAAAAACAAAAAAAUUAGAGUUAAAAUUUAAUUAGGUGUGAGCUAUACAAGACAUUUCACUCAUGCUCAACUCGAUUAGAUUCCAUCGACCAUCUGGCCCAACUUCAGAGACACUUGCAAUGGGAUCCGAAACCAUUAACGCUCUCUGUAGGAGCACAAAACCGAUCAUACACGAAUGGUUGGACUUAUGAAAGGAUGCAAAUGAAGCUUCUCCCUUGGAUCACCAAGUUUUUUGACAAGGUAAGCCAGACAAAACUUCCCCAACUGGGGAGAAGUUUAGUUUUAACUGGAUACAACAAAAUGGACCGCCCGUCGUAAGAGACUAGUUCCAGUUCUGUCCACAGUCCAGUUGUGUAAACUAAUAGAAUUUUAAUAUUGUAUAUUGGUAUAAUUUUGGUCUAAAUGUGAAUUAUAAUUAAAUUGAUGUAAAACUCAUAAUUGUACCAAACAUAUAUUAGUUUAUAUUGAAAUUAUACCAUUUUACACAGCUAGGCAAAAAUUAGAUACAAGUCAUAGAACCUCAACUAGAGAAAGAAGCACCGAAUCCUGCUUGCUACUGUCUUAUUGAGUGAGUUGCUACUUAAAAUUUACUGACAGUCUUUUUUCCCAUGCGGAGGAAAACUAAUAAAAGGUUAUUGACAUUGACAUCAUUUGAGAAUGGUUGAUGGGUUGCGCGUGAUAUAGAUUCAUCGUAGAAAUCAUUCAAAAAGAUAGCAAAAAUUAUCAAAAUAGUCCCUCAUAUUUCAAUAAAAUUAUCUUUUUGUUCAUUACAUGUAAAACCAUGCAAAAUGGUUCUUCACAUAUGACAAAUAUCAAUUUGAUCCUAGAACAUAUUUCCUACCAAAUUUAUAGCCAAAAGAUACAUGUCCAAUACUUUCAACCGCAAAAUAAAAACAAGAAUAAUAUUUUCUUAAAAAAGUCAUCCCAACUCUCCUUCCCACAAUGGCAAUGGGAUGGAUUUUUUGAAGAGAAUAUUUGCCUAAUUAUUCUUCUACUAAUUUUUAACAACUUUAAAUACAGAAACUUUAAAAAACUCCUCAAAAUUUUUAAAAUGCACACCUUAAAAUAUCGAAAAAAAAAGGCACAAAUUAUUCUUCUUCCUACUAAAAGUACGAAUAUGUGACUUAAGUGAGCAUUUUUUACUAGAAAUUUGGGCAAAAAUAGAUUUUGAAACCAAAUUUAUGCAUUUAUUAUAUGUAAGGGAUUAAAAAAGUUUUUUUAAAAAAAUGUGGGAGACUAUUUUGAUCAUUUUCCCCAGAAAAUUUUGCUAAAAAAAUUCGGACGAUCUUGUUGCGACAUGGUUGAAAAAAGAAGUGUAUCUUAAUUUUCUCCCAUAAUUUCUGAUAUGUAAUCAAUAUUAAAACUGACUAUCUAAAACUUACGGUUUUUUUUUUGUUUUUUUUUAUUUUUGCUUCUGAAUCUUAUUAAAACUUGAAUUACCCUCCUCUAUGAUUAUUGGAUAAAGAUAAAGAGGCAAAACAUGAAAUUGUACAACUGCUAAAGACUAGAGUUCCGAGUAACUGGCAUUUCUAGAUUUCCAGUAGACUAUUACAGUUAGUUUUACACUGACGGCGGUAAUUGACACUGAACCAGAAAGAUUCAACCUGCCAAGUCACAUGUAUACUAAUCUAGAAGGGUUAAAAUGGCUUCCACCCCGAUGAAUAAGGAUGAAAUAGUUCUUGAGUUGACAUUCAUUUUUUCAUGUUAAAGGAAAAAAGAAAACGUUUGACUUAAAUUUCUUCAUCUGUGGUCAACCCAACUUGCACUUCAUCGGUGCCCUUGAAAUAUAUAUAUAUAUAUAUAUAUAUAUAUAUAUAUAUAUAUAUAUAUAUACAUAUAAAGAAUUUGACGUUAUUAACUUAAAUUAGCAGCAUGGUUAUGGUCAAUACACGUUAAACUCUGCUAGAGUCAGAUGAAAGGAAGCUAAAUAGCCUGUGAUGUUACGGUCUACGCAAAAGUCAAAAGACCAAAUCACCUGGUGGUGGUCAAAUACAAAAUGAAAAAAUGCAGAAAAAGAUCAAAUACGAAGAUGGGAUUUGAUUGACUUAUGGUAUACAUUGGGUUACUGGUUCGAAAAUUUUCUGCCCGAAUUUAGUGGUCGUGACAAUUAAUGAAUAUUCAUUACCAAUUCUCCUCUUCCAAAUCCCAAAAGAAAAUAAACUUUUGUGACCCCAGUUGAGUUAGAAGAUUCAAACCAUGGAUAAAGCAAAGAAAAACAGAGAUCCAAUAUUGGUAACUUGAGCAAAAUGAGAGCAAUAUGACCAGUUGCCAAUGGAUGGUCACAAAAUUUUAGGCGCAGAGACAGGAAUCUGAUGCAUAAUUCCUCGUUACUCAAUAUACGUGUAAGCAGUUCCUGUCUCAGAGAUAUUCUGAUUGUUGGUUGACUUCUUCGGCCAUAUGAUUCUUGAAUCUGAAUUGUAAUCUGAACCCUCUGAAUCUUGCGGAAAACCCAAAGCCAACUUCCAGCUAAAGUUUUGGUCUGCAAAUGCACUCUAUUGAUCAGCACGAUGUUUUCCGCCCCAUGAAAUGCUUUCGAAGUUUUUCCAUUUCAUAAUUGUCUUUUCCCUUUGCUUCGUCCAGCAGGCAUUUACCAGUUUUCUUCUUGCCUCUCUAUUUCUGAUAAAUGUUCAUUGCAUCAUUGCAUGUUGACCAAUGCUAACAUGCAAAUAAAAUUUCAGUUCUACCCCUUUUAAGAAUAAACAAAACUGAUUAAUGUGAAUCUCCAGCGAUUGAGCUUGCUUCUCGUCUUGUUAUCCAAAAAGCUUGCCUCUAAUUGAAUUCCUUGUGUUCAAAACUGCAACGGAUCUUCUGUCUCAUAUCCUGUGCCACUCUCUGUCUUACUUUUUAUUAUAUUGCUAUUUCUCCUAUAUAAACAUCAUUUUUUAAUUCUUUUUUAUUUUUUUAAAAUUCAAUAACUAUUAAUUGAGUAAUACACAAAAUUUAACAAACUUAAAAAAUCAAAAUGCAUAAAAAAUGAGAUUUUUUAUGAAUUUUCUGCUGUAUUUUUAAAUUUUCUAUUAUAUAUUGCUUUUUUGAAAUUGUUGUAUUUAUGUUUUACUUAAUUAAUAGUUAUUGAAUCUUAAGGAAACAAAAAAGAAUUAAAACAUGAUGUUUAUAUAGGAGAAAUAGCAAUAUAAUAAAAAGUGGGACAGAGAAUGACACAGGAUGUGGGACAGAAGAUCCGUUGCGAACUUUUAGCAUUCAUCUUUUCCUUUCUUUUUCAAUUUUAAUUUAAAAUAAUUAAGAAUACUUUUUUUUAAUAAAAAAGAGAACAGAUAUUUAAUUGGGGGCAUGCAAAGGUCUUGACGUAACAAAAGAGCUGCCAAAUAAAAAAUUGGCAGCUCCAAAAUCACUGGCGGCAUAUCUUAGAGAUAGAAAUAAAAUAUUCCUAGAAUUCGACCAUACUCUUUGCAGCAAAUCCCUUGCUACUUUUACCACAUUUCCGCGUCAACUGCACCCCUCUACAUAUCACCCCAUGAAUUGCUAAGUCUUCCCAACAAAUUCACUCAAAUUCCUCUCCAGACGGGGAAUUAACAACACGAAGACCUCCACACAUCUUCCCUGCCCUCCCUUCUACCUCACGGCCUGCACGGACCAUGAAGGUGAUCAGACUCAUUUUCAUGGUCGCCCUAGCCAUGGCACUAGCCAUAACUCUAGUCACCAUGAAAAACACUGCCGAAGAAUCAGUAAUGAAGAACAAGAAGAACUCGGAUUCCGAACGGGGAAGAUACUGAUGCCGUCAAAAGGUUAAGCCGUUUCCUAGCUCAAAAACGAAAGCCAAAGAAUCCAGAGCAGCUGAUCAUUGCAAAAAGAUAAUGACAUUUGUGGCAACAUCCCGGGUGAAGAGGAGAAAAUUCUACAUGCUGCAACAACAAAUGUGUGGAUUUGGUGUACGAUCCUUACAAUUGUGGAGCAUGCAAAAACAAGUGUUUGCCGUUUGAAGCUUGCUGCAAGGCGAUGCGUUAAUCUUUCGUUUGAUAAGAGGCACUGUGAUUUUGCAACAAAAGUGCAUGCCGGGGAUUGUAUAUACGCAUCUGCGAUUAUGCUUAAAACAGAGCUCUCUCUCUCUCUCUCUCUCUCCAUUUAUUUGGGCAACAUUACAGCACUAUUAAUUAUUGCUAUACGGUUUGUCAUUUGUUAGACAUAACAAUAAAAGGCCGCAUCUAGUAUGGUGGUUCUUCAGAUACUGAUGAAAUACGUACAAGUCGUCAUAGUGUCUUCCUACUCUAUACGUCAAGAAAUCCUCAAGGAUUACUUAUGCCCCAAGGUGUAAUUAAUUCUAAUAAUCUGUAUGAAAGCCCCCCAUGUAUCAUGAGCAAUUAUUGAUACUUAGCUAACUUUUUUGCUAGCCAAAGAGAUAGCAGCAGUAUUAUGCAACUAAGAAAUUUUCUUGGUUCCUUCAAUGAAUAUUGUUUUGAUGGAAAGCCAGCCAGUCGUACUCACCUUCAACUCCAAGGUUGCUAGCUAUUUACCACAUUCAACCUAUAAUAAUUAAUAAUGUAAUAUUAAUAUUCUACUCCAUUUGUCGCCAAAUAAAUUAUUAUUAAUUUUUUGCCAGAAUGAACAGAAAAGAAAUAUACCGUUGUUAUUUCAGCAAGUAUACAUGCAUGCAGCGUAAAUGUUAGUAUUCUCAUCGGUCAAUUGUUUAAUUAACCAGCAAGCAAAAUCUUAUCGUGUAGUCGUCAUAGUUAAUUGAUCCCGCGAGUACAGUACAUCGCGCAAAUUCUUCAUGGAAGUAUAAUGAAACUCUCAAGGAGCCGAAGAAUUAAGCAACAACCGUGCAAGAAAAUCUUGUGUUCCACAUGCCUUUCCCUUGCAGGACACCCCAUCACUGGUCAUCCCCCGGCCACUUGGCUUCCUAAAUCACAUGCCAUCGUUAAUUGUGAAGAUGACUGAUUUCCCAAACGUACAACAUUCUCACAUGCCAUGUUUUGAUUGGUUCAACCAAUUCGAUCUCGAUUCAAAGGUUUAAUAAUUUUUUAUUCAGUUUAGCAUUAAGAAUUUUGAAUAAAACUAAAAUAUUAUUUUAGAAAAUAAAUACUUAAUAAAAAUCGAUUGAACCUCCCACUUUUUACCGGUUAUUGACCGGUUCAAUUAAUUCUUUAAUUUUUUAAUUGAAUCGGACCGAAGACAUGACUGAUUUGCGAUUCAAUCGAUCGAACCGGCCGGUACAGUCCAAUUUUCAAAACAUUAUUGUUUAGGUGAGGUGUUUCGACCUAUAUUUUAAAAUUAAAAUUGGAUAAUAUGCUGACACUAAGAGUUAAGAAGUUUGACCGGCUGAACCAAUAAUUAAAAACCAAAUGGCAUUACAAAAUAGCUAAAUUACAUGAAAAAGUACAACAAAAAAAAGAAAAUUGAGAAAAAGAUUUUUUCUCUAAUUUUUUUUUUUUGGGUUUCUCUCAAUCAAACACAAUUUUGCAAAAACGAACAAAACCGAGUCGAUUGCCUGCUUAGUUUAAGUUACGCCGUUCCUCUUUCAAUCGGUCCAAUCGGACCGUCCUUUCCAAAUUUCAAACCACUGAUACGAAUUGAAUUUUAAACGUAAAAGGAAAAUUCAAAAUGAAGAGUCAAGAUUGGUUUGUAAACUUGAAACCAUGUCCUCUUGUUUUCCUUGACUGGAAGUGUGCCUAAUUUGAGCUUUCACUUCAAGUCCAGGGUGAGGAGUCUUGACAAUUUCACCUCCAAAUCCAAUCUUAAAAGAUAAGAAACAAUUUGCAUUCCACUGGAUUUGUAGAAAAAUCAGAAGGAAGAGUCAGGAACAGUAAGUAAUUUUGAAAAUUUUGACAGAAGAUCAGUUGAUUGGUUGUGUACUUCCAAUUUAAAACAUCGGUGCGUUAUGCAGGGAUUACAAUAAGAAUAGCUUCAUGAUGUAUUGGGACCUUGGUGUGAUGCCGAUCAAUCGCUUUAUGGAAGCAGUAUCCAAAAAAAAAAAAAAAAAUCCCAAUUGCUGAUAGCUAAAAUCCAUAAGUCAAAGGUCUCUCAGCUAUUGUUCUAGUCCUCCUUAUCAAAGCUAAAAAGACAUUCGAUGGAAUUCUUCAUGCUUUAUGUCAUGCAGAAGAAACAACGUGAAAAACGGCCACACCUUUUGCAUCCCAACUUAACAUCGAAUUAAAUGUUAAUCUCCCUCUCGGAGUGAUAUUAUCCUCGAGGUUCAUUAAUUUAGAGAGUUUUUUUUUUUUUUUUGUCAACACAGGGGGUGUCGGGAUCAAUUCUUACGGGGUCCGACUAAUCCCCUGCUGUCCGGAAAAGGAGACCCCACUCCACACCGAACAGAUUAACAACGGGACUCGAAUCCUGACCGAAGCCAGGUAAGUUGCUAUACCUUAAGGAGGGGGAGCGAACCGUCCGAGCUACUCCGCGGGCAUUAAUUUAGAGAGUCAAGACACCCUUUUUUUCCUAAUCAGUAAGUGAAAAAAAAAUGGUGAUUUAUUCUUUGCCCCAACACUAGUAAACAAGAAAAGGAUGUGUCCACCACGUACCACAACAUAACACAGCUCCCAAAAAAAGAGCACAAAGAAAAGAAUAUUUUAUAUAGCGUGCUCUUAAAUCCGGUAGUGGUAAUUGGUAGUAAUCGAAUAACAUCUUCUCCUGAUACAAGUCUCUAUCUGGCUCUUGUCACUAGCUGCUAAAUCCCACGCACUUACCAUAAUAUAGUAAAGCAGCAUCACUCCAGCAAAUAAGGAAAAGAAUGUCCCCUGAUAAUCGUUUCAGGGUAGCCAUCGUGUUAUCUCUGUUUCUCCCUGUAUUUGCAGAUGUCCCGCACUGUAGUAAUGGAUUUCGAGAAGAAGCUGCCAAGAAAAUAAACAUAACAAGUUGCAGGAAGCAAAGUUUGGGAGCUGAAUUUGCUUGGAAUUACAACAAUGGUACAAGGAGACUUGAGAUUCUAUUCGGGGCAAAGUUACACGGUGACAUGGGGUGGCCUGGGGUUUGAACCCUGGGAAACAUGCAGGGAUGGUAGGCACCCAAGCCCUUAUAGGUAUCAAAUUAAGUAAUGGAACCUCAUCGCAUGAUACAUACAGCAUUACUGAUUCUACCAAGUUAGGUUGCAAACUCCUACCAUCCAAGAUCGAUUUGGAAGUUGGGGAUUUUAGCUUUUCUUUCCCGGAAGCUGAGUUCGCCGUGAUACAAGCUACAAUAGUUCUUCCUCGAGAAUACAAUGAUUCAAGUACAAAUGUCGUCUGGCAAGUUGGCAAUGUUGCAGCUGAAAAACAGCCCUUCAUGCAUCCCAAGAAUAUCUGGCAUCUUAGUUGCAAAGAGACAAUAAAUUUGAUUUCAGGGAGUGUUCGAGGCGACGGAGCUCAUAAACUGCAGAAAUUGAGAAAAGUAAGUUAAUACCAACACAAAAUGGAAUUACUUGUAAUCUUGGAUAGCUCUUCUUUUUGAUAAUCACCUAACCUAUUGAAAUGCAGCUUGAUUUGAGCUAUACAAUUCCAUUUAUUAUACAGUACCAAAGACAGCGCUGAAAAGUUAUUAUGGAACUCUUAUCAUUGUCACUGAAUUCUUGCAGGUUCAUGGGAUAUUGAACAUUGUGGGUUGGGGAUCAUUUCUUCCAGUGGGUGCAAUUAUUGCGAGGUAUUUCAGAAGAUUUCCCGUGGAAUGGUCCCAAUGGUUUCGUCUUCAUGUUUCAUGUCAAAUUCUUGGAUAUCUACUCGGCACAUCUGGCUGGAUCAUUGGAUUAUGGCUCGGAAACGCUUCCAAAUACUAUGGUUAUCAUACUCAUCGAGUUUUAGGAAUAAUUAUCUUUACAUUUACGACACUACAAGUAAGUCUAUCCAAUGCAGCACUUCAUAUAUCCCCUCCCUGUUGAUUUUCUCUGUCUCUGCAAUGGCAGCAAAGAGCAUAACGUUAUAUUUAUCUGCAGAUGUUCGCAUUGCGACUAAAACCAAAGCGUAACGAUGAUUAUCGUGUGUACUGGAACAUGUAUCAUCAUUUUCUGGGCUAUUCAUUACUGGCCAUUAUCUCAGUUAACAUAUUUCACGGGAUUUCCAUCUUAAACGCAGAUCAUACCUGGAAAUGGCUUAUAUUGGAUUGCUUUGCCUGUUAGGAUCGAUUGCUGUAGUACUUGAAAUUUACACUUGGAUAAAGUUUUGGAAACGAGAAUCGCCAGGCAUUCACAAAACUCAAGAUCAGGACCAAAAAGACUUGCAAAGAGGUAACAAAAACGAUUCAGGUGCAAGCACAGCAUCCCAUUCCUAGCACCGUACCAAGUUCAAGACUUCAAGAUACAUGAACUCAUCAACCAAGUUGUGAAAAAAAAUUCAGGUGGAACCAAAGACCAAAAUGCAGCCAUAACUAUGAAAAGGCUGGGAGGCCAGAGUGCUAAAAUUCAAGAAAUUGUUUCUGCAUUUCACACCUUAAGGUAGAGAAGCUAUGACUAGUUUCAGGUUGGGUUUUGGGACUUAUGUACGAGAUUUAUUUAUUUUUUUUUUUUAAAUGUUGGUUCUUUGUAUACUUGUCAUUUCCUAAGUGAAUCGUGUUUUUAUAAUAAUCGCAUUACUUGGUCUACAUGCUCUAAUAUGAGCAGAUUUGUCCAAGCAAAGAAUGGUCUUUUAAGUCCAGACAUAAACCAAGCAAUAAAAGCAGAGCCUCCCAUAAUUUGAUUGUCGUUUAUGAAUCACCAAUUAACCUUACAACAAUGGUAAUCUUGGUAAGGCAUGCCAUUUCUUUCUUUUUGUCCUACUAGUUUCAUAGUGGAGACAAAAAAAUCUAGAGACACCACAAAAGUUGCGAGCUUAUGAACAUUUUACCUACCUUGCCUACGGUAAUAUUCAGUUAUUUGCGAUGGUAAAUUGACAUACUUUUCAUUGGUGAACCCACAAAAUUGGUAACUUGCCUACAGUAAUAUUCAGUUAUUUGCAAUGGUAACUUGACAUACAUUUCAUUGCCCAGUCUGGGUUCGGUCCGGUGGUUGUAGCCCAGUUGGGUGAGAGCCACCAACCAAGGAUCGAAUCCCAGUCGUUACCAUUGACCGAUGAUGUCGGGCAGCCUCUCGCAGUCACGCAGUGGGAUUAGUUGGGACGUACGGUAACCAGUCCUCGGCCCCAGAUACCCACUGUGAUGAAAAAAAAAAAAAAACUUGACAUACAUUUCAUUGGUGAACCCACAAAUUAAAAUAUUAAAUUGAACUUAACUGUUGGUACAAAAGUUUACAAUUUUGUUACAGAAAAAAAGGGCCAUAAAAAAAAUUUAGUAGUCCGAAAAAAAAUUAACUUUUCAUUUUGCUAUUCCAUUGGUAUUUGGUAGGGGAGCUUCAGCCUCAUGUUAUCAUGAGGCUUCAAUUUCACCAGAAAAUGAGAUUCAGAAAUUAAUCUGCUCAGAAAAAAAGAACUUAUUGAUAAUAUGAUAGACAGAAAAAGAACCUGGGACAGACUUUGGUCAUGUCUGCUACAGUUGUAGAGGGCGUAGCUGCCACGGCCCUCAGGUCAGUUCUCCACCGUGUACGGCAAGCUGCCGAGCAAUCCGGUCGCCAUGCUGAAGAUGUCAGGGUAGUAGCUGUAGGCAAAACAAAGCCAGUCUCUCUUAUUCAGGAAAUCUAUGACGCAGGUCAUAGGUGCUUUGGCGAGAAUUAUGUUCAAGAAAUCAUUGAUAAAGCUCCGCAGGUGCCUUUUUCCCUCUCUCCCUAUCUGGGAUUUGUUUCGUCUGAAGAGUUUCUUAUUAAUGAUUGGUGGAUCAUUAAAUAAAUUCAACCAUUAUUAGAUUAGAUCAUUGGGUUCUUGAUGAGUAAAGGUUUGUUAAUUGGACCAUAAAUAAAAGUUUUUUUUGGGUGUAAGAAUUGCAGCUUCCUGAUGACAUUAGGUGGCAUUUCAUUGGGCAUCUGCAGAGCAAUAAAGUGAAGUCACUUCUUGGUAUGCUGUAAUUGAUGUUUGAACCAUGUGGUUUUACUAAACUCAUAUAUCUUGUGUUCUUGAACAUUUGAACUAUUGAAGAUUAGACCUUUUCUUCAACUGAGAAGUUGGCACAUUUCCUUCUAAUUUGUCAUUUAUUAGGUUGUACUAGUAACGGAAUGUUCAUUUUACGGUUCGUUAUUGCUAACAGCUCAACUGAAUUCUACCUUUUCCUUGUUGCCAGAGACAUUGUUAUUGAAAAUUAUAUCUGUUUCGGAGACAAAAAUCCUUGUAAUCAAGAUGUUUUACUUAUUAAAGAUGAUAUUCUGAACUCCAAAAAUCUAAAACUCUAGGCAUGUCGCCCGUAUUUUUUAAGGCAUCACACGGUACUUAGAAACUUAAGCUGUACAGUUAUAUAAUCGGGGCCUAUGGAUUUCAUCCCAAGUCUCUAGCAAAACACCUUUGUUCAAAAGCCAUCAAACUGGGCAUGAUACUCAUUUUGUUUUGGUGUGUGGUUGCCAAAUUGGAAUAUAAGUGAGAUUGUGAUACAUGUUAAGGCUGAUCUCUACCGCAUGCAGCUGCCAUUCCUAAUCUAGCAACAGUUGAGGGUGUAGACAACACAAAGGCAAGUAUUUGAUUUGAAGUGAAUUUUGGAAUUGCAAGAUUAGAGCUCAAAUGAAAUCCAGAUGCUUAUGACAGAUGUUCUAGGCUAUAACUCACAAGGAUAGUUGUAAAUAUGCCUUUCUCCAAUUCACAUAUAGGUUGCAAAUUAUCUAGAUCGUGAAGUUUCAAGGCUUGGGCGUCCACCUUUGAAGGUGUUUGUCCAAGUGAAUACGAGUGGAGAAGCAUGUAAGUGCUCACAUUUUGAUUCUACAGCAAAGUCUAUCUAGUCAGAUUGUUUGAGCUUGACAAUUGAUAACUAAUGCAGCACCAGAGCUAAUAUAUUUACUUCAGAACUAUCCUGAGUCUUGUUAUCUUUAAAAGAACAUUUUUUAGUUAUUCUUCUUGGUUGGCAGUAUGAUACCAAGAGCUGCACAGCAACAUUGGGAUAUUUUUGAGUUAUUUUAGUAAAUUAUGUUAAUCAGUCAAGUCAGCUGUAGUUGUACUGUGGAAGCAUGUUUUAUCACUUUGGAUCAUUAUAAAUGGGGAAAAAAACUUUGUUCUUAUUUUCUUGCAAAAACAACAUUUUGUCAUGAUUCUUACUCUGUAGUGACUAGAGCUGCAUUAGUAUUGCCUUAUCUUGAUUUCAUUAAGGUUCAUUAGUCAACAGUUAAAUUGGUGAUUACAUGCAGCAAAAUCUGGUGUAGAGCCAUCAGAUAGCAUAGAGCUUGCAAAGCAUGUCAGGCUGGGUUGUCCAAAUCUUGAGUUCUCUGGUUUAAUGACCAUAGGCAUGCCAGAUUACUCCUCAACUCCAGAAAACUUCAAGGUAAGUUCCUAACCUUCUUAGGCGUGAUUGAAGACUGUAAUGGCUUCACUUCUUUGCGCUUUUGCAGAGGUAUGAUAUAGCUAUAUAAUCCACGCAAGAAGCAGUGGGUCACAGGGUUAGCAUUCAUGUUAUUGUUGCCUCUUUGUGUGUCUUUUGCUUAACAGCAAAAGUUAUUUCUUUUCUAUUUUCUUUUGAAUAUUCUUUUGUUUGAGCAAUGAGAUAUGAACUUAAUUUUUAUGGCUUCUUCGUAUGUGAAACUGUAUGCUAAAUAUAUCUGUGUGAAGUGCCAGUUUGUAAAUGUAAAAUUUUGAACAGAAGCUGAAUUCUGGCAGAUCAUUUUUCACUUGCUAACCACAUACGCAUCCACUUUAUUUGUAUGGCUUUAUUACAGACUCUAUUCAAGUGUAGAACUGAGGUCUGCAAGGUGCUAGGGAUGGCUGAGUUCCAGUGCGAGUUGUCAAUGGGCAUGUCUAAUGACUUUGAACAAGCAGUAAGCCUGGAUUCUUGAUGCCUAGAUUUUAAGAGUUGAAUUUUUAUUGUUGAUUGAGUUCUGUGUAAUUUCUAUUUACCUCCUGUUCAAUUUAUGAAGGCUUACAUCUGAACGAAUACGUGCUACAACUGAUUCCCCAGUAUUAUGUAACUUUGGGGUUUGGUUUGUUUGAAAACUGGGACUGUCUUGCAAAUCUUUCACCAACAGUUUUUCGCCAUUCCUUUGAUCUUAGAAUUUGAACUUGUCGUUAGGCUAAAGUAGUCUCUUACUUUCCUUUAGGCUGGACUUUUGUAAUUUCUUUGUUGCUUCUAUUUAUGGUCUGUGUGCAAAGUUUGAACUUUGCUUCAAUUGAAAUCUUAGAAGAUUAAUGGUGUUUCUGAAGCUGUUAUGAUACAUAACCAUGAGCUCAAUUUUGCUGAUAAUUACAAUUAUAUUUAUGUGUGUAUGCACACACACACACACGUAUAUUAGAUAUAAAAUCAUAACCACAAUGUUUGUCUAAGAUUAGAAUCUUGAUUGUAUGCUGAAAUUCUCAAUCUGAAGAUUUGCAUUUAUCUGUUGGAAAUGAUGAUUAUUCUCCUUCACGUAAAAAGAUUAUGCUAGUUUUCGCAGCAAGUCUCACUCACUAUCCAUCUUAAACAAUGAAUCUAGAUCGUUUGAGGCUAGAGCUUGGAUAGGUGUUUGUGAACUCUGACUGUGCUUUCCCAUACAUGCAGAUCAAGAUGGGCAGCACCAACGUGAGAAUUGGAUCAACAAUAUUUGGACCAAGAGAAUAUCCAAAGGGUCAAUAGAUUUACAACUAAUAGUAUCUUUGCUGCAUCACUUUUGUCAUGCUAUAUUUAUUAGCUUUCUGAUAGAUCCAACAUGUUCAUUGACCUGCAAUCAGUUAAUUCAAUUGAAUUAUCCUGCGAAGACCAGAUGCUUAUGGAUGUGUUGGUACUUGGUACUGGUGUGGUCACACGACUGUUUGUGUUGGUGCUUAACUACUGCAGUUAUGCCACGUCUGGCGUUUACUUUCAGGCAUAGAAAUUCUUGUUGAACCUGGACAAAAUUUCUUGAACAUUUUGACAUCUGCUCCCCUCAGAUAACCAAGCGUAAAUGCACGCCGCAUGGGACAAUUCUUCAAUCACUUCUCUUGCUUUGGUGGUAAAGCAUAUUGAAAAUUACUUCUAUGCCUGCAAAUAAGCAUUGAGUAGCUACCAGUCCAUUGUUAACAAAGAGAUUACAAUCAUGAGAAUAAAGUCGUUAAAUUAAGUUGAAGGAUACUAAGAAUAAUGUGACGUCUAUGCUUAGAAGUGAGACUCGGAUAAAUACGAGAGCAACUUUAAAUUAAAGAUCAGCUUAUAGCUAUAUCAGCCAAAGCCGAUCAGAUUCAGAGCCAUCCCAUCAAAGCUUAUUAUUCCAGGAUCAUUAUGCACAUCUUCAGCAAAGCUGAACGAUCAAGCUCCUGAUAAACGUACUAUGGCUUGCUGAGUAUAUUGAGACCCAUAAAUGUCAUCGUGACAGAUGUAAUCGAAUCGAGUCGAGCUCAAGUAUUACCAUACUCAAGAUUGACUCGACAUGCAGGAAAGAUACUUAAGCUCGAGUGAGUAGCAUUACUGGAACUUGAGCUCGAGCUCGACUUGUAUGGGCUCGAGUCAAUGCGAAUCUUAUCAAAUUCGAGUUAGAAAGAUUUGCGGAUUUUAUUUUUCUUGACAAUGUUUGAGCGAAAAGACAUUAUUGACCUUUAAAAAAUUUCAUAUGACCUAAAGCAUUUCGUAAAUUCAACCAUUCUUUUGGGUAUAAGGGUAAUUUAAUAAUAAUAAUAUAUUAAAGAAUUAAAAUUAAAAAACUCGAUAAGGUUUGACAAGCCUUCAAAUCUUACUAUUGGAUAUUCGAACUCGACUUAUCGAGCUACUCGAAUUUGAUUCGAACUUGAUCAAUUCGAAUUCGAAUUGAGUUUUUGACCAAUUUACUUGCAAACAGUUUGAUUCGAUUACAGCCCUUGUUAUCGUAUUUCCUAAUUGCUUUACAAUUAUUCUGGAGGGAACAAGAACUCAAGCGUCCCUCCAAAAAAAAAAUAAAAUCAAGUGUCCAUAUUCCUUUGGCAGAAUAUUCCUUUGGCAGAAGGAAGGAAUUCGAAAAUUUUGCUGAUCCAAGACCAUUGAUGCCGCAUUCCAUCAUCUCUCAAGAUUUCAAUGGGCUCCUAAUUCAUAAUGAUGUUGGUGGAAAAGGGGAUUUAAAUAAGAACGGGGCAAAGGGAAGCGUAGAGUCCUAGACAAAAGCAUCAAAUUUGGCCUUGGAAAGUUCAUAAUGUAAAUGCUAUACAGUAAUACAGAAAUGUAUCAAACUAACAGGGGUUUUAAGAUGUCUCGUUUUUUCUGUUCAACUCACAAAGAACUGGAUGGAUAUACGAUCACUUCCCUUCUAUUAAUUUCUUUCCUACUUCUAAGAUUUUCCUUUUUCUUGGGUUGGAGGCAUUUUUGUCCUCAAGGUACAACCCAGCAGGUAGUACUAUAUAACAGUCUGCGCUACCCGCCUGUCAUCAAUUUCAACUACGCAAGCUCCUCUCUACUAGUGUCUGCGGAAGCCUCCGCUCUAUACUUGCCAGCAGCGGCAAAAAUUUAGCAGCAGCGAUUAUGAUGGUACCAUUGACAAGCUCAACCAAAAUUGCAUUACUUUCCACCAAUACCAACGGAUAUCCUCCUCUCAAAUUCCCCUUCCAAAUCGGCAAAAAGAACACUUUCCGGAAAUGCAACAGUUUCGGAUUUCGGUCCCCAAAGAAACAAAGUUGGAGCUGCUCUGCAUCCGAGCAACCCCAACCCCUAAACCCACCUCAACAAAACGAGAAAAGACAACCCAAAUUCAAGAAAAAGCAAACCAAACAUGCUGAUAAAGGGGUCGACCCAGUUGGGUUCCUCACCAAACAUGGCAUUUCACAUAAAGCCUUCGCCUUUUUCCUUCGUGAAAGGUAGUAUUGUUUGUCCCUUAGCUCUUCUUCUUUUCCUCGUAAUUAUGAAAUUAUGGUUUCUAUUGGACCUUUUAUUGGAAGAGGUACCUAGUUUGGUUUUACUUUAUGCCAAGGUACAAAGCGUUGAAGGACUUGCGGGAUGAGAUUUUUAAUCGUUACCUCAACCUAAAGGAGCUGGCUUCUGGGUUAGUGCUUUCUUUCUCUUUCACAUAUUAAUAUUGGGCUAUCUUAUACUGUUAUUUAAAGUGCUAGUUUCUCAUGUUUUUGAAAGUUACUGACUUUCUGAGAGUUGUUUUUGAUAUCUAAGUGUUUGUCAGAAUUGUUAGCUGAACUCUCUCUCCCUCUCUCUCUCUCUCUCCGUAAUUAGCAAUUAUACCAUAUGUGUUACCAGUGAUGCCUAUGUUUCUUAUUACUAGACGUGAACUACUAGAGUGAUGCCUGUGUUUUUAUUUCUAGAUAUGAACUACUGGGAAUGCAACGAAAUGCGCAGCAUCGGGUGGAUUUCUUGGAGUGGGCUCCAGGUUUGACACCAUCUCUGAGGAUAUUUUUUUCUUGUAGAAGGGCAAGCGUCAUUUCUUGCUUAGUUCAAAUUCGAGCUCAUCAGUGGGCAUGUCUGGAAGCUUAAGUAUCUAAGAGAAGUUUUAGUUACAUGCUAUCAGUCUCAAAAUGUGUCUAUAGAUGUUAGUUUAGGAUUAGGAUUUAGCAGCUCCACUUUAAGUUCAGACUUGUGUUGUUUCUGAAUGCAAUUACCAUUGCUCGUGUAGCUCACAUGUGAAGCUGAAAAUCUUGACAUUAGGUGCUCGUUAUUGUGCUAUUGUUGGAGAUUUUAAUGGCUGGUCACCCACAGAAAAUUGUGCCAGGGAGGGUCAUUUUGGCCAUGAUGACUAUGGUUACUGGUUUAUUAUUCUUGAAGACAAAUUACGGGAAGGUGAAGAACCAGAUGAAUUCUACUUUCAACAGUACAAUUACGUGGAUGAUUACGAUAAAGGUGACAGUGGUGUUACAGUUGAAGAGAUGUUUAAGAAAGCAAAUGAUGAAUAUUGGGAACCUGGUGAAGACCGCUUCAUUAAGUCACGUUAUGAAGCGGUAGCUAAGCUGUAUGAGCAGAUAUUUGGCCCUAAUGGGCCUCAAACGGAAGAGGAGCUGGAAGAGAUAGCUGAUCCAGAAACUAGGUACAAGGCCUGGAAAGCGCAGCAUAGAGAUGAUCCACCAAGCAACUUACCUUCUACUCAUGUGAUAGAUACUGGAAUGAAAGAGUAUGAUGUUUUCAACAUCAUAGACGAUCCUGUAUGGCUAGAGAAAUUCCGUGCUAAGAGUCCUCCCAUUGCCUACUGGUGGGAGACACGUAAAGGAAGGAAAGCGUGGUUGAAAAAGUAUAUGCCUGGUAUCCCCCAUGGGAGCAAAUAUAGAGUAUAUUUUAAUACUCCAACAGGGCCUCUGGAAAGGGUUCCUGCCUGGGCCACUUAUGUAGUCCCAGGUAUCCAGUGGUUGCUAGCAUCUCUUAUCUGUUCACGUAGUUUGCAUAGCGAUGCUUAAAUAGUAUAAUUUGAUGCUCACACUAUCAUACGCCACUUUACUUGUAAAAAGUAAUCAUUUUCAUGCUUUGAAUGUGUGAUCUGUUAAUUUUUUUUGUUUUUAAGAGGUCCAUUGCUAAUCAUGUAUUCCUUUUAUUUUUUAGGUAACUGUACUUGUUUACAUUAAUUAAUCUGCUUAGCUUGGAUUUUGGUCUCAGAAAUGAACUUUUCGGGUACAUAUUCUUGUGUCAGUAUCGGUAUUGUUCUUUUAAUGGUAGUAAAACAAGUUUCGUGAGAAAAAGAAAUACUACUUAAUUUUUUUUGUAUUCCUACAAAGAUAGAGCAAAUACAAAGUUUAGACAUUCAUGCUGCACUGAUGUCAGAGUUAAAUGAAGAAUCUAUCUUUACCUCUACUUGACUUCCCAUCAUUGUCGCACACGUUUUGUUUAUUGAGUUUGCAUAUCUUUUGUUUCUAUACUGUCUUCCUGUAACAGUUCGAUAUUGAAUGCUAUUUGAACAUGCAGAUGCAGAUGGCAAGCAAGCUUUUGCAAUCCACUGGGAACCACCUCCUGAAUCUAAAUAUAAAUGGAAGCACAAGCAUCCACCAAAGCCAAAGACUUUACGCAUAUAUGAAUGUCAUGUUGGAAUCAGUGGACAAGACCCAAAAGUUGCAUCUUUUGAUGUUUUCAUUCAAAAGGCAAUUCUUCAAGUUAUUUUACAUUUGUUUUCCCUUUUGUUGUCCUUAUUUCCUGUUAUAUUCUGUCCUUCAAUUGCAACUUCCUUCAUCUUUAUAGGUCCUGCCUCACGUAAAAGAAGCUGGUUACAAUGCAAUCCAAUUGAUUGGACUUGUUGAGCACAAAGACUACUUUACGGUUGGGUAUAGAGUGAGUUCAGAAUUAGAUGUUCCUUAUCCAUAUGAAGUAAUGAUUAAGUGUUGAAAUACAAUCUUUAAUGUACCAUGACAUGAAUUCUUGAAUUUAGUAAUUAGCACCAUAUUGUUUUACUUGCAUAAAUCUUCCUGUGGAAUUAGGAUUUGAAAAGGCUGCAAGAUAGGACUAUCAAAUUGGAAGUAUGCUUGUGAACUAUUUAUAUUUUGGAUAAAAUAUUUGUUUAAGGUCCUCAUGUAUUCUGUAUAAUAUGGGGAACUCCUGCGACCGAAUGCGCGGACUAACAAAGAAAGUUAUGCUUCCUGCUUUUUACUGUGGAGAGAAUCUCAACUGCGCUAGAAUGCAUCCUCUAAUAUUUCUAGCCACUGAGUGUCCUAAGAGAUGUACAUGCUCAGUUUGAAAAUAUUUUCACCCAUGCAACCUGGUUAUCCAAUGGAUUUUCUAGUUCAGUAAAAGCUAACCUGCUGUCAAAUUACCUUUCAGUAGCAUAAUAUUUUAGUUCUUCUACAGGUGACUAAUUUUUAUGCUGUUAUCAGCCGCCUAUGAUUCAGUAGCAUAAUAUUUCAGUUCUUCAACAGGUGACUAAUUUUUAUGCUGUUAGCAGCCGUUAUGGUACACCAGAGGACUUUAAGCGCUUGGUUGAUGUAGCACAUGGUAAUUCUUGAAAAUUGACUUAUAAUUCAUAGCAAAAUGGAUAUGCUUCUAUUCUUUUCUCUUAUGACCUCUAAUUUCCAUCUUUGUUCAUUUGUGUGCCAAAAUUUAAUCUGUACCAUUGACAUCAUACUUGGAAGAAUUAGUGGAUUUCAGGUAUAGUGAAAUUUGUCAUCUGAAAUCAGUUUUCUUGCUACUUAUCAGAAUUAGGAAAUGAAUUGGAGGUCUUAAUUUUUCAGUAAAACAAUAUUAACUUGCUGUAAGAUUUUAGAAGAAAAUAUUGAAGCCAUUCUCCCCUUUAAGCGUGGAGUGAAUUUUAUGUAUUCUUGUUGAGAAAUGUUCUUCACAAACAAUUUAGUUUUGUUUCAACCCAAAAGACUAGAAAUAGUCGAUGACAAAUUUGAGCUGUCCUUGUGCUACCCUUUUAAAAAGCCUUAAAACAAACAAAUGAUUGAUUGGAGAGAGGAGAAGAAGAAUAACAGAAUUAUAAGUCUAAGAUAUUGGUUUUUUCGCUGUUUCUUGUGAACCAUGUGUACUCAAUGAGGAAGUUUGGCCUACAUUUUCCAUAUAGAUUUUACUUGACAUGCAAAAGUCAAUUGUUACUUCUUUGAAUUGAGUGUCUUUGUAUAACUGACUCAGACACGUACGUCUCUCUGUUGCUAUUAACCUGUUUCUGGAGCAGUGUUCUUUCUUUCAACCUCGUAAACCAAUUAAUUUCUUUCUGGCUACAAUGCUUAUUAGCUGUCAUUGUCGUGAUAAUUUGUACAUCUUUUUUUCAAGUGGUUUCUAAUUGCAUGCUCAUGUCAUAAUGAAUUUUACCCCUUGAGCUCCAUUUGUUUUUUGCAGGACUUGGGUUACUAGUCUUCUUAGACAUUGUCCACUCAUAUGCAGCAGCUGACGAAAUGGUUGGUUUAUCACUUUUUGACGGAUCAAAUGAUUGCUACUUCCAUUCUGGUAAACUGUUUUUGGCAAGAAAAAAUGAAACUACUGUAGAUGACCAUUGACUAUAUUUCCAGAUUGAUCCUAUUGUUGUCUUGCCCGGCUACUACUUCAUGUCCUUUUGAGUACUGUUGCGUGGUCCCGUCUCAUCUUAGGAAAUUAUUCAAAGUAAUAUUAAUUCGCAUGUUCAUUCAGUAACUUUGCAAGUCAUAGGGUGUUAGAAUUGUAUGUCAGCUUCAGUGGAAACCGGGCUCUCUAGUUUAGCACUGUGAUGUUGAUCAAGAUUCUUACUGACAGUAUGCUGAUAUUGUUUUCUUGUUGGUCUAGACUUUACAUACUAGAAAUAGAAGUUAUAGGGAAUAGCAAGAAAAAAAAGAAAGAAAUGUACUUUAAGCUGGUCGUAAGUUAUGCUCCUUUCUAUUCCAUCACAGAAAAGUUUUUGACCGUGCCAUAUGAGCUUCUGGCUUUUGGAAGUUUUUGUCAUUGUAUCAGUUUUUUAUGGGAAGCUAGGAAAUUAUAUAUUUUUUGGUUCAUUAAACUUUUGAAGUCCAUUUUUUUUUCCAUUUUUAGUCAAUCUCUUUUUCUCUCUCUCUGGCAGACACACAUAUGCAGACGUACAUACACACAGACACUCUCUAAUAUGGUGCACAAGGAGCAUAAUUUUAUGUUUGUCCAACUCAUUUUGCACUGAUAGGUAAACGAGGCAAUCACAAAUUCUGGGGUACAAGAAUGUUCAACUAUGCAGAUCAAGAUGUGCUGCACUUUCUUCUUUCAAAUCUGAAUUGGUGAGUAUAGCAUACCUACCUUGCUCAAAAAGUUUUUCUUUUCUGACCUUGAUCAGAGAAAUGUGGGAUUUCUGAUUGAUAUUUUCUUAUCACCUAUCUCCUCCUUCGUUUCCUAGAAAUGUGUAGCCAAUUAUUCCAUUUGUGUUGAGUAUCUUUCCAUUCUUAUACCAAUUGCAAAAGUUUGCAUUUUAUUCAUUGCUCAUGGAAUGGUGUUUGUCAGGUGGGUGGAGGAGUAUCAAGUUGAUGGUUUCCAUUUUCAUUCCCUUGGAUCAAUGAUGUAUACACAAUGGAUUUGCUACAUUUACGGGUGACCUGGAGGAGUGAGGCUUCUGAAAUCUUAUUGAUCUACUUGACAUCUUUUUGUUUUGAUUUUCUCUCUUUUACUAAUGCUUUAAAUUUCUAUGAAGCAUAUUAUUUUCCCAUGGCUUGUAAGACCAUUUAUUUCUUUGUAAGUUUGGUCACCUCCGGAAUCUGUAUUUGGUCUUAAAAUGCAUAUACAACCUCUGCAGUAGCAGCUAAUACUUUUCUGUUGCAAAUAGAUUUGUGUAUCUUAUUUAGCUUUCAGUGCACCAAAUUUAUGUCUAUACAUAGUAUAGUAGUGGUUGCAGAUGUUGCAUUUUUGCCUAGAAGGUAAUUUUAUUUUUUCUUCUUGCAGGUAUUGCAAUCAAUAUGUUGACAAGGAUGCAUUGUUAUACCUAAUUUUGGCAAAUGAUAUACUACAUGCUCUUCAUCCUAAUAUUAUCACCAUUUCUGAAGAUGUGAGUAAUCUUGUAUUAUUUGUCCUCACUAAAACUUUCUCACAGUUUUAUGUUGUUUGGUCAAAUAUGGUCUUGCAAUUUAAACAUUAUGCCUUGAUCAAUAGACAUGAAUACGAAGCUCAGUGCAUUGUUUACAUACUCAAUAGAACUGUAACUUUGGGAUGGGAAUUAAUUUGGUUUUGUGUGUGUAAAUUUCAUUAGAGCUCCACAUUUGGGUUCUGUGGUUAUUAGAAGGAAUCAAGACAGCUAGUGAAAUUGGUUGGCAUUAAAGUAUAUAGAACUUGGAAAUAUCAGUUACUGUAAUGGAGAAUGAAGAUGAUUGUAUGGUAAAAGUAAAACACUAAGGAGUUGGAUGUUUUCCCAGCGUUAAAAUCCUGGCUUCUCUCUUUUUAUAAGAUUCCUUGAAUGUUUAUCAUUCCUUUAGCUUUGAAGCCUUCUCCACCCGUUUUCAAAGAAAGCCUUCUCCACCCAUUACAAACCCUGUGACUUUGAGCUUGUCCUUUCAUGGCAAAGGUCAGUAAUUUCUUUCACUUCUCAGGCAACACUUUAUCCUGGACUAUGCGAGCUGACUUCCCAGGGUGGAUUAGGAUUUGAUUAUUUUGUCAAUCUUUCUGCACCGGAGAUGUGGUCAUCAUUCCUUGAGAACACCCCUGAUCAUGAAUGGAGCAUGAGUAAGGUUGUUCCAUGCUACUGCCUUAGGAUACUUGACAAUUGUUUGUGCAGAAUUGAUUUUCCAAAUUUUUUGUCCUCUGAUGAGUACUUAUAUUUCAAAAGCUUUUUGUUUAGGAGAAUAGUUUAUCUCUUGGUCACUUAUUCAUUUCUAUUCUUCAAGAUUGUGAGCACCUUAGUAGGCAACCAACAAAAUACAGAAAAGAUGCUCUUGUACGCUGAAAACCACAACCAGGUAUCUUGUUAUUUGCCUGCCUGUUCCUCUUGUAAACGUUUUACCACUUUUGGCAACUUUAUUAAUCCUAUCAUUAAGUUGUAUGUCUAAUCUAACAAUUGAUUCGUUUACAGUUUUGAAAUUAUCUUGCUAAUCACUGGUUCUUUGCUUUCCAGUCCAUAUCUGGAGGGCAGUCCUUUGCAGAAGUAUUGUUUGGUGAUACAAUUGGCUGCUCUUCUGUUACGGAGGAGUCAUUGCUUAGAGGUUCUUCGCUGCACAAGGUAACCUUUUUGAUCAUUGCAGAUCAUACUGUGAAAAACUAUAAAAUUUCUAUGAUUUGGUCAGUUGUUCACUAGCUUCAUCAGCUAGAAGACAGAAUACUUCUCAUAAUCUCUCUCUGUCUCUCUCUAUAUAUAUAUCUAUGUAUUUACAUUUUGUAAUUGUUAUGCUUUUAAGAGAAUUUUAGUUCUUGAAGAAUCUCAUGCUACAUGGAGUAGAUAGAAUCAUUUUUAUGAAUGAAGUUGGUUUAGAUUCUUACAUGGAUUACACAGAAAAUAUUCAGAUUUUGAAUAGUUUCCAAUCACAUUGUUUGUGAUCUACCUGGAGAGGCACUUCAAACAAUAUUUCUCAAAUGGUUGAGUUCUUCAAUUUUUUAAAUCAUUUUAAUCAAAUUUAGUUUCUUCAAAUUUUAUAUCUCAACAAUAUUACUCUCUAUUUUUGUAUCUCAACUAGUGUAAGUUCAUUUUUUUUUACCCUCAGUUUGUACAGCAUUGUCUAUUUACUCUCUAAAAAUUUUCUUACUUUUGUACUUAUUGUCAAUUCAAGGUGACUGUGUGCUUGUUAUUUCUCGGUUUAACUUGGGGUGUUCUUUAACAAGAUGAUCAGGUUGAUUACAUUUACAAUUGGUGGUUCAGCAUAUCUCAACUUCAUGGGUAAUGAAUUUGGGCACCCAAAGGUGAAGCCUAUAACCUAACUGUGUUCUUUACUGUACAUCUAUCCACAGCUAUGUCCUCUAAAUAUAUUACAUAAUUUUGGUUUGCUAGAGAGUUGAAUUCCCUAUGGUGAGCAACAAUUAUUCAUAUGCACUUGCUAAUCGUCAAUGGGACCUCUUGUUGAAGGAAGGAGUGCACAAUCAGUUGUUUACUUUUGAUAAGGUGAUGAUUAUGGUAUUGUGCUUUUAGUAUUUUGUCUUCCUUUUAGGCUUUCUAGCCAAAAACCACCUGACUUUUAACAUUUGGCAUUUCUUGAAAUAUGUGUUUUCUGUUCUGAAUUAUAUAUUCUGAUAACGAUCUGCGUUCAAAACCAAUAAUGUUCCUCAUCUAUGAAUUGCUAAUAGAUUAUAGGUUACAAAUAAGAUGGGCCUAAUUGAUGAAGUUAGAAACAUAAAAAAUCUGAUCCAACACAUGUUGGGUACAUCAAAAAAUGUAACUGCUACGUAAUCACCAAAGAUGGAAUUAUUACUCUAAUAUCAUCUUCUUCCUAACCAGGAUAUGAUGCACCUGGAUGAAGUUGAAGGAAUUCUUUCAAAAGGUUCAGGAGGUCAUUCCAACAUUCAUCACGUUAAUGAUCCUCCUAUGGUAAAUGAGUAACUUUCACAUUUACAUCUGUUUUCACAUGCUUUUGCUUGUGCUUUUGUUUGUAUGUGUUCUUUUUUCAUUGCAAUUCAGUUGCAGGAAAUGAAGAUGCAACAUCUUAACUCAAAAGUGGGCACCUCCACGUUACCAUGAGGAAAUUUAUGGUUCCCUUAUUCAGAAUAAAUGCUAUAGUUCUUUUGACGUUCUAGUAGUUGUCAUAUUAUCUAGCAGUCAACGUAUAUUCCUAUUACUUGAAUAUAUGAAAUGCAAUUUACUAGUUGUCUCCAUUUUUUUUUCUGAUUUUUGAUCUCCAGCAUGGGUUACUAAAAUUCUUAUUUUGUGGUGUUAGAAGAGAUGCUACCGGAAAGUAGAUGGUCAAUGCCUUUAGAUUUUUUUUUCUCUUGUUUGGCAGCCUUUGCUUUUAUCAUUAUUAGUCUGUAUGGCUGAUGCAGAUAAUAAAUUAAUCAUAACAUGCGUAGCAAUUUUGCAUAUGCGCUUAUAGUUGCUUUCCAACUCAUUUCAUUCUAUGGACAAAUUUAAGCAUAUUUAUCUCAUCAUUUUUAUCAUGGCUGAACAUGAAAGUCCCUUAUGGAACAGGUUAUUGCCUAUAUUAGAGGUCCUUUCCUCUUUGUGUUCAAUUUUCAUCCCACAAAUUCAUAUCACAGAUACAGCAUUGGUGUGGAGGAAGCUGGAGAGUAUCAUGUAAGUGAUUUUAUGCCGUGGUAUCAUCUGACAUUCUAACUAAAUCAUAAUUUCCAACUCCAUGUUGGUUUGUUCUCUAAGAUCUAAGUGAGGGCAUAGUUCGAAAUGAACUGAGGACAUAAUUUCUUCUCGAUACACUUUGGCCAAUUGGUUAAUAGAAGCAUCUAGCAACGCCCAUUGGUAACUUUCCUCAUUGCACCUGCACCUAGAAAUUACUCUAGAAAUACUUGAUUCUUACUGACAGUUAGUUCCUAGUAGGCAGAAUAUGGUUCUUUCCCCUGGGCCACCCUUCUUGAAAUUUGAGAACUAUACAAAACUUUUCAAGGGAAUAACAUUUGCAAAUAGUAAUUUAAUUUUGCAAUUAGUAGACUUCCCGUCGAUAAAGAAAUUGGAACUCUUGGUUCUUCAUUCAUCCUUUGUUUCAAUCUAAGCCUGAGCUAGAUGUGCCGUGUUUUUUUAACUAGUCUAAAAACUGGUGAAAUUUAUGAAAUUGAGAAAGUUUGAUAUUGAUCAAUGGUUAUUUCACUUGGUGGUCCAACAAAACCACAAAAUGACCAGCUAUUGUGGUGACAAUCAUUUGAGAAUUUUGAUAUAAAAGCAUUUCCCCCAUUCACAGGGAGAUAUCUGAUUCUCUAUUAUGGCUCAAUUUUGAGUGUGAUAUUCUUAUAUUUAUUCCAAUGGCAAGUUUAAUCUUCCUGUUUUACAUAAUAAGGGAAGUUAUGAAUCUCUUCUUCAGAUUAUUCUUAAUACAGACGAAAAGAAAUACGGCGGUCAAGGAUCUUUUGAGCAUGACCAGUAUGUUCAAAGAACUAUCAAUAGAAGGUUAGUAGUGGCUCAAGUUAUCUUUGCUGGUCUUCCUCAGUUUGACAAGCUGUCUUUGAUAAGGAACCACCAAAAUUUGUUGUUAACAAGCAUGAUCUCUUCUGCAGAGUUGAUGGAUUGCAUACUUGCUUAGAAGUGUUUCUUCCAAGUAGAACUGCUCAGGUUUGUGUUUCUACAGUGUUUUUUUCCCUUUUUAUUUUUCUGUUAACAGAAUGACAAUAAGGGGGGGAAUAAAGGAUCAUAAUUUGUGUUGUCGCAUGUGUUUCAAGCCUUUUUAUAAAAUGGGCACUUCUGCAAAUGCACCAUCUCUGGCCUAGGGGUGUAUGGACUUGUCCAACUGUUUCUAGCAAGAGCUAGGGACAAAAUCAUUGGAAUCUGAAUCUAAGUAGUUUGAUCUAUCAAGUUCUCUUGAGUAUUUUAAUUCAAGGUCAUCGAAGCAUGUAGAAAAUCAUAAUAGGUACUCUUUUGGCAAAUUGCUUCAGGAGUAGUUAUACUGUUACACUUUUGGAACACAGAAAACAGAAAUUGCUUUCCUGUUCAAUUGUAUUAUUUCUUCAUUAUCAUCGGAGAAUUGUUAUGGUAUGGUGCUAGAUUAAUAAUUUUGAGAGAGAGCUGCAACAAAAUUAUUUUACUUUCAUGACCAUUCUUGGUUUUCUGGUGGCUAACUUGGGUAGAUUUUUUGAAAAUUUGGAUUCUCCAAAUCAUAUGCAUUCUCUAUAUGUGACUAUGUGAGCAUCAGUUUGACUCUAGGAUGCCUAUGUGAUCUGCUUUCACUUUGGAUCCUAGAUUUGCCUUCCAGAUAGCACAACUUAAGCACUUGUUUGGUGUCACUGUUUCAAUCUCUGCUCUGUGCGAAGUUCAGUGUCCCCAUGAUUGAGGAUCAGUUGCAUCUGUCAUUGCAGGUCUACAAGUUAACGAGGAUACUAAGAGUAUGAACUCUUUGCUGUAAGAACCCCAAAUAUCUUCAUAUAUUUAGAGCGGAUCAGGAAGCGUAAAUUCAGGAUUCAAGCUUGAUGAUUUCAUUGGCCCAGUCCUAGAACCUUCAAUAAUGUGUCCAUGACCAUGUCAUCCAUUUGUGGUUCGUUGGUUGUUGGUCAUUGUCCAUGGUUCUUGAUCCUAAGGUUCUCCAACUACUCGCCCGCCCUGAAUCAGGACUCCCAUCUGGAAAUUGUUCAUCUUGUCGGGCAGGUUUUGGAUAUAGAACCACUGGCUUUGCCUUUUCGAUUCAAAGAAAUGGGAGAGAGUUUUGGACUCUCGAUGUUCUUGGAUUCAUGGUACUUUGCUUCCCCGUAAUUAUCAUUCAAUAUACAGAUGUAGCUCAAUCUUUUUUUGGAGCCAUCUCUGUAUACGUACUCCAGUGUAGUACAGAUAUACAACGAAAUGAUGGCAUAGAAACGCGUUGAAAGCUCUCUAAUUGGAAGCAACAGCCUUCGACAUCGUAGCAGCAGAUUCUCAAUGUAGUAGACUUGUAAAGUUCAUUUUUGGAUUUUUUAUGACUUGUUCAAUUGAAGCUUGACAGUUUAUCUGCAAAAGUGAACACGAUAAUAUUUUAAAGGGUAAAAAACAAAAAAGUCCCCGUGGUAAGCUUAAUACACAGAAAAGCCCUCUAUGAUUUCAAAAUAUACAAUACGAUACCUCAUGUUUUGAACUAAAUUGUAAAGGUGACGGAAUUCGUUAAACUUAACGGAAAUGACUUAUUGGAACCUACAAAAAAAUUUUUUAUACCUAAUUUUUAUUAAAUAUACCUAUUCUACCCCUUAACUCUCAAUUCUCUUUAUUUAGAGAAUAAAAUAAAUGAUUUUUUUGAGUUGUCUUUUGUUUAAUUAUAUCAGGACAUUUUGGUCAUUUCGUCCAUUUCCGUUAAGUUUAACGGAUUUUGUCACCUUUACAAUUUAGUUCAAAGUACGAGAGGUCGUGUUGUAUAUUUUGAAACUAUGGGAGAUUUUUCUAUAUAUUAGAUUUACCACAGGAGAUUUUUUUUUUAUUUUUUACCCUAUUUUAAACUGCAUUUACUCAGUGAGCCUUGUAGAAUGUGGAUCAUUUUCAACAAUGGAAUAAAAUUUACAGCACCCAGUUCGACUGGUGCAAGACGCGGUUGAAUGAAUCACUUAUAAGAGGAUAGAUAUUUCCUGAUUCAAGUUCGUUCACAUCAGAGUACGUGAAAGUUGAUUAUUUACUUAUUUAUACACACAAAAAAAAAAAAAAAAAAUUUGCACAAUUGUAGCUUAAGUGGAUUACAUAUUUAUUGGACAAGUUAGGAUUAAACCCGGUGUCUAAACACCAGAAGCAAUGGCAAGCUGGCAUCAUGAAUAGGCUAACGUAAAGGAUAUAUGGCUUUCGAAUUUUAUGCUUUUAAUAAUUCAAACUAAGCUCCGCGAUGCAUAUCACUUAAUAAUUAGCUCAAACACUUUGAUUCAUUUAUUUCCGUGAACUUCUAAUAACCAUGAUUGUUCUUCUUUUCAAUAAAAAAAAAAAUUUUUAGAAGUCGAAAGGAGGGAAUUGAGUCCUAAAAGUUGAAUAAGGGAUCUCAUGAUCAUCUAGUAACCUGGUGGUUCAGUGCUAAGAAAGAAGCAAAUUCUUUGUCACAAAAAUGACUAAUACACCCCUAAAUACGCUUCUCAAAUAAGUUGGAGUAACUAUUAUACUAUUUAACAUAUCAGUCCACCUAGUUACCUAAUCAGUGUAUACGCUAAUAUAUAUUAGUUUACACCGAGAAAAAGAUAUACAAAAUCUUAUUAAAUUUAGAGUAUAAUAAAAGUGUAACACACAAAUGUACAUUUUUUGAAAAAAAAAAAAAAAAAAACCCGCAUGAACGAUACAUUUGUAACAAAAGACCCGGAGCAAUGGCUGUAUCGGGUGAGCUGGUCUUGAGACCAACAACUCGGUUUUUGUCUGUGUCAUGCUCGCUACUCUAUUAUUGGGCCCUUUUGCUAGCAAUUGGGCAAGUCCAUUUCACCAAAGAGCACAUACUUACAUUGCAAUCCAGCAGUCCAGGCAACAACAUUAAAACCCAACAUAAGACAACCUUCUCCGACAUCCAGAGUCCAAAAACAACGUUGUUUUGGCAUGGGCUGCACGUGUAAGCUAACUUAAAAGGCUUCAAUGGAAAACCACCAAAACGGAUGACGAAAUCCAACCAAGCGCUACUCCCUCAGCCUCGGUUCCUCUUCCAAUUUAUGGAAAUACAGUACCACUUUCUUCUUCAGCUGUCUUUUCUUUACUGCUUACCUUAAUUUCUUCAUCGAAGAUUUCUCCAAUUUCCACCUAUAAUUAUCCCUCACUUAUAGAUAGAAAAUAGGUUUCCCCAAGACGAGAGAGAGGGGGGAAAAAAGGGAAGAAUAAAAAAAAAAAAAAAAAGCUUUUUGAUUGAGCGGACGACUGGUAAUGGCGAACUUACCUCAGUCCUUGUCGAUGAACGCCGCCGCCGCUUUUGGUGGUCCAGGCUCGUCGUCGGCUAGCCCUUCCGCCGCUGGAACUCAAGGCAAUAAGGAUCGAAAAAUGAUGUCUGCCGAGCAGCUUGUACUUGAACUUAGCAACCCUGAUCUCCGAGAAAAUGCCCUUCUCGAACUCUCCAAGGUUUAUAUAUCAAUUUAUGACAAUUUUACAAUUACAUUAAUGAUUAGGAGAAUUGCCAUGUAUUUUUACAUUCUUUUUGGAGCAUUUACUGGAGAACCUUUUUUCUUUUUUUUCUUUUUUUUGGGCUUCGCUGAUUUAGUGGAUUAGUCUUUUGCACUUUCUGAUUUGUAGGGAAUUGUCUGUUCUUUUCUUGAAAUUGGAAUUUUGGGUAGUUUGGUAGUUAAAAUUUCAGUAUGAUUUGUUAAAACUGGCGAUAAAUGAGAAGGUGCGAUCCUUCAUUGUUUUUCCAUUUUUCAUUUUCGCACCCUCAGUUCGAUAUGGUUAUCAUUUGGUAAAAUAAUUUUUUUUUGAGUCUGUUGGAAUAAGACAAUAUUGACAAAUUGCUAUCGGCAGUGAAUCAACUGAUCAUUUGCUUAAAAUAUGUGAUUUUUUCCUAUAAUUGUUAAUUUGGUGCAAAGUUGACUUAAUUCUCGAUAUUUUUUUGGGAUAAGAGGCUGAAAAAAUUUGGGAUUUUUUUAUAGCUUAGUAGUUGGAUUUUCCACGUUCAAACUGCCACAGGAUGUUGAAGUAUGGGCAAUCUCAUGAUAUCCAACUACAAUUGGUGCAAGGAAGCACUGAAUGGCCAGAGGAGAUUUGUUUAACAUGCCGCUUUGUGUUCGAUGAUACUGCAAUAAUGUGAUCGUUAAUGGAUUGGAAUCAGAAACAAUUAGUCAGUAUACAAAAAAGUUCUUAGACACUACUUUAAAUGUUUAAAGCUCACUUUAAGAGACUCAGAAAUGAUGAGGGGAUACAUUAUUGCAGGACUUUGAAUUACAUAUCAAAAGGAUCUGUUUUGUUCUCUGCCAAUGGUUGCUGCCAGAAUAACUUUGUGGUGUAUAAAAAGUUUCAUUGCCAUAUAAAUCAGUUAUUUAAGGGUGCAUUAUUGCUUAAAUGAUUCUUAUGAAUUAAUGCUCUAACUCUUUGGUGUAUUUUACAGGCAUGGAAAGCACUAUGCCUUUCUUCCUUGAGAAAAUUACUUCUUGUUCUGCAUAUUUUAGCUCAUAGAUAUUAUGCAUAAUCGUGGCUUUCAAAUUUAUUGAGUAACUGAUUGCAUCUUCUUCCUUUUUUGUUCAUAAUUGUAGAAGAGGGAAAUCUUUCAAGAUUUGGCUCCAUUACUUUGGAAUUCUUUUGGGACUAUUGCUGCACUCCUGCAGGUAUUUAGUAUGAAAGUAUUCUGUUUUUGUUUUUUUCUCAGUAUUUAUAUUGUCAUAAGAUGCCAAUUAAAGUGUUAGUUGAUUCAUGAAUAUUGUACUGAUUAACUGUUUUUUUUUUUUGAAAAGAACAACUUCGCCAAUUCGUAUAUUGGUUAUACUCUUUGACUGUUGUACUUUUUGUGGAUAUAUGUUUUACGAUGUAAUUUGACAAUAUGAACUCAAUAAAUUGUCUUUGUGUAUGUGCAUGAGACAUUGAUGGUGAGGAAAUGGAAACUACAUUGAUAAUGGAAAAACAAUGUGUAGUGUAUUUGAUGCAUCUCUUGUUAUAAAGACAGUUUGCUGACUGGAUUGGUGUUCUUUUUUGGGAGCAUGCAGGAAAUAGUUUCUAUCUACCCUGUUUUAUCUCCACCAAACCUGACUCCUGCACAGUCAAAUAGGGUUUGCAAUGCACUUGCUCUUCUGCAGGUACUACUUAUUCUUUUCUUUGACUUUUUCAUGAAAAGAUGAUGGAAGAAUUUCGUAUCACAUUUUUGUGAGUCAGGUCAUGCAUGUACAUCCUAAAGAAACUCAACAUAUUUGUGAUUUUGUAACAGUGGAUUCAUUAACCAUCUUACAACUUUGUUCCUCAUGUUUUUGACUCUUGCCUUUUUUGGCACUGACAAAAAAAUGACUUUAGAGCUGCUUAUUCAUGAUAACUUUAUCAAAAUAAAGUAUUUGGAAUCUUUCCCUUCCUUUUUUAUUUUUUGUUGGUGAUGCUGCCAUAAAUGGCCCAAAUCUAAUUCGUCUGCUCUGAAGUGAUCUUGCUCCACCGCAAAGAUUAUCUGUUUUGUGAAAAUCAUUUGCUUUUGAUGAAUUUGUUGGUUUGCCUUUUGCAGUGCGUGGCUUCUCAUCCUGACACUAGAAUGUUGUUCCUUAAUGGUAAUUUACUCUUUCUUCAUGAUUAGGAUUUUUACAUGGAUCUGCCUGAAGUUUCAAAUAUCUAACGGACAAAAUCUGUAGACAAAGAAGAACCCUUAGUUUAGGGAGCCUCAAUAGCUGUGUAUUAUAAUGCAGCAUCUACCUUCAACCUCCCAGUGUGCCUGUGGAAAAAAUAUGAUAAUUACAUGAAAAUUUGUAGAGUUUUUUUUUAACACUAGCCAGUUAUUUGAAUUGAUACUGUUCCUCUCUGCUUUAAAUAAUAUCUUAGGUUUGAAACUGAAUGGACAUGUUCCUGUUUGAGUUUCUUGGAGACUAAAUAAGUCAGUAAUCAUGCCUGCUUUCUGAACUAAAAUAUCUGGUUCCUUUUGUUGCACAUAAACUAUUGUAGCAGUAGUGCAACCUCUAUUCAGCUGUGGAUCUUUUCCUUGUGCUUUUCAUCUCAAGAGCAAGACAAGUUGCAAAACCAUUGGGUUAUUCUUCAUUUAGCUGAAUAUUGUUUUGCUGUCAUGGCAGUUGAUUCUUAGUGUUGCUUUUCUUCUUUGCAGCCCAUAUACCACUGUAUUUGUAUCCAUUUCUCAAUACAACAAGCAAAUCAAGGCCUUUUGAAUACCUGAGGCUUACCAGUCUGGGUGUCAUUGGUGCACUGGUGAAGGUAUUAAAUCAUCCUAAGUUCAUAUUUUCUAUUGUCCCUCUACCUCUCCUCCCCAUAUAUCAUGAACCAUGUCCUUGCCAGUUUUGGCGUUCCUAGGUUAAACAAUCUUCAAUAGCAGCCAUGGUGUUUUCAGCAAAACACAUAUCUUCUGGUUGGGAAAAAAAAAAGAAGAAGAAAAGGAAUACAUAGAACAAUGAUUAAUGGACUUUGAGUGCUUGUAUCCGAAUAGAGCAAUACAUAUUGUAAAGUUGCACAUCUGGAGAGAAAUAUCUAGUUUCUGCAACCUUAUGAGAUAUUAUCUUGUUUCACCCUACUCUGAGUGAAGCUCCAGUUGAGGCCGUAUCUAUGGUUCUGCUUAUCUUAAUUGCUGCUUUUGUUAUGUGUUUUUAAAUUGCUAUCUCCCAUAAGAUAUAACUGACCAACUUCAAGGGUUGAUUUCUAUCUGAUUCCUUCAACUUUUCUUCUUUUUCUUGAAGUGUUAUAUAUGUUCACCCAGGGUGAAGCAUAUGAAACUUACUAAUUAUAGUCGCAACUUUAAUGUAACUAUCCUCAUUUCUUCGAUUUGUUAUUGUGUUGAAUGAAAUAUGGCAUCCUUGAAAUGCAUUAUUUGAGCUACUUUUGGAAGUUCACUUGUAUCAUGUUUAUAUUACUUGGAUUGUGCUAGCUUUAAUUUUCUGGUUGCCUUUGCUCCUUUUCAGGUUGAUGACACUGAGGUUAUUAGUUUCCUCCUCUCAACAGAGAUAAUUCCCCUGUGCCUUCGCACAAUGGAGAUGGGUAGUGAAUUAUCAAAAACAGUUGAGUGGCUCCUUAUGUUAUGUUUUACAGUGUUCUCUGAUGUUUUAGUACAAACGUCUCCUCAGUUCUGCAUUCCAAGUAUAGUUUGCCCUACAACAACUGUUACUAGAUGAUGUAUCAGACUCUGUGUGAUUGAUUCGCUUGAAUCUUUGAGAAUGGGAAUUGGAAUUUCUUUCUUGAAGUAAAUGCUUUUCCGGCAGUUAGUGUAGCAACAUUUGAUGAACGUCAACAGUCCAAGGUGCAGUAUGUAGAUACGAAAAUGAUUCUUAUCUGCUCUAACGAUUGUUGUCAUUUAGUGGCUGCUAGGGCUGUGGGUUUGUCAGUUACUGCCACCCUUUUGAUUAAACUGGAGACUUCCACAUUGUAAUACUAACUAGCCAUUAAGAGACCAAUUUUGGAAUGUCACAUUUGCUCAUUUGAAGGUUGUUCUUGCACAAUUUAGACAUUUUUUUUGUGCAGUCACAAUUUCACCAUCUUUCUUUAUGGAACUCUAUUUUUAUUGUGUCUGCUGGCAGGUUGCCACAUUUAUUGUACAAAAGAUUCUGCUGGACGAUGUGGGCCUGGAUUACAUAUGCACCACAGCAGAGCGGUUUUUCGCUGUAGGUCGAGUCCUGGGAAAUAUGGUGGCUGCACUUGCUGAGCAGCCAUCAUCGCGACUGCUAAAGCACAUUAUUAGGUGCUACCUUAGGUUGUCAGAUAACCCAAGGUGAUGCUUCAAGAACAAUAUGCUACCUCAUUGCAUAUUGUUUCUUUUCUCUUCCUCUCUCUUUCUGUGCAUACUGACGAGGUCCCUGCAUUUACAUGUUCAAUUUGUGUACGUGCGGGUGUCUGUGUUCAUAUGCAUCCCAUGUUUCAGUAUGAAAAACAUUAAGGUUUUACAACUUGUCUUGUGUAGGGCUUGUGAUGCACUUCGGAGCUGCCUUCCUGACAUGCUUAGAGACGCCACCUUCAGCAGUUGCCUUCGUGUAUGUAUACACUAAUAUGUAACUUGAGCAGAUUUUAGCUUAUAAUCUUGUAUUCUGAUUGUGGAUAUGCUGGAAAUAUAAAUGUUUCAACACCUAUUAAGCAACUUCAGCUUUCUGAUUUGAGGGGACCUUCAUCUUUCAUGUUUUUCAUGUUGCCAGGAAGAUCCAACAACGAGACGAUGGCUCCAACAGUUGCUUCACAAUGUCCAAGGGCCUCGGGUUGCACUGCAAGCUGGGACAGGGUUCGACCAUAUGCUAGUGAACUGACUGGAGGCCAGCCCGUUUUUGUUUGCCGUUACUGCUGAUGAUUAAAGCUUGCAUUUUCAAGUGCAUGCUGCUUUAGUUGCUUGGUUAAAAGGUCAUUUGUAGAUUAGGUAUUUAUACAACUCUAGUAACUUUUCGUAGGGGGCUUAAAAGGCCUCGACUUGAAUACGAGGUCAUUUUGUAAAUGAAUUUGAUGUUAUUAUAGAGGUUUUUUUUCAGUAGCCGGACACUUGAUAGUGUUCUUAAUUGGUCCACCCCGACCUGACCUCUUUAGCUGGUGCAGGUUAAAUGACACCGUAGGCCUCAACAAUUGUUUCUCAUAAUUUUAGUCUACAGUUUAUGGAUUAAGUGUAUAACAAUCACAAUUGACUUUUGGAUUAAAGGUUUAGGUGUAAAACAAUAACUUUUGGCACACAACUCCUAAAGAGUAUGUAAGAAAUUAUUGUUGUUUUGUAUUUAUUUAUUUAUUGGUUCAACUUCAUAGAUUUGAUAUCUUAGAACUGAACUUGUACAUGGUUGACAAGGUGAACUUGCACAUUGUGAGUAUACACUUGUCUGUUUGGACAUAUAAUGUAUAUAAGACCAUAAAAAGUUGUUAGAAAAAUAAAAAAGUUGAUUUGAAAAACAUAUUUAUAAUGCAAGCGAAUAAUAUUUUAAAAGAAUAGAUAUCAAGAUACAUUCGUUAAUCAAUUACAUCACUUGUAGGCGUGGAUUAUGUAAUUUUACAUGGAGUUGUUUUCUUCACUUUUUGACCUGGAUUGACAUGCAUUACGUUAGAUAAUACAUACAAAUUAUUUGAAUACUGGUUAAUGUCCAAUAUGUUUUCCUAUAUUUCUUUAUCAACACCUAAGUUGGUUUACCUCUAAAAUUUAUAAAACCUUUUUAAAAAUUAAAAUUUUCUACCAGAUGCAUAAUGGACAUUCAUUAAGAUACCUAAAAUGCGCGCAAGUUAGUUUUUCUUUUUUUUUUUUGUUAUUACCUCGAAGGUAAUAUGUACAUAGACACAUUUACAUUUUAUUGUACCUCCUGAAUUAAUUACAAUUUGCUUAAAAAACUAAUACCCAAAUCCUACUCUUAUCCGGUGCCUAAUAGGCACCUGUUAGCCAAACUAUGAAAAGUAAGUUGCACUCCUGAAGUUCCAUCUAAUCUAGUCGCGACUCUGAUGUGGCACAGGAUAUGACAUAAACGUAACUGGAUUAAAGGUACAAAGUAUCCCGGAAUCAGCAGAGCAUGGAUUCAGAUAGAUCUUUAAGUAUAAACAGUAUCCAGCAAUUUAACUUGCGUUAAAUGCGAAAAGAAGCUUGGACAGAGUGGGGUUAAUUUUAGAAACCUUCCCAAUUUCUGACAAUUUUACCUGACACCUUUCAGAUUUACAAUACUAAAAUUACCUCCCCUAUCAUACUAAAAUUACCUCCCCUGUCAUACUAAAAGACAAAGACGUAAGUCGGGGGGGAAUUCUGGGGUAAGUGGGUCUUAGUUAAGGUCUAGUAGAAGCUUCCCUUCCAACCUUCCCGUUGUCCCACAUCGAUUCUAAGGGGUUUGAGGGUCGGGUAGUUAAGUCCCCAAGGUUGCCUCAAGAGUUGCCGGCUUUUGAGGUGGACUUUGGGAUUAGGUUUAAUUGCUUUACUUGAAAAAGUCUGACAAAAAAAGACAAAGACGUAAGUCGGGGGGAAUUCUGGGGUAAGUGGGUCUUAGUUAAGGUCUAGUAGAAGCUUCCCUUCCAACCUUCCCGUUGUCCCACAUCGAUUCUAAGGGGUUUGAGGGUCGGGUAGUUAAGUCCCCAAGGUUGCCUCAAGAGUUGCCGGCUUUUGAGGUGGACUUUGGGAUUAGGUUUAAUUGCUUUACUUGAAAAAGUCUGACAAAAAAAAUCAUACUACAUUUACUUUCCACUACUAUAACCACUGUUUCUACCCCUCAACAGAUUUGCACUACAAGUUCAUACAUACUGAUGUAUUGCUCUUCAAAAUUACAUCCUAGAUAUCCAAAAAAAAAACCUACAAGAUUACAAAAUCUUUAUCUUUUGGGUAAAAUACACGGAACCCCCCUAUGGUUUCGCGAAAAGACACGGAACCCCCUAUCGUUUAAAAACAUACACAUAAACGCCCUAAACUUCAUAACUAAAGUGGAAAUAGACUUCUUAACCGGCUGAGUUACCGGCUGCAGGUCAAUACCCAAAAUACCCUCAUUUAUAAUAGAGAGGGAGAGAGAAUGAAAAACUGACUCUUUUCUCGUUCAUCCUGUGUAAGAAAAAAAACCCUAAGACAAGGGAUUUGUAUACUAAAUUGUUGCUGAAAUAUAGUGAAUCUGAGUUGAAAAAGUCGUGGCUGAAUUCGAUCGCGAAGAAGGGAGUGACAGAUUGGUGGUUGUAUCUGAUCGUGAAGCUGCAUUCGGUCGCGAAGAAGGGAAAGACAGAUUGGUGAGGAAAUUGAUCGUGAAGCUUGUUCGACAUUUCUAGGUAAGAAUCAGAACUUAUUGUUCAAUAUUCAGUCCAUUUAAUGUUUAGGAUUUGUAAUCCUUUUCCAAUUUGUUUAUUCCUUUUCCACAUUACCCCACAUUACCUCAUAUCUGUCAUUUUUAUAGUUGGUGGUCCAUAUUUAGGUGAUUUAUCAGAGAAAAUGGGGUUUAAAAAUGUAAAGAUCUUAACUUUUUUAGCUUUUUUUUGGAGAAUGUGGGUCUUUUUUGGAGUAUGUGGUUGAUGUCAGGAGGAAAUAAUAUGUGUCGGGUUUGGAUUUGACUACAAAUCAGAUUUCACUUAAUAAUCUGAUUGUUGUUAUAACUAAUUGUUGUUAUAAUCUGAAAGUGUGAUGUAGCUUAAUAUAGUUUAUUAAUCUAUAUUUGAAUUCUAAAAGUGUUGAUUAAAUAAUUUAGGUUGGGGACCAUGUCAGAUCCUUUUAGGACAGUGGAUAUCCACAUGCACUAUGGUGGGCGGUUUAUACAUCAUCCCAAUAUUAGGUAUACAAGUGAUUUAGUGAGAGUGUUUCACAAUUGCGACCCUGAUGAGUUAUCAACAUUUUCAUUAUUCAACCUGUACUCCAAAUUGAAAAAGAAGCGGCAUGUGCAAAAUUUUGGUAUUCCAUUCCAGACCAUGAUGUGGAUGUAGGUGUUAUCCCAAUAAAUGAUGACGUGGACAUAGAAUUGUUGACUACCUGUUAUGAAGGGCUUCCUUAUAUGCAUAUAUAUGUAGAGUCAGGUCAGAGGCCUCUCAAAAUUAUCUCACCAGAUGGUAAGCUCUUAUUCGAAAGAGUGACGAAUGAUGGUCCACUUGCUUUACCGUACAAUGAAGGUUCUUCAGAGAUAAAUUCAGAUCUGACUAGAAAAGGUGCUGGAGCUUCACAAAAUCCUGUUGAUCUGACUGGUUUUGAACCAUAUAUUGGUGAUACAAGAGGGCAAGAAAAUAAUUUAGAUGGCCCAACUGCUGUAGAAACUAAUGAUGGCACACAAAAUCCCUUCGAACCAACUAAGAAAAACAGAAGAAAGGGUGGUAAAACUCCAUCGAGGAAGAGACAAACUGUGGUGCAACCUGUGAAGAGAGCAGCUAGAAAAACUGUCAGAAAAUUAUUUCAGCAAACAACCAGAAUAGAUGCUGUCGACAGCCAGCAAGAGGUUUCUUCAGUGAACCAAAGUAAAGAAGAAUGUGAAAAUCAAUGUAACUUUGACAGAACCUCUGUUCAGACAAAUCAAGUCAACAAUGAACAAUAUUGUGACUUUGACAGAACCUCUGUUGAGAAGAAUCAAGUCAACAAUGAACAGCAGCACCACAGUGAUGGAAAUGAAGAACCUGAUCCGUCUUGGUUGAGAGAGGGCCUAGAAUUUGCAGAAGAUGAGGACAUCUUUGCAACUGCUGGUUCAACUGUACCUCAAACAAAUCAGCAAAUUGGUGACUUGAAUGAGCAGCAGCAACAACAUCAGCAACCACAAGGUGAGGAGUCCACAGCACAGCAUCAACAAACUGAAGACUUGAAUAAGCAGCAGCAACAACAUGAGGAAGCACAAGGUGAGGAGUCCACAGCACAGCAUCAGCAUGGAGGAGACCAACCUAUUGGCCCUGACAGUGAGGAAUGGAAUGAGCCUGUGACUGCAGAUGAAGACUUCCUAUAUUCUGGUGAUGAAAAUGGGCCUGACUACUCAUAUUUCAAUGCUUCAGUGGAGUUUAACAAGCCAAAUUUUGAAUUAAAGGUUGGGAAGAAAUUCACUCAUUUUACAAAAUUUAGAGAAGCACUUGUGGAAUGGAACAUUAGAGAGGGAUACGAAGUUUUAUAUAUCAACAAUGACAGUUGGAGGAUAACUGCCAAAUGUGCAAAAGGAUGUUCUUGGAGGAUUCAUGCAAGCAGAGUUAAUAGGACUGACACUUUUCAGAUCAAAACACUAAAGGGAGAGCACCAUUGCGGCAGAGAGUACACUAACAAGCAUGCAACCUCAACUUAUCUGAGCAGAAAGUUUCAAGAGAAGGUUCGAGAUGACCCUAAUUGCAGCUUGGAUGGCAUUAUUAAUGAUGCCAGAAGAAGAUUCAUGGUUAAUAUAAGUAGCAAAAAAGCAUACAGGACUAAGAGGAAGGCCAGGAGACAAUCAAAGGUUGUGAUAUGGAGCAAUAUGAACGGCUGUGGGAUUAUGCUGCCACGGUUAGACAGUCAAAUCCAGACAGUCAUAUCGCUAUACAAAUAGACAGGAGGUCUAUUGAGGAAAGGGCAACAUUUCAAAGGCUUUUCUAUGGCUUGGGUGCUCUUAAAAAGGGCUUUCUUGCAGGUUGUAGACCAAUCAUUGGCCUAGAUGGUUGCUUUUUGAAGGGGCCCUUUGGAGGUCAACUGUUAGCAGCACUUGGAAGGGAUGGAAUGACAAUAUGUUUCCCAUAGCCAUUGCCAUUGUUGAAGCAGAAAACUAUAAUAGUUGGACUUGGUUUUUGAAGGAACUGAUUACUCAUAUUGGAGAGGGGCAAUGUAGUGCCUUAUACCUUCAUUUCUGACAGGCAAAAAGGACUAGUACAUGCUAUAGAGGAGCUAUUUCCUGCGUGCAGAACACAGAUUUUGCCUUAAGCAUCUGUUUGAGAAUUUUAAGGCAAAGUUCAAAGACAGUGAACUGAGAGAAUUGUUUUGGGCUACUGCAUCAGCAACUAAUGGUGAUGAUUUCAAGAGAGCAUUGAAUGCUUUGGAGAUAGCUCAGCCACAAAAUGGAGAGAACCUUACUGCUGCUGGUUGGUUAAAAAGGCUGCCAUAUCAUUUGUGGUCUAGAGCACAUUAUGGAAUGGCUGCUAAGACUGAUAUUUCAGUCAACAAUCUGAAUGAGAGUUUCAACAACUACAUUUUAAAAGCAAGAGACGAGCCAAUUGUGACUCUUCUUGAAUUUUUCAGAAGAAAGUUAACAACGAUUGACAUUGAAGAGGCAAGGCAUGGAGAAAUAUGGAGGCAGAUUGUGUCCAAACAUUGUUGAGAAGUUAGCUAAAAGUUGUAGAAAGAGCAGACAUUGUAUUGCUGUAUUUGAUGGUAUUGAAUCAUUUGAGGUUGAUGGUUUCAACAGAACCUCCGUUGUGAACUUGCAACGUAGAAGCUGUUCAUGUGGUGCAUUCCAGUUGACUGGAAUUCCAUGUGUGCAUGCUAUUUCUGCCAUUCAAAGCAUGCGGAUGAAGGUUUGAAAACUAUUGUCGAUGAGUGCUAUAGUAAAGAGGCAUACUUGAGGGCAUAUGCUUAUGCAUUGGAGCUGUUCCAUCCAAAGAACACUGGAUUGAUAGUGGAAUGCAGCUGUUAAAUCCACCAUUUGUGAAGAAACAACCUGGAGAGACCUAAAAAACUUAGGAGAAGAGGUCCGGAUGAACCGAGAGAUCCACAAAGAGCUUCCAAAAAGGGGGGGCAGUAUACUGUAAGAGAUGUUUAAAAGCUGGCCAUAAUAGGAGAACUUGUAAGGAACCUCCUCAUCCCAAUCCAAGUUGUACAAGGUACAUUUAAGUAUUUGAAUUUUUCUUGCACUAUGUACUCUUGAUAAUUAUUCCAGCAGUAAAUUUUUGACUCUGGUUGCAGGCUCCAAGCAAUACCCAACGAGGGGCAAGAACAGCUUCCACUUCAGCCCCAACCAGAGAAGUACCAGUGCAUCAAGCAUCUCAACAAAGCAGCACUGCUGCAGUUACUGAUAACAACCUUAGUUCUCGAUCCAAAAGAUUUAAGAAAAAUUAGAAUCAGGAAUGUUAUUUUUAGGACUUGUGUCCAUGUAAACAAGUUGUAAUGGUAUAUAUGCUAUCUUUAGAGCAGACAUUGUAUAUAAGGAUUAACAUAUUUUGUAAGUGAUGCUCUUUUUUGUAAUGACAUUAUUGGCAUUAUUGCUCUUUUUUGUAAUGCCAUAUAUUGGAUUGUGGUUAUCAUAUUAUGACUAUCCAAAUUACAGUUGGUUCAUGAGUAAACAGGUUGUAUGGUUAUUAUCUUUCUUUCAGACAAGAAUACAAAUCAUGACAAAAUUUGGAAUUUUUUCAUAAACUAAAAUUAUUACAUUAUUUGGUACAUCAUUAUACUGCCACUAACCAAAUUACUAUUUUCUAUAAGCAGCAAUAACUAGAGAUAAACAACAAAUAAUAAGAGACAAAAUCAUUAUCACUUUCAACAACCCCACAGUGCCUUCAACCGUGCUCAACUUUGCAUGUAGCCCCAACAAAAUGUCACCAUUGUUCACAGCCAGCACACCUUCAUUACUGUUCACUCUUGGAGAGAAUCCAGAACUUUCGUCUAAUCUUGUUUCUGGACUUUUACUAGUACAUUCAUUGCCCAUUCCAUCCCUUCUUAGAGGAUUGCACCAUGCCCAAAAGGAGCAGGAUUGAUCUUCACAAAUGUAAUACAACCUACCUUUUGAGGGUUUGUUGGACUCCACGAUCUUGAUUUUUGCUCUUUUCUUGCAGAAGCACCGAGACCAUUCAUACCUUAGAUCUGUCAAACCUCCUCCAAAAUUUGCUGAAGUGGACAUGACGACUUCGAUAUAUUCAGAAGUAGAUCUUCUCCCUUUUUCCUUUCACUCUUUGAUAGCUUCAAAUCUAUUCUCCCCUAAUAUGUAGUGCCUUCUAUAUAGUAAUUGAAGGGUAGUUUGAGAAUGAAACUCACGAUCUUUUCAAAAGAUCUCGCAGACCCAUCAUCAGUAGUUCGCUCAGCCGGUUAUAGGUCUAUUUCCACUUUAGUUAUGAAGUUUAGGGCGUUUAUGUGUAUGUUUUUAAACGAUAGGGGGUUCCGUGUCUUUUCGUGAAACCAUAGGGGGGUUCCGUGUAUUUUACACAAAAACAAGAUGACUGGUGGUAUAUAAUACUUUUGGUGACGUUGUUCUUUAAUGUAGGGGACAACAAUUCGAAUAUUUUGUUCUUUUAUUUCGUAUUUUAUAAUGUUGGAAAUGAGAAUGUCUUCAAUUUUAGAGAUUAUACUAGAUUUUAAACAAGAUGUCACUGGAAUACAUACAGAUGCUCCCAGCAUUCUUGGGAUUCUGAUGAGCAUUUUUUUGAUCCACCUCAACUUAUAUUCUAUAUGUCUUACCUAAUCAGUGAAAAUGAGGGCAUAAAUUGAAUACUCAAAAUUUUGGGGAGCAGAAAUCCCACUUCCAAUUCGAUUUUAGGGGGAAAAUAAAAGAAAAGAAAAAAUCCCACCUAUACCGUUCGCCCCUACCGGGGCACCCUUUGCUUUCCCUGAUGUUCCCAAAACGCCUUCCGACAAUCAAACAAAUCCAAACGGCGAAUUCCGAAGCACACCACCUUUGACCCGUAGUCCAAGUCUUCCCUCUGUGGAAUAUCCCAUAAAUUUUGUUUAAACUGCCAUGAAAUCAUCUGAAAAGUAUGCUGUGACGUAUGCUUACACCUUCCAGACGUCAUCAGACGACGACGAGGACAUGACGGAGACCGUUACAGACAUGGCAGCAUCAGUGAGGGCGGUGGAGGAACUCCUGAAUUACAAGUUUAAGAACAAGAUGCUUCUAGAAGAAGCUCUGACUCAUUCUUCUUACACUGAUUCGGCAUCUUACCAGCGGCUUGAGUUCAUCGGCGAUGCCGCUCUUGGCUUAGCCGUCUCUAACUACGUGUUCCUGGCUUACCCGGACCUUGAUCCGGGCCAGCUCUCUCUUCUUCGGGCUGCCAAUAUUAGCACCGAGAAGUUAGCUCGUGUUGCCGUCAGACAUGGCCUUCAUAAAUAUGUUCGUCACAAUGCCGCUGCUCUUCACGAUAAAGUAAAAAGUUUUUCUUUGCCUUUUAUUUUCUCUCUCUCUUUUUUUUUUAAGUAUGGAAUUAAGGUACCAUGGUUAAUGCAUGAAGUAUAGCUAUUGAUGCACACUUUUGCUUGCUUUUAAGUUGUUCAGUAUGUGUAUGGAUUCUCGCAGAUAGUUUGAUUAAUUGAAAAAUACUAGCAGUACUACUUUAUUUGAUCGUUGCGGCUAUAUGAUUGUACCUUCUUAGAAUUGAUGGAAAUCAUACCACCAUGAAUGCAUGGCGUGUAUGCAUGUUUUUUUGUUUUUUUGCUAUAAUAGGUUACAUAUGGAUGAACCUAUCAGUUUGUGUGAUUAAUUGGAAAAGAUAAAAGGUAGCAGCCUUUCUCUAGCAAUUUUUUUCUUGAAUGCUGGUACCUUCGAUAGCUACAAGUGUUUGUGCAAGUCCAAUAAACAUUUAGAAUUAUAGUUUGGUCGGCUUGCGAUUUUUGCAUGAUUAUUGCUGUUAAUAUGGAUUCAGUUAUGGUUGUGAUUGUUUAGGUGAGAGAUUUUGCAACAGCGGUAGGGCAGGAGGAUGAAACAGAGGUACAUGGAGGGGCAAUUAAGGCUCCAAAGGUUCUUGCUGACAUAGUGGAGUCAGUGGCUGCAGCUGUAUAUGUAGAUUGCGGGUUUGAUCUGCAAGCGUGGGUGGUAAGCACUUUUUCUAUUUUCUUUUUCCCUCUAUUAUUUGUGCCUUCCACCCCUUUGAUUAAACAUGAUAAUGUUAGACCAUUCUUAUGAGUUGAAGUAUGAGAUGUGUUAAAAGAUAUUUUCCUGCCCUGCUUUGUUGGAUGUCUGUUCCAAUAUUAGGACAAUUUAAUAUCAGCAAAUUACAUGAAAGAAACGGGGUUUCCAAAACUAAAGAGUUUUUAAUUCCAUAGUUUGCCAAACAAAAAGAAUCCUAGCAACACUGCUAAUCAUGAAUUGUGAAUUAUGAAUUAUUGUGUGAAUGUAUUAGGAAAACUCUUCCUCCAUGCUUCCACUAAGGUUUUGACAAUUCAAAGUAGAUGGUGUUGCAAUAGGCCUUAUUAUUGUCUUAGAUUCUUGAACAUAUGGGAAGCUAUUGUUCAUUACAAAGUGUUUUGGGUCAUCAAUGUAAAUUUCUCAAGGUUUGUACCUUUGUUGGGUUCAGAUAUUUAGGGGCUUAUUGGAGCCAAUUGUCACACUUGAUGUACUACAACAUCAGCCUCAACCAGUAACAUUGCUAUUCGAAUUGUGCCAGAAAGAUGGAAAGCAUGUCGAUAUAAGACAUUGGAGAAAAGGGGAAAAAAACAUUGCAAGUGUUUAUGUUGAUGGGCAAUUUGUUGCCUCAGCAUGUUCUGAUCAGAAAGAAAACGCAAAGCUUCAUGCAGCUAAGGCUGCUUUGCAGAAAUUAUCUUACAAAACUAGUGAAAAGAUUGGUAGAGACAUUAUAGGUGAAGUCAAUGGAUCUACCAAGAUUGAAAGUGCAAAACAAAAACUUCAUGAGCUCUGUGGAAGGAAAAGAUGGCCAAAACCAAGCUACAGGUACUCCUUAUUCAGUUUCAUGAGUUAUACUUAGGCAUUUAGCUCGAUUUUAGUUCCAUGCCAUGUACUUCAAAUUAGAAGUCAGUAUGUUUUUCCUUUCUUCUAAAUUUAGAUUCCUGAAUAUUUGGUAAUAUUUACAGAAUUGAAAAGGAGAUAGGUCCAGCUCAUGAUAGGCGAUUUAUAUGCUCUGUUCAAAUUGAGAUUGCUGAGGCUGUGCUUUUUGUGAUGGGAGAUGAAAAAUCAAGAGUGAAGAACGCAGAGAACUCUGCAGCUUCUCUGAUGCUACUAGGUCUGCAAGACUCUUGAGUACUAAUGAUGACCUAGGUGUAGAAUCAUGGAAAAUUGUAACCUGCUGUGUUGGUAGACAUUGUAGAAGCUGGAAAAGCAGAACGAUUUUCUUCAUUAGUUCUGUAUUAUUAGUUCAAUAAAUAUUGCAUUUUCUUUUACUUUUGAAUCGAUAAAUGAUCAUUGCUAUGGAUUAAGGUUCUUGUUGUACCAUGAAAACUGGCAUUUUCAACAGGGUCGAUGACUUCCUAACAGGACAAUCUUCAAAGACAUUGCAUCUUACAUGUUGGCAAAUGAAGGCUGGUAGUCCAUGGCUCACUCAGCUGCAACUAUUGCGCUUGUGGCUCUCCCAGAGGGUCGCCCCUACCUUUAAGCAGAAUCAUACAGUAGCUUAGUUUGCUUCCCUUUGUUGCAUCUUUGCUCGAUUUGGUGGGAACUUCUUCCAAUAGAGGAAACCUUCCUCCUCUUUUAGAUCCAGCACCUUAACAGCAGAAUCAAACUGGACACGAGUUUUGAAGUGGUAAGUUGUUUGUUGAUCACUCCCUUUUUUUCACGGAAGCAGUUUCCCGUGAGGCCACUAUAAGUGAAGAUGCAGCAGGUGUGUCAUGGUCGAAUAGGCAAGCUGGUGGUGUGAUGUUUUUCUGGAAAAUGUGCACUGGUCUAACAUAUUUGAGAAGAUCUCCAUCAUUUUGCUUUACAUAUGGCUGACCAACAGCACUACCAGUUUCCAGAGCUUAGCGAAACAUACCGUCAUUGUCCUCGUGUCAAUCCUGACAGGUAUGUUAGCAGUGCAGAUGUCAAAGCAAAUUGCAAUAUCACAGCAAAGCCUGUGGCUUCCAGCUUGUUGGGAUCUUGUCCUGCUCGCAUUCAGUGAUUAGAAUCAGUUAGUGAAAAUCUGGAGCUAUCUAUUGCUGAAAGAAGAUAUACUGUUCAAUUGGAAAAGAGAAAGAACUCAAUAAUCUUGCUCAGAGGGAUUCCGCCGAGUCGUUUGUUUGUACUAGCGGACGGUCCUCUCUAUUUGUAGGAUUAUGUUGCCUGGACUCGUGUCUUCAUACUCUUCCAUCAACUAGGCUGCUGCUUUGAAUAGGUUGCUGUAAUCUUUGCUGCCCUACUGUUGAAAUUAGUACGCAAAUGAACUCCUCUUUACUGGUAAUAACCUAGAGAUACGUUGAUCCGUGACAGAAAAAUGUUGGUAGGAAAUGGGGAGGGGGCAAAAAUUCUUUUCCAAGUAAACUAGCCUUCUAAGUGCAAGUUUCAGUGCUUCUUGCUGUUUAUAUUUUCAUUUGCCUUAAAUGGUGGUGCCAACAUUAUUAUCAGCCCAAUAUGUAAAGUAUGCUUUCCUUGCUUCAUAAUAUUGAGAGCUAGGACCUAAUACACGUCAGGAAUUUUAACAGUAGAUAAAAAUUGAGUUAGAAGGAAUUAGAUGCAAAAUAUCAAGCAAAGCUAAUGAAUUACGUUGAUCAAUCUGGAAAAACGCACAGUAAUCCCAAGGGAAAACGGUAAGCCUGCUGAUCGAUGGAAGUUGAGAAACUGCAAACCAGCCUGCCACUUUUACUGCAUCGUUCCUCAACUCAUAGCGUCGUGUCUUUAUUUAUUUUCAUUUUUAAAUAUUUGGCAACUCCAAAAAUCCAUUUAGAACAUGCUAUACCCGGAAUUUUUGGUCUCUCGGUUACUAAAAAAACCAUAAAUCAAACAAAUUAAAGGGAAGUCAUUAUCAUUAUCAUUUUUUUUCCUCCUUUUUUUUGGGGGGUGGGGAUGUGCAAGUUCCACCUACAUUUUGUCCAAAUUCAAUUCGUCAUAUAAGCGGUUUGACGAUGCUACUAUCUAUCAGCAAAGUCCAUCUCUGAUAUGCAAAAGUCACACAGCAAAAGAUUAUGAUUGACAAGAAGAGUCAAGUUAUGAGAUGUUUAAGUUGGAAUUUGCAGAAAUGAUUUAGAAUUUUCUUACGAAGUUAAUUAUCACGUAAGAAUCCACCAUGAUUAGGAGUCAUGAUAUCUAUGAGAGACAUAACUUGAUUCCACCAUUCAAGUGCCCCUCUUACCUCUUGUUAAUCUCCAAAACCAAUAAUAAUGUGGAGAAGAUUCUAUGUUCUUUCUCCACUUCUCUUUAUUCAUUCAGCACCCUGCUUUUUCCUUUUUUAGUUAUUGCUACUUGCUAGUAGAGCACUUCCUUUCCCUUUUUGAUGCAUUUUAUUUUCAAUUACCCUUUCCCUUUUUAUCAUGAGAUUAUUUGAAUCCCACCCAUAUGUGAUUUCUUUUUUUUCUUUUUUUUUUUUAACAGUCGACAAAAGGGUUAAAACUUGUCAAUCCCAUUAUUAUUCGGGGAGAAUAAAUUUCAUGUCAUAACAGCCAAGGUUGAAUCAAGGAUCAAUGAGAAUAUGAUGAGAUCGCUGAUCAAAAUGAAUAUUAGUCCAAUGUAAAAGACAACAACGGAAUGGUAUAGUUUUGUACUUGGGCUUCUUGUUAGAAUUUCGCAAUCAAGGGGUGGUUGAAUAAUGCCACCAUUUUACGAGUGAGAGCUGAUGCCUAAACGCAUGGCAACGCAAGCCAGUUUCUCCUACUCGUGUUACUUUACACUUCUUUGAAGAUUAGGUAGAUAGCCCCAAAAUUGAUUAAGAUCUAAUCAGGCAACUUUUGACUCAGCAGCUAGCUUGGAGUUUUUUUUUUUCUACUAGUAUAUAUAUAUAUAUAUAUAUGUGUGUGUGUGCCUUUUUUUUUCCCAUUAAUUUUUCCUUUGACAACGACCUGAACUUUAAUUUCGGGAAUUUUUUUUUUGUAUUUUAUGCAUGCGACGAUUGUUCAACUGGUCCCGCAGCCAAAGUUUACCGGUAUCGUAAUCAAACACAAAUUAAAAUUGGGAACAAAAGAUAAGUUCACCUUUAUAUUGAGAUGAUUCUUUCAACUACUCCCGGACCCAUCACUCAAGUAAGCCAAGAAAAUGCAAACGAUUAUAUACGCAUUAUCAAAUUGAUAAGGAAAAAAUAAUUUGGUCUUCCAUCAUCAAGGCAUAACUUACCAACUUAUAGAAGGCACUAAACCGGUUGGAAGGAAAGAGUGCGUUGGGGAAAAAAUGUUCGUGAAUGCCCAAUAAAAGUCUAGCCUUAUUAGUGUCGGUUUGUAUAAAAAUGAGGGAUCUUUGCUCCAAAUUAGUAUCGUUUCGACAAAAAAAAAAAAAAAAACACAUUUUUGUAUACUAUCUGAGUCUAGUUUCCAAGUACAUAGUAUUAGGUUUUGUAUACGAAGUUAAUGUGCACAAAACACUUUCGCAGAAUGUUUGUUUAGGUAAUCUCGACAGGGAUACAAGUUCUGCGUACGUUGACCAACAAACUACCAGUUAGCUCUUACUCUAUGGGGCAAAAAAGAAAAAAUCUCUUCGAAAACCACCCUAUGUUUUGUAAACCCAAUGCAAUAAGUACAAUUGUUUGUUUCAACAUUAAGAACUACUCAACAUUAUUAACACAUAAGACUUGUACAAUUAGAGGGACCAUAGUUUAUGCCAACCCUCUAUCAAAGUUUGCCUUAAUUUUGCAACCAAUGACUGAUUCCCUCCGCAGCAAGGCGGCAAAGGUUUUCUCUUUCCAGGGGGGAUGUCUAUUACGUAACGUCAUAAAACAACCAAAAAAAUACUCAGCCAAAACUAAACCAAACGAGAAAGAAACUAUUUUCUUCUUCAGUUUGGAGGGUUUGUUGUGGAGCGCCCAAUAAGCCCUCAAUAGCCUCAUUGCUUCGAAAGGUAUUCCAAUAUCUUCGCAAAUUGAUCGUCACAUUCUGCUGGUCCAAAUAAUAAACCCUCGAUUUCUGUAACCCUGUGCUUGAUAGACUCGCGGAUCUUUAAGCACGGGAUGAUCGGUCCAUACAAAUCAUAAAGUGUGCUCUCUUGAGGCUCAAUCUUGUAUUCCAAGUAAUGCAACCCCAUUCCCGUUGCCGGUCCGCCGUAGUAUGCAUUUCCAACCCAGUCGAGUUCGAGUGGAAGCACCUGAAUCAUGACUGCCCGUUAGGCAAGAAAAUUUCAUUUGUCAGCCCGGCACCAUGCACUCCAACCAUAACACUGCUGGAACCGAUGACCCGAGAAAAUUCAUCCAAAUUUGACAUCAGAUCAUUGGUAGGAAUGAACACGCGAAAGCCCAACUCCUCCAUCAUCCUCACCACGGCUUCUUGAUUCGCUAUAGUUCUUGUUCUCGUGCGAGACACUAUUAGCAAUUGUGGCUUUCUGUCCCCGGCAUCUGGGACACAUCCCUCGGCUUCAAAUUAAACGAUUUUCUAAGCAGAUCCUGAAUUCGACCAUGGAAUAAGCUCCUGGGGUGUCGCUGGUGUUGAUGGCCAAAUUGUCAUGAUACUUGAGCCCAACAAUGGCCCCUGGAAAACAAUGAAUGGUCCCCUUACUAGUUUCGGCUGCAUUAUGAACUCGAAAUGCGACAGCUUGGUUAAAACCUUCCUGAAUUUGUUGAGCACCCAAAGCUGGUAAUCCGUGAUCAUGAACUUCACCUUGGAUCUGAAAUGCCGGCUCGUGAUGAAGACGGGAAUGAUAAUGUCGUUGAAUAAUAUUCCCAGCAAAUCCGCCGAGGAGAAAACCAAGGCCGGCACCUUGUGUUGAAAUCACAAGGUGGUGGGCGGAUGUUACCGUGCUGAAUCUCGACGGGCUUGACCAUUUUCAUUGCCACUCCAUCGUUUUUAAGUGGGUACGGCUGAGCCGUGUACUUUUCCAAUUUCCUGAUCGGAGUAUAUGUAAAUCCUGGAAGCAUUCGUGUCGAACCUCACUUCUUUGCUAGAAAUAUAAAUAUCCGAGUUCAACUCGAGGUGAGCAAAUCCAGUUUCUUCGAAUCGAGUCCGUUGCUCCAAAGAAUCAAAUUCUUGACUCCAUAAUUUUGGCGAAAAUUGAUUUGAUUUCUCGAGAUGUUAAACAAAUAUAAUUGGUAUCUCUACACAUAUACAUAAUCUUGUGGAGUAAUUUUUCCGCUUUCAAGAACAACAAUUCGUAUGAUGGCACCAUACAACUCGUUAAUUCAUGAGUAGGGGGGGAGAAAAAGGAAAAAAAAAAAAAGAAAAGGGAAAGCAUCUUUCUUAUCUUACAAUCAAAGGGAGAGAGAUAUAUUAUAUUAAUGCUAAAGAUCGAAACUCAGACUGGCUAGUAGAACAUAACAAACCUGUUAAUAGCCUUCUGAGCAUAAUCUUGAGCGGGUCUUUCUUGGGUACGACAUCUUUGACGGCGACCUUUCUGAAGAUGGUUAUUCGAAUUUGUGAACUUCGCGUCGAGAUUGCUGUCUGAAUUUGAGAACUUUGCCUUCCCUACAGCGUAUUAAAGAUCAUCGAUGAACAUCCAGGAAUAUGCAUGGAAUCGCCGUCCAAAUUUUUUUCACAUAAAGGCUAAGUAAGAAAACAAAAUCUAUUAUGUUUUUCCUAGCUAGACAAAAAAGAAAAAGAACAAGAGAAAACAAUCGGAUGGUGGAUAGAAGAGCUAGAUUACAUUCAUCAAUCUGGCAAAAUAUUGCAGAGUAGGCCAAAGCGUGAAAGAUGAGCAAGGAGAUUAAGAAAGUUGGGCUGCAAACCAGUCGUUUGGAUUCCUCCACCAUCGAUCCUCUUUACUCCACCAGACUACAAUUGUUGUUGUAUUCAAGUCCCUGUCUUGACUUCAACGUAUGAGUAAGAAGCACUCAAUUCUCAUCCAGCAACCUCUUCUUCUCUUCUAAGUCUAAGACAACAUGGUUUAAACGUUCCCUCUUCUUGUUUGUUAGUAAUAUAUAUUACUUCAUGUAAUUGCUUUACCUUUCUGUCUUCUUCCUUGUCCUGCUUCUAGAAUUUGCAACUAAGGUUCAUGCAUACAAACACUGACCUAGAAAUUUUUUUGGGCAGCAGCCGCGGUUUAACCUUUGCGACCUACAAAUUUUUGCUUUUCAUUAUUUAAGAAGGUAGCUUUCAACUUUCCUAUAUAUAUAUAUACACAUACAAUUUCUUUGUCAAUUGAUCAAAAAUAUAAUAAUAUUUAGGGAAAGGCAGUAGGGCAUCUCUUACGUCAAAGAUCUGAUUUUGAGAAAUAUAAAACUCGGGCCGUUCUUUGUCAAAGACAAAGACGAUUCAAUUUUUUUUUUUUUUUCCCUUUCUUGAAGGAAGGAAAUAAAACACAAUACAAUUAAGAUCUAGACUAGGACGGCUCUAUAAAUAAUAUCCCAUAAAUGGGGAGGAGGGGAGGGAGAUUAUUACCUAAAAAUAUGAUCGCCACUCAAUACUUUAGCCGUAACACAAGGAAAUCAAUACACACAUUCUUGCGCCAGCUGUAUCUAAUCUAUAUGUUUCUGCAUCGCACAAGUAACUUUCCACAUCAUAAUCAAGCAUUUCAUACGACUUUGUCUUUUACAGAAAUCCCACUAAUUGAGUAAUUGAUUUGAAGAGUCUAAUGGUCCAGGUCCUUUUUUUCCCCUUUUCUCACUGGUCGAAUACCAGCUGCUGCUGCUGCUUAAAAACGUCCAACCCUAAAGUAUUGAUUCUUUGCUUUCCUCAGAAAAAAAAAAAAAAAAAUUUUUGUUUUUGAUUCUUUUCUUUCAAUUGAAAAACAGUAUCGAUUCUUUAAUCUCUGAUGAUAUUUGAUCAUUAGAAUCCUAGAAGAAGUUCUCAUUUUUGAUAGCCUACCAAUUCCUUCAAUAUUAAUAUGUAAGAACGAACCAUUGACUCUGUAGUCUGUACCAGUGGAAUUGGUGAUCAAAAGAUCAGGGAGGUAAUAGUUUCAGAAACACAACUCAACAAUCAGAACUUCAUAUAUACAUGAAAGUAAGUUACUGAGACUAUAAAAUUAGAUGCCUCACUGUACUUUAGUAAAACAGACGGCAUUGAAUUGAAUCUACUGAAAGCCUCUUCAUUUACAAGAUGACUAUCAAAAAGAAUCAUUAAAUAACCUACAAAAAACGAAAAAGACAGAGCACCAAAAUCUAAAGUCUUUCCAUCAAGGCAGAGGAUUUGUUGGGCGUCCAAGAAGUCUCAUUGUUUCAACAAGUGUCUUCCUGAAUCUUUCAACAUUGAUUUUGACAUCCUGCUUAUCAAUAUAUAUAGCCCCGAAAGCUUGAUAACCCUGUGCCUUCAUGGAUUCAGGGUCGGCAAUCACAGGAUGAUCCGGAGCAUACAAAUCAUAGAGCGAGCUCUCUUGAGGUUCAAUUUUGUAUUCCAGGUAUUGCAAACCCAUGUCAACCGCUGGCCCGCCAAAGCAGGCAUUUCCAGGCCAAUCAAGACCCAGAGGAACCACCUGAAUUACCACAGCUCCAUUAGGCAAGAACAGUUCAUUUGUUAGCCCGGCACCAUGAACUCCAAUAAUAACGCUGCAAUUGUUCACAAUAUGAGCAAAUUCCUCAAAAUUCAUCAUCAUAUCCAGCGUAGCAGGAACCACUCGGAAACCCAACUCCUCCAUAAGCUUUACCACCUCAACCUGAUUCAGGAUUUUUCUUGUUUUUGCACGCGACAGAAGCAGCAAUUUUGGCUUUUCCUCCUCAAUCAGCUGGGAGACUUUCUUUAUGUUGAAGUCAAAUGAUUUUACGAGGAAAUCCCUGAAUUCAAACAUGGAAUAACCCCCGGGAACGUCACUCCUGUUCAAAUACAAAUUGUCAUGAUACUUCAGCCCUAUCACUGCUCCUGGAAAGCAAUGAACGGUCCCAUUUGCAGUUUCAGCUGCAUUUAUAGCUUCAUAACGCGAUAACUGGGAGAAUAUUUUCUUGUACUUGUUGAAAAACCAAUGCUGGAAACCAGUAACCAUAAAUAUUACGUGGGAUCGAAAGUGCCUGCUCGUAAUGAACAGAGGAACAAGGACAUCGUUGAAUUCAUGGAAUAUAUUCCCGACGAAUCCACCAGAGGAGAAAACCAUGGCCGGGGCGUCAUGAUAGUGAUUGCAAGCAGGUGGAGUGGUGUUUCCAUGCUGUAUCUCAACAGGUGAAAUCAACUGGAUUGGCGCCUCAUCUCCUUUUAGUGCAUACGGCCGAACUAUGUGUAUUGCCGCUGCCUGAUUGGCAUGUAUAUAAAUUUUGGAAGAAUUGGUGUCGAACCUUACUUGUUUACUGGAAACGUAGAUAUCAGAAUGUAAUUCAGAUGGAUAAGCAAAUCCAGUGUCUUCGAAUUGGAUCCUCUGCUCUCCUGUUUGAAAUCAUCAAUUUCACUGUAUAAGAUAUCGGGCAAGAUAAUUGAAAAUGUUUGGAUUCUGUUGGGCAACGAUACAUUCUUCUUUUUGAUCUCAGAUACUAAUUGUAUCCUAAGAAAAAAGCUUUACAUUUAGGAUCUACAUAUAAGAACUAUUUUCUGUCUAUCAACUUAGAGAUGUAUUAAAAAAAACUUUAAAAGAAGAAAGGGGAGGACAAAAAAAUAUCUGUCACUCAGAAAUCACCGGAAAAGGGAGAGUUCAUGUUCAUUGAUACGAUGAAUGUGGGAAGUAGUAAAGAACCUCUUAGUAGCCUUCUGAGAAGAAAUUUCAGGGGUUCUUGCUCUGGUGCACCUUCAUCCAACUUGUUCUCAAAGCCAAGAUUACUAUUCCAAUUUGCUAAAUUUGCCUUCCCUGUAUAUCAAAAAUGCUUUUGACAGAUCAGAAUGGAUAAAUAUGAAAUGACUAGCCACAUUUUAACAUUAUGCAAAGGUAGAUUGAUAUGCCAAUCUGACGCUAUGAAGAAAAGCUAAUUAAAUUACAUUGAUCAAGCUGGAAAAAUGCACAAUAAACCAAGGGGAUAAUGAUUAGCAAGCUGAUCAGGAAACUUGAGAGGCUGCAAGCCUGCUUCUUUGACUCCUCCAUUCUUCUUCAAGUUUCAAUAGAUAUUUCUCUACGAAUUAAAAUGCACACAUUAUUGACUAGCCUGUUGUUCUCAACAUUACCAGUUGGCAUUACCUUUCUUCUUCUUCUUCUCAGUUUCCCAUCUUGCUUUGGUUCUACAAUUUUAAUUCUCAAUUAUUCUGAGGUUGGUGUAUAUAAUAUCAGGUUCCCAGCUGGACUGUAAGGGCAUGUCUGUUGAGUUGAGCAUGUUACAGGCCGGAGCUUUUGCUCUUCCAAACUUUUUACGAUUUUUAAAUUGAGCAAACUCAGAGGAAGUCAGGAGGGCAUCUUUCACCUAAGAAUUUAAAUGGUUUUUCCAUAGAGCAUCUAUCUAGACUUAGCACAGAUUACAUCGUCGAACAAGUACAUUGACACUAUUUUAUGCUCACCUCUUUCUCCCAUAUAUCUCAUUUCUGGUAUGAACAAGUCAUUGGGCUCAGGCACAGAUUGAAGGGGCAGCUAUACUCGUGGAUCAUUUGGCUUCAUCACCUACGUACUUCGACAUGACACUGCAACGACAUUAUUAGUUUAACAGAACUGCAAUAACAUGUAUUCGUUUGUUAAGUAGUAGUAAUAUUCUAUCUGGGAUUAGUUCAAUGUAGGAUUUAAAGACGCUUCGUGCAUGAACACACGGGCGUUCCUCCUCGAACGGCUUAGAGUAUGAAUUUAUUGGACAGCCUUCGUGUUUAUUCUGUAUAAUCUAUUUCUCCUUUUAAUCCAACCAUGCUGCAUGGUACAGCUGUGGGAUUCCUUGACGAGAAGCAAUUUUAUUUUUUUUUUUUCCUUAAUUGCAAAAUGUUUAGCAUUAGCGAUGAUAAUUGGGACGAGUGCUUGCAGAGUCGUGAGUGUCCACCCCAUAGGAGGAGGAAUGGGGCGGGGCGGAGUGAAUUUUUCUCACCCCUCCUCCGCCUAAAUUGUAACAUAGUAUAAUAUCUGUGUAUGUUUUUAUAUAUAAUAUAAAAUAAAUGGUAUGUUAUUGUUAUUGUAUAAAUAUAUUUAUAUGAAUUAAGUAACAUGUUUUGUUAUUAUGAUACAGUGAUAUAAUAUUUUGCUAAAACUUAAAAAAAUGAUUAAUAAAAUUAUUAUUAGAUCUAUAUAAAUAGAAAAAAUUAAUUAAAUAAUAAUAAUACUAUUGGGGUGGGCCGGAUGCACCCGUGAAGUAGUGGGCGGGGACUGGGGACUGGGGACCGUGAAACUUUUGCAGUGGGGCGGGGGGGGGGGGUGGGGAAGCUUGCUCAGUCCCAAAACCAUCCCUGCCAUCCCUGCUUAGUAUCUAUCUGUUUGGUUGGCAGAGGCCAACAAAGAAAUUGCCAGGUUGCUGAUUUUUGAUUGACAAUUAUGGAAAUAACUCUACAGCCAAAUUGGUUGUUUUGCGUCCAUUCCGCAGCCUCACCUCCAAAAGCUCUCGCUUUCCUUUCUCACACCAUACACACACACACACGCAACCCCCCUCCCCGGCACCCCCCUGCUCCUUUGGCGGGUUUGGGGAGCGGCGAGAGAGAUUGGAGAGUACGAGCCUUCGUCACGUACAAAACCUAAUAAAAGGCCAGCCCAUAUUCUCCUGGGCCACAGCCCGGAGUUUGUCCGACCCAAACUUCAAAGAAGAAUGAGUGGAUUUAUCAAAGAUUCAAGCUCUGCCACGAAAAACUUGGCCCAAAGUGUAGAGGAAAUCAUAAAAACUCUUUCAAAAACAGCCAUGUCAAACCAAGAAAUUGUAGAUAUUGGGGUGUGCUAUUUAUUUGAGGUCUUGCCAUGCCAACCCAUGAUUGGAGCUGGGUUUAGGGUACAGUGAAGUUAAAUCUCUAUAUGUGGUAGGAACAAAGGGGUAAAAAAAAAAAAAUCCGUGGAAAGCAGUAAACGUACAUUCUACAGAAAAAUCUUUAUAGGCAUGAAUUGAGAGGCAAUAUCAUGAAAAAGCGAGAUAAAGGUGUGAUGAAGCUGCUGCGUAAGCGGGCUCGUUUUCAAUCCGGAUGGACGUUUACAAGCCAGGAAGCGCAGAAUGGAAUCCGAGAUUCAAAGCAUAGAAAUGUCACUACUAUUUCCCAGGGACGACCACUUAUCCAUCAAAUAAUAAUAAAAAGUAAAGGGCUUUAUCUUUUACAAAUUCCGGAAUCUCAACUGAUACGGAUAAAUGGAGAAGAACAUUCAAAAAGAUCAAAUCUUGAAAGGGAAAUAUACAGCUCGCAGGAACAUUCUUCACAAUUUCAACAGCUCAUCGUAUUCAUGGUUUUGCCCGAGAAAGAGCCAGGAGACGUACUUCAACUUGAUGUGUCUAUUCUAAACAGUAGUAUAAUAUGUAAGCUGACCUAAGUGCCUCCAUCCUCUCGCUUCGCAGAUUCUUCUUUAGGUAAUCUUGUGAAGACAAAACCUAUAACAAAGAGAAGAAAUGUACGUGAAUAAUUCUCAAUGCAAUAUAUAUAUAUAUAUUGUGAUUUGAAGUAUAGAAAUUGGAUGAUGAUAAAAUGGAACUAAGAAAUGGUGGAUCCAAUAAAAACGACUUUUGGAUGGGAGUGUUUUUCAAAAAUUAAUUUUUUAAAUACAAUAAAAAUUUUUAAAAAGUACACUAAAAGGUAAUCUAAAAAUUAGUUAAAACUUUUUUAAAAUUUUAUAUUUCAAAAUAUAUUCUAGAAACUCUUUUACUCUUAAAUAUCCCAAAAUAUUUUCUGAAAAAUAUCUUAAAAUAUAAUCUAAAAAUUUUGCUGUAGCAAAAUUUUUUAAAAAUAUCUCAAAAACAGCUGAUCCAGACGGACCAACGCAAGUGGCAUGGCACUUUUCCCUAUGAGGAGUCGCAAUUGAAGCAUAUAGUGGCCUGCUCCGUGUCCCCGGUUCCCUUCAGAUUUGACGUCGCAAAAGGAAAAGAUAUGAUUUCACAUGGUGCAAACGGAUUUGGCUGCAUACGAAAAGGGCAAGAAACUUUUACUAAUUAAAACACAAAAAAGAAUACUCGAGUGUGAGCUAGAAAGCUUCUAACAUGAAUAAAUUUGAGAGGAAAAGCCCAACAAACAAACAAAAAAAAGAAAAAAGAUUAGUAUUGCUUUUCCAGUUGAUCCUCUCUAUAGUUGUGUUAAUACUAGAUUCUCUGCCGCAAAUUCAGAUCAUCGUUUGAUCGGAUUAAAUUACCUGUGUAAUUAAUGUCCCGUGUUUUCGCGAGUAUCCAAUGCACGACUUAUUGGUGAAGACUCGUAGUAUAAUUAUGUUCAUACCACAUACGAAGGGAUAGUUUGAUGGUUAUGCGAAAAAAAAAAGAAAGGUGAUUAAUACUGCAAAAUGUUAAUCACACUUUGCCCCCUUGGCUUUGGGGUUAGUCACACUUUACCGUCUUAAGCUUUAAAAGUAUACAUUUUGUCCCCGUAAAAACUAGUCAAAGUUAGAAAUUCUUGAUUCCAUCAAAAAGAAAAAUGUAAGUGUAAUGACAUUAUACAUUUUUUAGUUAUGAAAUUAUUAGUAUUUUACUAUUAUUGUCCCUUUAUUGCUAAAAAUAUGCAUGGUCAAUACAAUAUCCACUAUACAAAAAUAUCAAAUUGAUAAAAACAAAAUAAAUAAAUCAUUUCUUACUCAUAUUGGUCAUGUUCAUGUUUUAAAUAUUUUAUUCAGUUUAUUAUAAUUUAAAACGAAUAACAAUGGCGAUAACAAUAAAUAUUAGUUAGCAAAACUUUGGAAACAUAACGUAAUAUUUAGCUUGUUAUUUUUUAAAGAUAAACUCGGAAAAAAAGGACAAUAUUUUCAUAGAACUUACUUUUCAUUUCGUGGAAUUAAGAUUUGUAAAGUUGACUAGUCCUCUUAGGGUGUAAAGCGUACACUUUUAAGAUUUAGGGCGUUAAGCGUGAUUACUUCCAAAUCUCGGGGGAAGAGGGUAAAGUGUGAUUAACCCUAUCUCUCUGUAUCAACAAGAACAAGGUAAAAUCCCGGAAUAAGAUUUUGGACAGUUAAAACCUCGUACUGACAAGCGUAUCAAAUAUAUUAGCUUUAUCUGCCAAGUCAGCACCAUUGCAAACCGUUUUUAAGUCGUAGCCUCCAAGCAGUUGCAUCGAUACCGCAGAAUCGUAGUUGGAUUACUUGGAAAAGCGGGCAACAUCAUGAAAGUAGUCGUUCUUUACCUCCCUUGAACUUGAACAUGAUGGUUAGAAUUUCGAAUGAUAAAACCUGCACUCCAUGAAUUUAUAAGCAAAACAAGCGGAAAAGCAUGCGAUUAACAUCUAGCCUUUGCUAAUUCAAACUUUUGCCCUUGACAGCCAAAAAAGAACAAAUAAAGAGCAUGCAGCUACACAAAAGAGCUCAAGGACCUUUUCCAUUUUUUUCUGAAUUAAUGCACCUUGUAGCCUUCUUUUUAGGUAGCGGUGAUCAUGAAAAAUGAAGUACCAAUACAGCAUCAAGACGUCAUUUAUAUUAAAAUAAAAUACUUACAUUAUAUACACAUAGAUUCAACCUGUACCUGCAAACUUUAUCUAAUUCAAUAAUUUGAAAUGUACUAUUUGUUUUUUCACCAGUGUCAUGUCCAAUCUGACACAAAUUAUAUGUAGAUGAUGGAUAAGAUCCUCCAUACGUACCAGGUAAAUUAGCCACCUCUCUAAGGACGGCAAGAAUUUUGGCACUUUAAAAACUACCAACCUGGCUAGUUGGCAGAAACAAUGACAGACCUUUCCUAAGGUUUUGGAGAAACAUGAAUAGAAAAUCACAUGCACAUCCCAAAAGGCCGAGCCCAAUAAUAAAUAUCAGAGGCCACCAAACCUUACAUCAGGAACUUUGGGAGAAACAGGAGUAUGUGGGGGUGCUGCGGGUGAUCAAAAGGCUUUAUGGUAAAGCUCAUGAAUUUUCUUCCAUGAGUCUUCUCUUUGCAUCUUCAAUUGCCCAUAGAAGUUCCCAAUAAAUGUCUCAGCCUUAUGAAAUAGCUCCUGCCCACUAAGCACAUCCCCAACAGCUUCCUGUUGAUCAUCAUCAGAACUAAAAUCUUCUGCUUCAGUCUCAGCACCAGCUAUAAAAAAUAGGCUUGGUGUAGAAGGGCUUUUCUCGACAAUCUUCUGAACCUUGACACCUGCAACAAUCUUCUCAGACGACAACUUCUCGGCCACAUCAGGUUUUUUCUUGGUUGUUGUAGGCUCAGAUUCAAGAAGCAUUGCCUUGUUGGUGGUGUUGGCAGAUAUUUCUUUAUCAUUCGGAGAAUACUGAUCUGAAGGAAUUAUCAUCUUAGCUUUUUGUGUUUCAUGACUUUUAGAAGGAGGAGAUUUCUUGUCUUCUGCUGCUUUGAGAAUGAAGGAAAGAAGGCCAGCUUCAGCACCAAGCGCGACGAUGAGAAGAUUGAAAACAAAGUAGAGAUAUGGAGACCUCAAUGAUGUAGAUAAGAUAGGCGUCACGCUUAGGAGAAUAGCUAUGAAAAAAAGCUUUAGAAUUUGAGACUUCUUAAACUUGUCCAUGAUCAAUAAAAUACGUUUAGGAAUAUGGACACUAGGAUGUUGUUUGUGUUUGUGUAAUUUCUUUGAACAGGGAGUGAAUGGCAGUAGCUGCUUUAGUACGGUGGAGUGGAAAUGUGGAGGGGCCUAUUGAUUUAUAUACACAGACGCAGGGGUGAAAAUCAGAUUAAGGGGCCGGGUUGGAAGAAUGUUGGUUUGCCUUUAUCCUGAUUCCCUAUGAAAAUAAAUUAAUACUCCUUGAACAGAAUAACGUGCAAUCCAACAAAAAGAAGCAAAUAAAAUUCCAAAAAGACGAAACAAUCAGAACAUGGUGGAAAAACUUGCUUGGUUAUGGUAGGGUUACACUGGAGCCCGAAUCCUUUCUUGUCUUUUAGGGUUUAAUUAAAUCCUGGAUAUAGAGCUUUAGUGGUUGAAAUAUAAAAGAGAAUUGUUCGAACUAUAUAUAUCCUCACACAAAUCUUCCCCAAACUAAUUUAGACAAAACCGUCCACUCAUAUUUGCCUGGUGCCACCAAAAGCUGUCCUCCCCUGAAACCUGUCAAGUAAUCAUGAUGUGGUGGGAUAGAUUAAUUGAUAACCAACUAGUAUAUUCUAGAAUUUAUGUGUGUAAAUUAAUCUUUCGUACAUUACAAUGCAUAUAUAUUAUUGGGUUCAGAUGCACAUCGUACAUGAAAAAUUUGAAUUUCAAAUUUAAGCUAAAAUUAAUUAUCGGGCAUCCAAACCUAAUGGCAUCUACAUUAUUAGCAUAUGGAAAAAUUAAUCCAAAAAGUUGUUACUACUGUACAAGAAAAUCUCAGUUUAUUUGCCUGAAACUUGAAUAUAUCUUAGACUAGGCCUUGCCAACCAUACAGGGCAAGCAACUAUCCUUAGGGAUGGCAAUGAAAAUGGGCGCCUGCUCCAUAGAAGGAGGAAUGAGGUCUGAACUUUAUCAUCGUCAACUUCAAGUAAGGAGAUUUUGAUUCUGACUUACGUCAUCAAGGAGACCAAAGAACACGCGAAACAGGGAAAAGUUCAUCUGAGUCGGACUAGACAUUUUCAUACGAUAAGGUCGGUGGGAAAACGGACUGAUUAUUCUCAUUCCACACGAUCUUUCCCCUUUUUGAAUUUUUUUUUUUUCUGAUUUUAGGAGAAUACAAAGGCAAAGGCAGGCAGCUCUUCUACUCUUGUCCACUAACUUGCUUCAACCGGCCGGCGGCGUUUUUACCCAUCCAGUCGCCCUUUUUCCUGUCGUAAGAAAUCCAGAUGCGUGAUCUUUGCCCUGGUCCCAAAGUAGCUUAAGUUUUCCGAUGGAAUCUCUUAUCUCUACGACUAAAAGCCCACUCGAAGAAUUGUCAUGCUCGCAGUCGUGGUCGUGGAGUCCCCGCCACAAAAUCCGAUUAUACUUUUUCCUUUUUUUUUUUUUUUUCCAUUCUACGGCUCUGGGCCAAUUGGGCCAGCAGGCGGACAAUUUACCAAGUUGACGGUCCAGGCAUAAUCUUCACCUUUUUUACGCUUUUUUUUUUUUUUUUUCUCUUGAAUUUCAUAAUAUUAUUGUUUGGAUGAGCUUUUCAGAUUCACUUGUAGGCAUGUCCGUUCAAAUUGUUCCGGGGUUUUUGCUUGCUCCGGUUUUGUUUCUUUCCGAGGAUUUCGCUUACUCUCUAAGGCUUAGCUUAGUUGGAACUUGGAAACUGAUUUGAUAAGAUAAACGAAAGGAAAGUACAAUCUUCGAUACUCGCCUGUUCUCUUUCCCAUUAGAGAUGUAGAGAUAAAGAUGUCCGGUGAUAAACAGUAGAGACCGAAGCUUUUGGCAAGAAGACACAAUAAUGUUGUCAUCCAUUUGGAUAAACUUGUCCGAGGAUCGGCUGAGUAGCUCUAGCAAUCCCAUCUCAUCGGAUCGGACUUUUUGAAGUGAAAAAACUACCUGUCAUUUGUCUCUAUUAUGUUUUAUCUCAUCCACAUUAGUUUAUCUCUCCCUAGAGUUGCGUUAAGCAUUUUUGUUCUCUUUUUCCUUUUUUUUUUCAACUAUUUCAAAAGUCGGUUUCGAGCAUGCACCGUCCUGAGCAGUGAGUAGUACCAAGUAAAUACCCCAUGUGCCUAAGAUCCAUAAGGUUUCAAGUAGCACUAAAAAGUACAGCCCUGAUCUGCCAUGGAAAAUAAAACCAGCAUAACCUUUUUGAGGUUAUCAUCUCCGAUCCAAACUUUAGUAACAUGCAUAGCAAAAGAUACUUCACCAAAUAAGACCGUUACCUCGCUUUGUUGCAAUGUUGCACUGUCUCUGGACCAUAUCCAUCUUACUCGAACUUCUGUGGCUCAACGUUUAUUUUACGCAGCCCGCUCUUCCGCAAAUAUAUUGCAAAAUAAAAGCUUAAUACACCAAAUUGGCUUUACUUGUAAUGGUUCAAUGAACCGAAGAAUUGUGCAAUUGUAAUGACAACUAUCACCUGCGAAUCAGUUGACACCUACUUAGCUGCGAAACCAUCCCAACAAUAGAACAUAAACAGUUACAUGCAGACGAACGUUCACUUGCAGGCAUUCACUUUUGGAAGAUACAAAAAAAAAAAAAGUCACUUAAAACUGCCAGAGGACAAUAGUCACAAGAUAAAUAGAUGCUGAAAAGCUAGAUGCAAGUAUCACGGCACUUCUCUCUUUCUCCUCAAUGUCAUUACCCCAAUAUUGUUACCAGAAAUCAGAUUCAAAGGAACCUGCAAUUGGCAUAAAUUUAUAAUAUGUUUCUGCCUUGAGGAAGAAAGCAGGGUCAUCCGCUAGAGUACCAUCCUUCUCAGAAACCCAUUAAAAACAAAUUCACCAGUCAACAAAAAAUUUACAGUAACAAAGGACCUAUUUUCUUGAGCUGAAGGUUCUCCUUUUGUGUCAAAGUAAAACUGAACUAAGCUCGAUUAACAAUAAUAUAAGGACGCAAAGAAACCUUGGGAGGCCUAAAUCAAAACUCACUUUGCCAUCCAGGAACAUGCUACACGUCAAUUCUACAUCUCAUCUAAUUGAUGAGGAUGAAUUACAGGGGAUUAGCAUCGACAACAAUCUAACAACAACUAUAUAUGUCACUGAGUCAACAGUAGAACUCAUUUCUCACCAAGUUGACUAUGUGUACACAAAUACAAAUGUUGAGAAUUGCCUCCAAUUCCACUGGAUAUUCUUUAUCUAAGAUCUUAGAAAACGGAUACCAUAACACAGAAUACAAAUGACAUUAUAUAUGUUACUUGUACCGAUACACAGUUUCGAUCACCCACACCCUCUAAUGACCCCACCACGCAAAAUUUCCCAAACCGUGUCUUAAUGAGCGUAUCUUCCACCACAAAGGAUCCGAUUCCUAACUCCUAGCUCUUUCCUUUCUACUUGAGGCGACCAGUCAAGCUGCAGCCUGAACGAAUCAGAAAGUACAAAAGCCUCUUACAGCACUUGGCUCUGAAGAAUCACCAGCGCCAUUCUAAGCAGAGCUACUCAGGAGAUAGGCUACCACACAUCCAAGCAAAGCACCAGCAACAACCUGUACCACAUAAUGUCACUAUGAGAAUUUCUUUUUUUUUUUGGUUUGGGGGGGGGGGGGGGGGUGGUGUGGUGUGUGGUGGUGUGGUUUGGUGGGUCAAGCUAUCCUCAUGCUGUAGUACAUAAUAUUUUAAGAACCUAAAAAGCUGGACAGUGUGUUAAUCGCUGCAAUUAAGAAGACAGUAGUAUACCAUGGAAGUGACUCUGAAUGGUACCGCUCAUCAUGAUAUCACUGCAAGGAACAUUAGCCACAAUACCUCUAUAUGGGAAUAAUAGUGACACGCUAAAAAGAUAAAUUCAGCAGACAUCAAUGCAUGUAACCCAAAUAUAAACAUCAGGCACAAGAUGGGUAUCACAGUACUUAUUUUCUAGGUAAGUACGCUGCAACAUAAGUGGCGCAUCAUUGAGAAUUAGAUAUUAAAUAAUUAUUUAAAUUUCAUUAAGAGAAUAUUAAAACCAGCAUUAACAAGCCGAGAAGGCCUUGGUCUAAUUGCUAAGGUUGAGGCCUUAGGAAUUAGAGGUCCUAGGUUCAAAUCCCCCUGCCCCUUUCCCGCUUCUUAAAUCCCACCUCCCCUGCUGGGAACAAAUUAAAAAAGAAAAAAGAAAAGGCAGCAUUAACACCCAAAACAAACAACCGUAGUUUACAAAAAGAACCCUGAUGGAGGACAGCAUUGGGUGGAUUUAUAUGUCCAGCAACUAGUGAAAGGCACUAACUCCGUUCUCGAGCAUAUUAUUAAACAACAGUAGCAUUCCAAACACAGAGUCAAUGUUCCAGAUGAAUAAAACAGAGUUCAGAAAGUAUAUCAGUAAAGGCUGCUCACAGAUGUCCAGCCUUCAACAACCAAACCAAGACCCCAAAAGGCAAAACCCACAUUUAUUAAAAGAAAAAUAAAAUAAUUAAAAGCCAGUAACAAGCAAUCAGUCUCUGUAUAACUUAAGAAUAAGUAAAACUAGAGGAGUUUUUCUGCAGUCAAACCUGGAAAGGAGUGUGACCAAGUGAAUCUCGCAGAGGCCUAACAUUAGCGACAGGAUGUUCAGGGGGCAAUUCACAAACUAUCUGAUUCAAUAACUGCACAAACAAAGGUCAAACUAUAUAAUCAACAAAAAGCAAGAAAAACAACUUGGGUAGACUCCUGAAUACAACAUGCAUUGUAUAAGAAGCCAUAUGAAAAGUUUCUAGUAAAUAGGAUAACUCAUACACACAGUUCAAAAUGUGCAUACCCAUCCAAUGAAGAAUGUAACUAAAACACAAAAGACAGGAAAGCUCAUAAACAGUUAAUGAAGUUCAUAGGGAGAGACACUAAUAAACAGUUAGCGAAGGAUCUUUGAAUGCAAAAGGUAAAAUCUUACUUCAGCCUGCCGACCAGCAUGAAGCCUAACACCAGUAGCAUCAUACAUUACCUGAAAUAAAUGCAAAAAGAAAUAACUGAAAAUGAUUGCUCCUUGUUAAACUAUCCAAAGCUCCGAUAAAGAAAGUAGCUACUGCAGCCUCAACAAAACAAAGAACCCAACCAGAGAGCAAGAGAGAGUGAAUAUGAAAAAGGAAAAAAGGGAGCUAUUUGCCAGAGAUAUCAGGACCCUAAGUUAGUUGGUUAAAUGGAAUGGUGUAUGUUUCUAAAUAUGCUAUCAAGUAGAUUCAAUUGAUCCGCCAUCUGACAUAUAAAACCAUCUCAGUUUCCCACUACAAAACCUUAUUCCGUCUAGAAUAAACACAUUAUGGUUGAUGUUGAAGGGGUUUGGUUGCCCACUGACCUUCCUACUUUAAAUAUUACUAAAGCAUUUUUGAAGCUAUGUAAUACAAAUGUAAAAGAAUGGAGAAAACCUGGUUUAGAAAGUACAUACAACACAUGCCAAAACGACCGCAAUGGCAAAAGCAGAUGUUCCCGCUCCAUCUUGCAAACCUAUUGCUACAGCAAGAGCAGUAACAGUUGCUGAAUGUGAUGACGGCAUUCCACCAGAACUAAGCAUCCUUCUCGAAUCCCAUUUCCUCUCCUUGAACCUGGAAAUCAAAUGCUUCAAAGUUACAAGCACAAAAUGAAAGUGACAAAAAAAAAAAAGGCAAGCUCCAAAAAAGGCACUAACAUGGAAAGCAAAGAACUUUUAACUAAUUUCCGUCUUUACCACCGACAGUCUAACAUUAACACCCCAUCGUCCCAACUGAAAUCAUAGCGUCACUCAUUAGUAGUUCCAUUUAUCACCACAUCACUCCAGGGUUCAUUAAAUAAGCAGACACAUUUAAUGACAAAAUUCAUUAUGUCCUUUGUUCCUCCUGAAGGAAGUCAUCAAAGACUCUGCACAGACUUAAGCUUCUCAAAUCACUAAACAAAGGCAACUGAUCUCGGUUCAACUCAAGCUCAAUAUAAUUAGGUAUAAAAUUAACAAUUUACCCUUCAAAAAGUUUUCACAGGGAAAGUGGAAAGUACAGCACCAGCCCUUAAAUAGAAAUACUUUGGGUCAACACGCCACAUAACACCAAUAAACUUGACAAAGCUAAAGAUAUUUCCCUAUUUCAACCGAAGCAACCCUUUAGUCAUUCCAAUUUUAACAGAAAAUCAAGUACACUUCAACAACUACAGUUUCCUAAAACAGCAUGAAUUAACCAAGCUAAAAUUUCAGAGUUAAAGAUAGACAAUCAGAGUAAAGUUAAAAACCUUUUCUCUGUUAUCAUAUGAGACCAGUUAAAUCAACAGCCAAAAAGAAAAAAAAAACAAAUCAAGAAUAUCAGAAUGCAAUACCAAUGGGUAAAGAUCUUGAGAAAUUGGGCAACAAGACAAGCGAGGAAAGCGGAGACAAGGGGGAGAUUGGAGGGAUAAAUGGAGUGUGGAGAUGAGUAUGGGCGUAAGCUGGAGGAUGCAUCAGCUGCCGUCAUUACUUCGUUCAUUUCACCUUUUGGAUCAUAAAAAUGUGGAAGUUGCAGGUUGACUUAGGGCUUAUAAUCUAGAGAAAACUACUCCGUUGAACGUGGAUUCGGAUCCCGGAGGUGGAGACGUGGAGUUUUUUGGGUCUCGCUUUCCAAUUGGAGGAAUUCGGUCAGGGGCGUCGCGGGGAGGGUGGUGGUGAGGACUCACGCGCGGCACCUGCCCGGGCUAAGUAAAUUGUUGGUUCCAACUUCCAGCUUGCGAGGAAGGUGGGAAGAAACCGGAAGCUGGAAUCUUCACCGUCUAGUAUAGAACUACUAUUACAGUAGUAGCAUCCUAAUUUUUUUUAUUAUUAUUAUUAUAAUUUUUGGGUCCUUGUUCAAUUUGUUUGAUUUAUUUGGAUUAAGUUAAAAUAAAUAAAUGGGUUCUUUUAGCCGGGCUGGGCUUUUGAGUCCCCAAUCCUGGACCAAUUCCAGUUGUCGUGGGCUAGUAUUUAAAUUGAGAAAUGAACCCCAUGUGGCCCAAAAGUUUGGCUAACGUUUCUUCUUCUCCCACCCAAGCCAUGAUCCAGUAGCUUACCAUGUUUAUAGGAUAUUCAAAUUGUUAAUUGUUAGCUUUAGGAAUUUGAACCAGUACAUGUAGCAGCAUUUGCUAACGAGGAGCGCAAGCUCAUUUGUCAAAUAUACGAGAAUGACCGGAGCCUUGUCCCCUGGUCUCACUUUGUUGAAGUUAGUUAUAGGUCGGAAGUUAAAAGGUACGAGCAAUUGAGUGGUUGGUAAUCCGUAACUAGCGUUUAGCUGGUGAUGAGUAUUUAUAAGGGAAAAUCCAAUGGACAGAAUUUGACACCAACGUUUGGUUAAUUAUCAUAUGAUAGGCUAUGGAGGCGGAGUCAAACAUAACUUUAAUCGCUAGGACGGUGGGUGAUUAUAUCAACAUAUCAAUCACUAGUCACCUUUACCUAUCAGGGUAUUAGAAUUCAUAACAGUGUUCGAGGUAAGAGUGAGGCUGAGCCAAUUUCUAGAGAUGAUUCUUUACCUCGGAACGGUGAGGACGAGAUACUUGGAGAAACUAAAGGCCGGGGUAAUCACCCCGGUAUAGAACUUCCCAGGUGGUGUCCACAGUAGUCGAAUGCAGAAGUGAAUGGAUGGUUCAUCAAAGAGCUGCCCUCGUUCUUAUUUUUUGGUUUUUGUUUCAGUUCAACAAAGUUCUUGGUAAUUAGCUUAGCAAGAUUAUUGGUAAGGGGAUUAUGGAUCUCUACGCCUACGCCACCGACAGAGCGGAACUUAACCCCCCCCCCCCAACAAAAAAAAGAAAAAGAAAAAGUUAAGUCAAAAAGCCGUACGAUAGAAAGUGGAGGUCUUUUAAAAUUGUGACGCAUGGCAAGACUAAAUUGCUGUGUACAGUAAAAUGGGCCAAAGCUGAAAGAAAAACAGAGACCCAUCCAUUUGGCGUGGUUUCCCGGUGGCAGCAUGAUUGUCAGCGAACGUGAUGUGGAGGUCCCCCCGUAC